rnacentral:lncRNA from 1 species
GCAUCUAGGAAGAUGCAAGAAAAAAGAACCAACUUUAUUGAGUCCGCAUCAAACAAAUGCUCAUUACAGUGCUUAAUCUGGGCAACUUCAUGUAUGCAACAAGAAGUAGCUUAAUGUGGACAGCUUCAUACAAUUGUUGUAGCAGUGUAGCAUGUCACGGACUUUAUCUUUAUCUGCCUUUGGUUUGGUGAUAACGUCUCAGACAAGGUGUGGUGGUGACGAUGGCACAUGCGGUGGUGGAGAUGACUUGUGUUGAUGAUGGUGGGAUGUCUCAAACAAAUGACGUGGUGGUGAUGCUGGCAGUGGUGGCGGCGGUGUAGACGGGUGGUGAUAAUGGCGCGACGUCUCGGACAAAUGGCGUGGUGGUGACAAUGGACCAGGUGGUGGUGGUGGUGCCGACCUGUGGUGAUGACGAUGGUGUGAUGUCUCAAACAAAUGGCCUGGUGCCAACAAUGGCACUGGCGGCGGUGUUGGUGACUCGUGGUGAUGCCAGUGUGCCAUCUCAAACAAACUUCUCGAUGGCAAUGACGUUACUGGUGGUGGCGGAGGUGACUUGUGGUGAUGAUGGUGCAGUGUCUCAAACAAGUGGCGUGGUGGUGACGACGGCACUGAGGGUGGCGGGGGCGACCUAUGGUGGUGAUGGUGUAAUGUCUGUAUCAAACUGCGAGGUGGUGAUGGCGGCAUUGGUGGUGGCGACCCAUGAUGGUGAUGAUGGUGCGACAUUUCAGAAAAACUACGCGGUAGUGUUGAUUCCGUUGGUGGCGGCGGUGGUGAGCUGUGGUGAUAAUGCCAAUCAUCGAGUUGGUCUUGGCCUAGACAUGAAUGCAACAUAAUACAAAAUAAUCAAAUUACUUUAUAAAAAUUUCAAUAAUUUUGACGAAGUUUAUGGAAAAAAUACUGUAACAUUUAAAUCUUCAAAUUACUUUUGUUAAAUUCUUUAGGGCAUAUGUUAUUAGAGUCAUUUAACUUAUAAAAAACCCAAAAACAAGCUAUUCUUUGAACAAAGUGAGUAAUAUGUAACAAUGCAAUGUAUAAAUAAUUAUCUCUCUAUCUCUAUAUAUACCUUGGCAUGAUGGGGUGGUUGAAUAAAUGAUCAUAAUUAUCAGGAAAAUAGAACUUGUCAGGUAUACGUUCCUCAUUGUAUAGACUUGGCGUGACUGAUGCUAGAGGACAGUACCACUCUUUUCUUUUCUCCACCUUAUUUCCCGGUUUCACCUUGUUUAGGUAUCAGGAGUGGUGUGCAUUGUAUCUGUAUUUCCUUUCAGCCUUAGUGUGUAGGUGUUUAUAUAGGAGUACCCCGAAACCUUGAGUAAGAUUAAUUGUCAUAAUUUAUUUGUUUCUACUUGUAUCUAUAUCUAUAUCUAUAUCUAUAUCUAUAUCUAUAUCUAUAUCUAUAUCUAUAUCUAUAUCUAUAUCUAUAUCUAUAUCUAAUUUGUUAUAUAUCUAUAUCUAUAUCUAAUUUGUUAUAUCUAAAUCCAUAUCUCUAACUCUAUCUUUAUCCCUGUCUCUAUCUCUCUAUCUAUCAUGUACCAGCCUAAAUACUUAUCUAUUUGGCCAAAAUCUAUAAAAGUAAAAAUCUUUUUAUGUCUAUAUCUCUACUCUAUCUCUUUCUAUCUGUACCUAGAUAUCUAUUUUUUUGUUUGUGUAUAUAAUUUAUUUAUUUACUUAUGAUCAAUCUGAAUGACACUAGCCCUCAAAGUGCCUCAAGAGUAUAUAUUUAUUUAUUUAUCUUAUAUAUUUAUCUAUCUCGUGGCAUUAACGUUCAUCUAUCUAUGAUUUUAUUUAUUUAUUGAACUUAUGUGAUUACUUAUAGUAGGACCGUCAAGAGUAAUUUUGUUGCAAUAACAAAUAACUCAAGCAUAAGACCACAAACUUACUGCAUUGUUCAUCCAUAGCCAUAAAUAUACUACUUUGUUCACCUACCACAGUAGGACCUAAUGUGGAUGUCUAGAACAUAUGAAUUUAGGCUCUCAUACUAGUAAAACCAAAUAUAUUUUUCUAGGGAACCAUAAAACAUGUCAUGAUCGUUGUGGCGAAGUAGAAAAUCAACUAUUUUGUUCUGCAACCAUAUAACCAAAUUAUGCUAAAUAGCAAUGGGCUUGGGAGCUACACCCAAUCGGUGGACUUUGCAAGAAAGCACACACAAUUUGAGAAUCUGAAGAGCACUUCAUGGCUUCUCUCAAUAAGGUUACUCAGAUGCUGCUUGAUUCUACUCAGCAAUGACUUGGAGACUUAAGAAGACUUCAAAAUUCCACAAUGAAGAGCUCGGAGGCUUGAUGGACCAAGAUCCUAAGGGUUUCCCAUAGGCCCGACUACCUAGUAGGAGAUGGGCGGCCCACGACCUGCCUGGAAAUCGCAAAACAAGGCGGCAUGCUCUCCAUGGCAAGAAGGACCGACCUACUCAAAUUAUUGGAAAGUCUAUCUCACGGAUUAAGACAUAAAUAUGCACCCACCCUCUCGAGUAUAUAAAGAGAGACAGGGGCCGCCCUUGUAACAUCAUCAUGCAAAGAAAUCCAAUAUAGGGCAACACACAAUAGCGGGCAUAGUGUGUUACACUAUUUAGUUGUUUGAACUACUAUAAAUCAUUCUUUCUCAUUUAAUGAUUAAGUUAAAUUUACGUCGAAGCCCACCAAUCUUUGUUGUGGGUGGCCUCAUAGCAACGUUGCCGGUCAUUAGACACUAACAAUGGGGAGAUAGUGGCACCAUUCACUAUGUGAAAAAAGUAUUAAAUUCACACAUCCUGUAUAGACGCCACCACGUACAUGCGUACUUACGGACGUCUGUAGUAACUGGCCGGCCCAGCGAGAUCAACAUGUUUCUAUAAUACGAUGGUAGUGUUGAAUGAGGGGUCUUAGGUUUGAUUCUCCAUAGUUGCAAGUUUUUUGGUUUUGGAUUUUUUCGCGAACAUUAACCAAUGUAGUAUGAAUUUACCAUGGCGGGCGACCGUCACGGUUAUGUUUUUUGUAGUAGUGUUUUCCUGAAUCUAGCCUGCUGAUGAAAAAAAUGCAGUAUAUCUCCCUCUUUAAGGUACAGAAUUCUAGAGCGUAGCCGAGCGAUGGUUCGUUUAAGAGAUGCGAACCCAAGACAAUGAAGUUUGAGUUUCUUGCGCAGCCACUCCUCUUACUCAGUAAGAUCCCUGGAAUCCCUUUCAAUUUCAAAGCGGUGAAGGAUCUCUUUUGCCAUCUCAAGCUUAAUUUUCAUAUUCCCCACCUUCCUUUGUCCCCAUUUUUGGAGCGCUUUGCUGAGUCGCUGCAGCUUCAGAGAAAACCGCUCUACAGCACAAAUAGACUGCACUAGAGCUUCCCAAUUCUGUUUGAAAGCAUCUAUAAAACCUGGGACCUUUGUCCAGAAGCUUUCAAAAUGAAAACGACACUUGCUGCUGGUGGCCACUUUUAAGCCAAGGAUGAGUGGACAGUGAUCAGAUACACCUGCUGUUGUGCUCUACAGAACUGAUUCAGGAAAAAUGCCUUCCCACUCAAGACAACAGAAAGCACGAUCCAAGCAAACCAGCGUGGGUGACCUCCUCUCAUUAGACCAUGUGUAUUUGCGGCCCAGCAAAGGUAUUCUUUGAUCUCGGUGUCAUCCAAAAAUCUCCUAAAUCUUCCCAUCAUAGCCCUGUCCAGAUUUGCAUUAUUCUUGUUGGCAGCUUGGUAUAUAAGGUUGGAAUCUCCUGCCACAAGCCAAGGUCCAUUGUCCAGGGCCCUACAGUUUCUGAGUUUUUGUAGGAACAACACCUUCUCCUCGUCUCUUUGUGGUCCAUAGACUAAGGUGAACCACAAAUUACGGUCUUGUCGCUCGGAAAACAUGACCGACACAUAGUAGGUAUCCACCAUAGAAGCAACCGCUUGACAAGAGCUACCUUUCCAAGCAAUGAGAACGCCCCCCCUAGUAUCACUGGCCGGCAAUGCAAUGUAUUUAUCAUAAGCCGAUCCAAACACGAAGGGGAACAAAAACUGGGUCAUGCUUGCGAUCUUUGUCUCUUGCAAACAGACAAUAUCGGCGUUGCUGGUACCACUAGUACAGAGAAGGGCUUUAGCCCCGGGCCGUAAGAGCCUUUAGUCCCGGCUAUGGAACCGGGGCUAAGGUUUCAGGACUAAAUGUCCCACCUUUAGUCCCGGUUGGUAACAGCAACCGGGACUAAAAGGUGCGCCAGGGUGUGCCACCUGGCCUCCACUUUUAGUCCCGGUUGUUGCUACCAACCGAGACUAAAGACUUUUUUCUUUUUUAUUUUUCUUUUCAUUUGGUUUUCCAUUUAGGGUUUACAAUUAUGUUAUUGUUAUUUUCGAAUGCGUAUUGUUUGCUGGUAGUUUAUGGAACGCGCACCUAUAAUUUAUAUAAUUUAAAGGAUUACAUAUAAAUAUACUAUAAAACAUAUAUAUAAUAUGUAUCUAUAGGUCCAUAAUAUAAUAUGUACACAUAUGCUUCACGGACAAAGUAUUUACAACACAAUUUAUCUCCGCCACUCAAGCAUCGUACAAAUGAUCAUCGUUAUUUGGUUUCAUCUGCUCCUGAGGGUUGAAGUAGCACUCGCCGCCGGGAUCCAGGACUUGGUUGUUAAGAAAUCCUGCGAUUGUCUCCUGAAUUCCUUUUAGGCGCACCGCAUCCAACACCUGCUCCUUCAGCCACAUCUCCUUUAAUAGACAUUAAAGAAAAAAGUUAGAGGUAUGAAUAGGAUUUAUUAAAUAGCAACAAAUAAAUGAAAUAAACUUAUUAUAUAUACAUGUUACAUACUUUUAGGUGCUCAAGAUUAGUUCUUUUGGCAUACACCGUCAUAAACUCGCACACAUAGUAGCCACACAAAUUGUUACCCGGUGUCUGCCGUAGAACCCACUGAAGUAAGAUGGGCUUUGAAAGUGCUGCAUUCAACUCUGGACGGUGUUUCUGCACGAACCCAGCCCAAACCCUAGCAAAAAAACGAUCAUUAUUAAUUAUCCAUUACCUAGUUAAAAGAGCAGAAUUUAAUAUAUAGAGAUCGGAGUUACCCUUGGAUAAUAUCUAUCUUUUCUUGGUAAUCGUCCUGUGGUUUUCUCAAUGAGUCAUAGAUUACCAAUUGACAUUGCCAGAGAUCAAUGACAAUUAGUAUCCAAUGAAAGCUGUAUUUGAGUGCAUAUGUAGGCAAAAUUAGUAUAUAUCUUCAUAUUGAUCUGAUUAAUUAGUUGUCACACCCAUAUUUUAAGAACAAAAUAGGAUGCAUAAAAGACUCAUAUGUGCCCCAGGAAUAGUCGCACACAUAAGUAGACAAAUCUCAAAUGUACCAUUGCAGUGUUUAUUACAUAGCGAAAUAUAUAUUGAAUCACAUAGUCUCAUACAAAAAUGAUAGCAUAAAGUAAACAACGCUCUCGACGGAAGCUCCACACAGGGACACUGUUGACUGGUUGACUCCAAACCUAGUACUCAUAACGGUAAUCUUCAUUCCAGUCAUCUUCAUUAUCAUAUCCUGAGGUGUUGGGAAAUUGCAAGGGUGAGCACAUAUCGUACUCAACAAGUAUAACCAGGGGUUCAUGAGGCUCAAUUAGCUGACACUGGUUUGACUGCAUUUAGCUUUUAAUAGUGGAUAGCAUGUUCAUAAUUAAAUAGCAAUUGUCAAGGAAGCAUAAAUAAUCCAUUAAUCCCAUGAUCAAGUGUAAGCAUAAUUAACCUCAUAGCAUAAACGAUAAUCAAAUGAACAUAAUAACAUAACAAGCUCAUCAUCUUAAUGUAGAUGUCCCCAAGGCCGCUCCUGACCGUGAGCUCGGCUAGUAUACCAGUUUUACACUCUGCAGAGGUUGUACAUCUUUACCCAUGAGUCAUGAUUUACCCUUUCGCCCGAGGUAGCUAAUCUCUUAACCCCCUUCCUAGGGAGGUCGGCAGGGAUCACUAUGAAGCCUUUCAAAAGUUCGUCUAACAAGUUAGGGCCGCAAGGUUUCCUUUGCGCGCAGAUAUAGAGCCCCCCUUCCGAUGGCACAAUGACUCGCAGCCUAUACUCAUGCAGACAGAGGCCACACUAUACCCAAAACGGUUCAGCCCCUCCGCCCUUUCGGGUAACCGCUAACAAGCUAGAAAAGGGCUUCAUACUGAGCUAAAGCCAGAGCCAUAAUAGCCCUCAUGGUUGCACUGUUAUCCCGGGUGAUCACGUACAGACAAGAUCUCAUACAGUUAUUUGUCAUUCUUUUAUGUUCAUUGCAUAGCUAUUAAUCAUCUUACAAGAUCAUGGAUUAUAUCAAGCACUAGCACAUCUACACCAAAUGCAUAUCAAGUAGGUAGCAAGGAAUACAGGUAACAAUUGUCUAUGAUUUUGCUAAGGUCGACAAGGUGAUAGCAUGCAUAUGAUAUAUAUGUGUACUUAAGUGAAUAGGUAACAAGGAUGAUCCCAAGUUAUACUUGCCUUGCUCAAAGCUCUCCUGAGCCUGCUGGUCUUCAAAAGCUAGGUCUUGAUCACCAACGUACAGCUCACCGUCUAUUCCCAAACAUCAAUCAACAACACGCAAUCCAAUGGAGACAAUCAUACACAAAGCAAACAAGGUAUAAUUAGAACAUUACACCAAACAGUGGUAAAACAAAUAUAAAAGUUUAUCAAAAUAUUCUACGCAGCGCUACGAUCACACAAACGUAAAGUUCACGAAAAUCGGAAUUAAAACGUGAAAGAUAUGAAUUUUUUAAGAUUUCCUAUAGAGAAAUAAUUAAUUAAAUGCUACUGCAGAAUUAAAAAGUUUCAAAACAGUAAACUAAUAUUUCUAACAUGUAGAGCAUACAAUUACGAACCUGACGCAAUUUGAAUGGAUAAAAACGGAGUUAAAAUGAAUAUUUUAUGAGCAAAACAAAAUCAGUGGCAAUCUUGUAAAUAGCAGAAAAAGCAUUUUUUUUUCAACCGGCCGUCACCAGCUCCGGUGCGGUGGCUCCAUUGCCGGCCGGAAGGAGCUCGCCGGCGACGACGGACUUCUCGAUUCCGAGCACCGUUUCGCGAAAGGAAAACACCGGGAUGAAGAGGAGCUCACCACGAUCUCGUCUAAGCGCUUGGUUGGGUCCGAGAGAGAACGGAGACGCGCGCACCACGGAGAAGGACAAGGUCGGCCCCGGUGAGAUCCAACCAAGCUUCACUGGGGCGUCUAGGGCUUGCUUUUUGCGACUUCGAUGCAAACAGAGGCUACGACUUUGGAGGGGAAACUUUAUAGGACGUUGGUUGGCGAAAAAGGCAAGGAGAUCCCGCUGCUUUCGCGAUUGGAAACGGCUGCACAGAGCCCACGUCGAACACGGCGGGAGGUAGGGGAAAGGGCCGCGGCUGACGGGUGGGCCCCGGCCGUCAGCGGGCCAUGGAGGGGGAAACGGGUGAGCGCGCACGCGGCCUGGCCGCUGGACCUUUCUCGGGCCGAGAGCGGAAGUGGGCCGGGGUGAGGGGGUGAACUGGCUGGGCGCUGGCUUUCUGUUUUUUUUUCUUUUCUGUUUUCUUUUUCCUAUUUCUCCUUUGUUUUCUAAAGUCUUUUUGAUAAGAGAUUUUAAAUCCUUAUGGGAGAAAUACAAAAUACAUAGACAAAAGCAAGCAAGCAAGUAAAUAAAUAAAUUAAUCGCAGCAUGAAUGCACCACCAUGUUUCUAAACUUAUAAUGAAUUGUAUAUUUUGACCAAAACUAUUUUAUUUACUAAAUUAAAUGCUCACCAAAAAUGCUUAAUUAAAUCGAAUUAAUUCCUAUUAAUUGAAAACAAAUUUUUGGAUGUUACAAAUUCUACCCCCCUUAAAAGAAUCUCGUCCUCGAGAUUGAAAGGUGCUUACUCAAACAGGUAUGAGUAUGAUUUCCUCAUAUCAUCCUCUCUUUCCCAAGUUGCCUCUGCUUCCGAAUACCGAUUCCAGUGUACUAGCAAAUUUAAUGUCUCUAGUCGAGUAACAUACCUGGUAACUUAUCUGAAAAUUUAUCCCCUACCCAGUCCUGAAGAUCAACACCAUCAUCCAGCUGAUUCACUGUAGCUGUGGGUGGAGCCUGCACUGCUACAUCCACACUGAUUCUCUCCCCCUUGGGUGUUGUCACCACUACUACUUUUUCUUUACACUUAAUUUCCGUAGCAUAUUUCUUCAUCCAAUCCAAACCCAAUAUCACAUCUAUGCCUGAGGUUCUCAUAACCAUGGGACUAACAGGGAAAUCUACCCCCCUUAAAGAAAGACUUGCUGAGGGGCAACAAUAUGAAACUGGUAUAGUCCCUCCCGGUGAGUUUACUAGCAUAUGGGUUUUCAGGGCAACUAGUGGUAUGCUAUGAGCUCUAACAAAUGCUUGUGAUAUGAAUGUAUGCGAAGCUCCAGAAUCAAAUAAAACUGUAGCGGGAAUAGAGUUGAUACUGAACGUACCCAUCAUAAUCUCCGGUCCCUCUUGUACUGUCUCUGCAGCCACAUGGUUCACCUUUGCUCCAUGAGAAUUAGACUUUUGGUUGUUGUUCUGCUGGUUGAAUCUCUCCGGGCAAUCAUAUGACAUAUGACCUUCUUUCCCACAGCGAAAACACCUAGUAGGGGUAUUGGAAGCACUUCUCUUCAUAGAGCUGGCAUUUGAAUUUCCUGAGCGGUGAAUCUGCUGACCACUCUGCUGUUGAUUAGGAUCACGCUGAGGUUGUUGGUUGCGAUCCCGUUGACUAACUGGUCCAUGGUACCUCUGUUGAUCGCCCUGCUGAGAAUUGAAACGUUGGCGGUUGUUGCCUCCAGAACCUUGGGCUAGCAUCCUUCUCUUCUUGUCUUGGCCUUUUCGCAUGUUAUCCAACACAAUAGCACGGUUCACCAGAGCCUAGAAGGUAGGAUAUGUGUUUCCAGCUAGUUGCAAUCUGAGUUCAUAGUAAAGACCUUUCAUGAAGAGACGUUGUUUGUCAGCAUCCUCUCUAACUUCGUUUGGGGCAUAGCGAGCCAACUGCUCAAACAUGUCAUGAUACUCAGCCACAGACAUAGAACCCAUCCUGAGAGAUCUAAAUUCUUCCUGCUUGAGCUCCAUCAUUCCUUCAUUGAUAUGUCGCGCUCUAAAGUCUCUGCAAAAUUCCAAGCAAGUGACAGGAGGAGCAUUGUUGGGACGAGCAGCUUGAUAUGACUCCCACCAUGUCUGCGCUGCUCCCUGAAGUUGACCAGAAGCAUACAACACCUUCUCUAAGUCAUUGCACUGUGCUAUGUUUAGUUGCCUCUCCACAGCACGUAACCAAUCAUCCGCCUCCAUGGGAUCCGCUGAGUGUGUAAAUACCGGAGGUUUCCCUUCAUGAAUUCCCCCCGCUUAUCUCUCACAUGAACAGGUGGUGGUGUUGGUGGAGGUUGUUGUUGUAGGUGUUGCAUGAAGACGUGCAUCAUCUGAUUCUGAGUUUGCAUAAGUUCCUCCACAGUAAUUGGGGCAUUGUCACCAUUGCCACGGCCUCUACCUCUGCCUCUUCCCCUUGCUGCCAUCUGCAUUCCAAGGUAUAUAAACACAUCUUUGUAAUGUCCAACAUGACAAUUACAAGAGUUAACCGAAUCUGAAAUUUUCUGGGUAAUAUCCAACAUCAGCAGAUCAGAAAAUCAGUAAUAUCUCGAGUUCCAGAAUUCAAAAGGAUACAUGCUGUACACCGUUGGAAAGAUAAAGAAAUUGUCUACAACUUUCAUUUAGAUCAUAUUACCAGAUUCCAACGUGAGGUUAACCAAAAACUGGGUACAACCGAAACUGUUCCAGAAUUCCAGACUGCGCAGAAACCUCAACUUUAAACAGUUAUCACUCACAGUUCAUAACAGAUAAUAAUGUCAUUCUUGAGGCAUUGGAAAGAUAUGGAAGUCCACUUGUUUCCAGAAAAAUUUGAUGAACAUUGCAUAAACAGAUUUUGAGAUGUACCAGAUUCUUUGCGGACUGCUCCAGAAAACAGCAAAGGACGGAAACAGAAUCUUACCCAAACCCAACUAUUUAAUUCAUUAAUCCUUAUGCCUUAAGCCUAUAAACUAAAUGAAAUUGUAGAGGAAAUCCACAAGAUCAUUGCACUCAUUACAAAGAUCCAAAUCAAGCAUAAGCAUAAUAACAAACCAAACCAAGCAUCAAAGGUUCACAUUUCAAGCAUUAACUCAACUUGCGGUACUAUCGUUCUCUUCCUAUUAAGGGCAAAGAUUCCUAAAAUUCUCUUUCAACUAUGUAAGCAGGUGGUAAGAGAAGGUUCUAAAAGCAUAUUCAAAGCAAGGAGUGGGGAUGAGAACAAGUCUUUAAGAUAAGCAACAAGGUGAAGAUGAAUAGGAUAUAGUGUAGAAGAAAAUAUCAAGGUUUAUAGAACAAGGAUUUUAUAGCAAUUUCAAAACCUUAUGACGGCCAAUUUCUAACUAGGCUUGCGUCCGACAGUCAACAAAGCUUUGAUACCAAUUUGUCACACCCAUAUUUUAAGAACAAAAUAGGAUGCAUAAAAGACUCAUAUGUGCCCCAGGAAUAGUCGCACACAUAAGUAGACAAAUCUCAAAUGUACCAUUGCAGUGUUUAUUACAUAGCGAAAUAUAUAUUGAAUCACAUAGUCUCAUACAAAAAUGAUAGCAUAAAGUAAACAACGCUCUCGACGGAAGCUCCACACAGGGACACUGUUGACUGGUUGACUCCAAACCUAGUACUCAUAACGGUAAUCUUCAUUCCAGUCAUCUUCAUUAUCAUAUCCUGAGGUGUUGGGAAAUUGCAAGGGUGAGCACAUAUCGUACUCAACAAGUAUAACCAGGGGUUCAUGAGGCUCAAUUAGCUGACACUGGUUUGACUGCAUUUAGCUUUUAAUAGUGGAUAGCAUGUUCAUAAUUAAAUAGCAAUUGUCAAGGAAGCAUAAAUAAUCCAUUAAUCCCAUGAUCAAGUGUAAGCAUAAUUAACCUCAUAGCAUAAACGAUAAUCAAAUGAACAUAAUAACAUAACAAGCUCAUCAUCUUAAUGUAGAUGUCCCCAAGGCCGCUCCUGACCGUGAGCUCGGCUAGUAUACCAGUUUUACACUCUGCAGAGGUUGUACAUCUUUACCCAUGAGUCAUGAUUUACCCUUUCGCCCGAGGUAGCUAAUCUCUUAACCCCCUUCCUAGGGAGGUCGGCAGGGAUCACUAUGAAGCCUUUCAAAAGUUCGUCUAACAAGUUAGGGCCGCAAGGUUUCCUUUGCGCGCAGAUAUAGAGGCCCCCUUCCGAUGGCACAAUGACUCGCAGCCUAUACUCAUGCAGACAGAGGCCACACUAUACCCAAAACGGUUCAGCCCCUCCGCCCUUUCGGGUAACCGCUAACAAGCUAGAAAAGGGCUUCAUACUGAGCUAAAGCCAGAGCCAUAAUAGCCCUCAUGGUUGCACUGUUAUCCCGGGUGAUCACGUACAGACAAGAUCUCAUACAGUUAUUUGUCAUUCUUUUAUGUUCAUUGCAUAGCUAUUAAUCAUCUUACAAGAUCAUGGAUUAUAUCAAGCACUAGCACAUCUACACCAAAUGCAUAUCAAGUAGGUAGCAAGGAAUACAGGUAACAAUUGUCUAUGAUUUUGCUAAGGUCGACAAGGUGAUAGCAUGCAUAUGAUAUAUAUGUGUACUUAAGUGAAUAGGUAACAAGGAUGAUCCCAAGUUAUACUUGCCUUGCUCAAAGCUCUCCUGAGCCUGCUGGUCUUCAAAAGCUAGGUCUUGAUCACCAACGUACAGCUCACCGUCUAUUCCCAAACAUCAAUCAACAACACGCAAUCCAAUGGAGACAAUCAUACACAAAGCAAACAAGGUAUAAUUAGAACAUUACACCAAACAGUGGUAAAACAAAUAUAAAAGUUUAUCAAAAUAUUCUACGCAGCGCUACGAUCACACAAACGUAAAGUUCACGAAAAUCGGAAUUAAAACGUGAAAGAUAUGAAUUUUCUAAGAUUUCCUAUAGAGAAAUAAUUAAUUAAAUGCUACUGCAGAAUUAAAAAGUUUCAAAACAGUAAACUAAUAUUUCUAACAUGUAGAGCAUACAAUUACGAACCUGACGCAAUUUGAAUGGAUAAAAACGGAGUUAAAAUGAAUAUUUUAUGAGCAAAACAAAAUCAGUGGCAAUCUUGUAAAUAGCAGAAAAAGCAUUUUUUUUUCAACCGGCCGUCACCAGCUCCGGUGCGGUGGCUCCAUUGCCGGCCGGAAGGAGCUCGCCGGCGACGACGGACUUCUCGAUUCCGAGCACCGUUUCGCGAAAGGAAAACACCGGGAUGAAGAGGAGCUCACCACGAUCUCGUCUAAGCGCUUGGUUGGGUCCGAGAGAGAACGGAGACGCGCGCACCACGGAGAAGGACAAGGUCGGCCCCGGUGAGAUCCAACCAAGCUUCACUGGGGCGUCUAGGGCUUGCUUUUUGCGACUUCGAUGCAAACAGAGGCUACGACUUUGGAGGGGAAACUUUAUAGGACGUUGGUUGGCGAAAAAGGCAAGGAGAUCCCGCUGCUUUCGCGAUUGGAAACGGCUGCACAGAGCCCACGUCGAACACGGCGGGAGGUAGGGGAAAGGGGCGCGGCUGACGGGUGGGCCCCGGCCGUCAGCGGGCCAUGGAGGGGGAAACGGGUGAGCGCGCACGCGGCCUGGCCGCUGGACCUUUCUCGGGCCGAGAGCGGAAGUGGGCCGGGGUGAGGGGGUGAACUGGCUGGGCGCUGGCUUUCUGUUUUUUUUUCUUUUCUGUUUUCUUUUUCCUAUUUCUCCUUUGUUUUCUAAAGUCUUUUUGAUAAGAGAUUUUAAAUCCUUAUGGGAGAAAUACAAAAUACAUAGACAAAAGCAAGCAAGCAAGUAAAUAAAUAAAUUAAUCGCAGCAUGAAUGCACCACCAUGUUUCUAAACUUAUAAUGAAUUGUAUAUUUUGACCAAAACUAUUAUAUUUACUAAAUUAAAUGCUCACCAAAAAUGCUUAAUUAAAUCGAAUUAAUUCCUAUUAAUUGAAAACAAAUUUUUGGAUGUUACAUUAGUUAAAUAGAAUGUACACACGAUAACGACACUUACUUAAAGUUGUAGGGAAAGAGUAUAUAUCUUUUAUCUUUUUGGUUGAUCAAGAACCUCCGUAGAUUUCUCUCCGUUUGAGUUCUCCAUAAGACAUACGGGGUCUUGUGGUCUUUGAAUACAACAUUUGGAUCCACAAAUCCAAUCUCCUUGUCAUUUCUAACUCUGAGGUCCCUCAUCAUGUUUCUGCAUAUGUAUAGCGGGUUUCUGUAAUUAGUUAUAUAUAUACAUGAUAAGUUACAGAGACAUGAAUGAAAGGAAGAAUCACUUACAGACAGAAGCAACUCAUUAGAGAUUUGUCAAGAGCGUCCAUGUGGCAUAGUUGGUGUAGCUCAUUAAAUUUAACAUAAAUAAUAUCAUCACCACGGAAGUAAUGAUAGUUUUUAAUUCGGACACAAAUAUAGUCAUCUGCUUUUUUGACACACGCUUCCAUGUACCAUUUGUUUAGCAUGUACAUUUGCGUUCCAAGCUUGCUGAGGGCCGCAGGGUUGUAUAAACUCUUGCCAUAUGUAUAUUCCUUCUGCCAAUGAUCAAUUUGUUGAGCACUUUCAAUUGGUGCCCCCGCUAUCAUUUGGGCUAAGCUAAGACCAAUUUCCGCAAAAAAAAUUUCAAGCUCAUCAAAUUUUAAAUCUGCCGGUAUCUGCUGGUCUAGCACGUCAAUGUUUGAACCAUAUUCAUUUCCAAUGACUAGCGAGGGCACUGAUUGCUUUGAUUGUUCCCCGAGCUGUGCUACACCCUUGCGUGCUCUUUUCUCUUUCUUCUUCUCUUCUUCUAUGGAUUUCCUUAAAGUGCGAUCAUAGUCCGAUAAAGAUGAUGAUUCUUUCUGAGCUUCACGCCUCUUUUUUUUGUUCAGCCUCAACCCUUUGUCGUAGAUCUUGUGGCCAUAGUAAGAGGUACGGUUUCUUAGGGUUUCGCUUGGCUUCUCUUUCAGUCUUAAGUUUCUUGAAGAAACUAUCCACGUCUGAUUUUACUGAAGCAUUUAGUUCUGCAUUAGUCUUCUCAUAGGACAGCUUCUUAGGAAUGAUAGCUUGUUUCUUUUCGGAGGCUUUCUUUUUUGGCGGCGGGGCGGCCGACACAUUUGAUUAUGUGUCCGGCCUCUUCUUUCGUGCUGGAGCCACGUGUGGAGGCGAUGGGGCGGCCGGUGGCGGUGUUGGAGCCCGAGGAGGCGGCGUUGGAGCCCUAGGUGGCGGUGUUGGAGCCCGAGGUGGCGGUGUUGGAGCCCUAGGUGGUGGCGUUGGAGACCGAGGCGAUGCAGCCGUGUCUUGCACUCCCUCGUCAUCACCCACAGCACUAUGACAUGUCGGUAACCACCUGUGAAAACAAAAGGUAUAUGAGUAAACUGCUAACUAAGAGAAUGCAAAAUAAAUUUAGUGAACAAAUGUAUAGUCAAUUUUCAUCCACACCUAGGAUUAGAUUCGUGACAAGGAGGUGGUGGUAGACUACUAGGUGAUGCCCCAGGAAUAAUGAUGUAGCACUUGCGCCAACAAAUAAAAGUCUUCUCUGCUUCUCCUAGAGUCUUCUCUCCAUCACCUCCUUCUAUCUCAAGAUGCACACAUUACUGAAGCCUUUGACAACUCUAUCCACCGAGACACUAGCAUAUCUAGGUGGAACUAUCGCCCCAUGGAUUCUUGGUGUCCUCGUAGGGUCAACAGGAGUUACAACACCGACAGCAACCAUGACUGUGGCAGUCCCCUGUGGAAUGUGCAGCUCACAUGUUGUCAGAGGUUCAGUGAUGUCAUCCACCGGAAAGUGCAGCCCCACGUCGUCUUGAAUAGUUGGCAUCUCUGUGGAAGCGCAACUACUUUUCAACUGACCGGGGGGGGCUAUUGUUGACUCUAGGCUCUGAUGCAGUUUGCCCUUGUAUAGAACUUACUGCAAUCUACACUUGUCUUUUGAUCUCCUCAUUCAUUCUCUCUUCAAGCGCUUUCUCUCGCGCUAUCGCUUCACGAGCCGCUUCGUGUGACUCAAUCACCAUUGCCUCCAACCUAUGCAACCGCUCUGCUUCCUCUUCCUUCUUUCGUUGGCGGCUUCUAUAAGUCGGUCUAUCUUUAGGGAAGCAAUGCUCCCAUGAUACCUCCCCAUAGCCUCUGGUUCGCCCACCGUGUUCAGCAGUCUCCAGGGCGUAUGUCAGCUCAUCCUUUUCUCUAUUUGGCUGCCAGGUGCCGCUUUCAACUAAUCCUCUAGCAUAGGCCAUUCUCUGUCCUACUCUCUCGAGCUUUUCGCUGUACACUAUCUUUUCGGUCUCUAGGUCUAUGGUUCCCCAUGACCAAAGAACCAAUACUUGGCGCGCUCAGGCCAGUGCAUUGAAUCUGGUUCGAUCCCUCUCCCAAGAAUCUCCUGUUCCAGCUUUUGCCACUUAGGAAUAGCAGUCCUGUAGCCACCUGAACCCAAGUGAUGGUGGUAUUUCUUUUGUUUAGCAUUUUCUUGAUUCUUGAUCAUCCGUGUCUGACCCUCUUCUAAGUUCUUAAACUCUACGAACUCAUCCCAAAAAGGCCUCAACUUGACGUAGGCCUUGUUGGUGAAAUCUGGUGUCCGGCCUUGUGCAACAAAAGUCUUGUAUAAUGUCUUCUUCCAAGCCUGAAAUUGUUUGGCCAUCUUCUGCAUAGCCUAGAUUUUAACCUUCUCCUUCAAAGCUUCAUCCUAUGUAUCGAGCGUGAAAUGUUGAAGGAUAUCUUGCCAAAUCAAUUCCUUGUCACGAUCUGAGACAAAACUAAUAUUAGGGUUAUCUUUCCGUUGCCUCCAUUCACGAGCACUGACCGGGAGCCUGUCCCUUACAAGGUAGCCACAGUGCGCAACAAAUUUUUUAGAAUUAGCCCCAAGUACUUGUCCUGUACCCUCAUCGAAUGCCGACAUAAUGUACCGACCCUCCAAAGGCUUCUUCGGGCCGCGCACUUUUCUACUCUUCUCAGAAGUUGUCGCUGAUUUAGAGGGCUACACAAACAAGUAUAAAUAUAUUAGUUUAAAUGUUAUUUAUUUUAAUUUCAUAUAUAUACUAGAUAGAUUGUAGAUAGACCUGAUCAGGAUUGUCUCCCACAAGUUCUUCAUAAUCAGCAAAGUACUGACUCCCAUCAUCUUCGCCUUGGGAAUCUGGAUUGGCGCCGCUGUUGAUUAGGUCCAUCAUUGCAUCAUCCAUGUUGUCAUUCGGAUUGGCCAUUUCUGCAAAUUGGACGCCAAGUUAUUAGCAUUUAUGUCUCAAGUAAAUUUAUAGUGGAUACAUAUUAAUGAAAAAAUUUUAUUUGUAACCAUUUGAGGUUUGCAAAAAAAUCAUAUUUGUAACUUUGCUUAUCAGAUUAAGACUUAUUUGAUAAGUCAAAAUAUUUUAACAACAAUUUCAUGAAAAAUCUAAUGAUAAUUGGUGGAUACAUAAAUAUUAUUAUUCUAUCAUAUAAAUUUGAUUAAAUUUGAGAUACUUUGACUCUACAAGGUUCAUGGAAUGAUUUACAAUUUGAGAUUGCGGUAGCUCGUAAGAAAUAAUACAAUUGAGUUCACUGCGCGUUAGAACAAUCUAGAAACGUGUACGUUUCGCGAGCGCGUGUGUUUGGUCGAUCAGAAUAUGACAAGUGUAGAUGUCGGAGUACGUUUUGGCGAGAGGUACUUCGGCAGGCGUUUGGGAACGAGAUUUUUAUCAUGCGUUUGGGAACAGAUUCAUAGUUUUGAUUCAAAUAAAAUUCACUAAAAUGAUUUUUAAUUCAUACAACAUAUCAUCUCAUUCGUACAGUACAAAAAAUUAGCCUGCAGAUCACCACAUUCGUACAACAUAUCACCGCAUUAUGGGAGAACAAGAACAAAUAUAUAGUAAAAAAUCAUUAAGUGCUAGUUUUCUAAACAAAAACACAUAGCCUGCAGAUCGAACACAUAGUCUGCAAAUCUUUCAACAAACAUCCAGCACAAUGUUGCCACCUUCGUUCUGUGCAAUCCACACACAAUGUAAGUUAAUCAAGGCAUUCAUGCAUUAUUAGCAAUUCUGGACAUACAUGCAACAGUUGCGUAAAUAAAUCAUAACAAGAUCACACAUAGCAAUAUACCGCAAGCCAUCAAAUUUUAACAGCAGCUAUUGAAAGCCCUAGUUUGGUUUUGGAUAAUUGAUGAAACCCUAGUACUAACCUCUAUGCUAAGUGUGUGUAGACUUAAUGAGGUUGGUACAUGCCAAGUGAUGGAGCAAGAGAUGAUCAUGGUGAUGAUUGUGAUGACCUCAAGAUGAUCAAGUGCUCAACUUGGAAAAGAAGAAAGAGAAAAACAAAACCCUAUGGACAUCAAGGCAAAGGUAUUGCCUAGGGUUUUGGUUUUGGUGAUCAAGACCCCAUAGAGGGUGUGAUCACAUUUAGGAUAGAUAGCCGUACUAUAAAGAGGGGAAUUCUUUGGCUAAGCGGUUAUCGAGUGCCACUAGGUGUCAUUGUUCAUGUGCAUGCAUUUAGAACCUAGUGAGCUAACUUAACUCCUUCGAAGAAAAUGUUUGUGAAAAUGCUAACACACGUGCACUUGUUGGUUCACACGUUGUGGUGUUGGCACACUUUGAGAAGGGAGUUGAAGUUUCAAAGGUAGAGAGAGGAUGGGUUCCUCUGUCCCUCCCGCCGAGCUUGCUCGGCGGGAUUCGGCGCUUUUUGAGAAAAUGAAGUGCAUUUUUUCUAUUGCGCCGGUGGGAAAUUUGGAGAAGUCGCGGGAGUGUUUCUCGCUAAGAAGACACUCACCGGACGCUGGCUUCUGGAGCACCGGACGCUGAGUCUGAGCGUCUGGUGCAGACAGUGCCUGGCCCAAUUAGGGUAAGGCACCGGACGCUGGCUUGAGCGUCCGGUGGUGCGCGUCCGGUGUGCGGGCAUUUUGCGACCCUCUCUGCGCAUGGGUCCGGUGAGCACCGGACGCUAAGGGUGCGUCCGGUGGUGUGCGUCCAGUGUGAGGAGGUUUUGCAAACCUCUCUGCGCUUGAGUCCGGUGAGCACCGGACGCUCAGGUGCGUCCGGUGACUUGCGUCCGGUGACCCUGCGAGUUUGCGGAGCUCUCUGCGCAUGAGUCCGGUGUGCACCGGACGCGUCCGGUGCCAACCUGCUCAGCGUCCGGUGCUCUGCAGGUUACCGUUAGACUCUGACACGCGGCUGACGUUGGAGCACCGGACGCUGGUGUUGAGCGUCCGGUGCCCCUUUAAGAGCGUCCGGUGACCACGUAUUUCGCCCAGUGAAAGAGCCAACGGCUCUAUUUGUUUGAGAGGUCUAUAAAUAGUUGUUGGCCGGCUUAGGGCUCAUACUCUUGGCAUUCUAACAUACUUGACAUCCUUGUGAGCCUAAGCAAACACCUCCCACUCAUCUCCUUCAUAGAUUAAACAUCUUUGUGAAGUGAUUCCAAGUGCAUUUGCUUGAGUGAUUGCAUCUAGUGGCACUUGGGGAUCAUUUUAGCUGCGGUUUUCUUGUUACUCUUGGUGGUUGCCGCCACCUAGACGGCUUGGAGCAGCGGAGGAGGAUUGACACGAGUUGGUGAUUGUUCGUGGCCAUCUCCCGGUGAUUGUGAGAGGUUUGUGCCUACCUCGGCGGAUUGCCAAAGGCAACAUUAGUGGAUUGCUCGUGUCAUUGAGCUACCUCACUUGUGGGUAGGUUCUUGUGGUGUCCUAGUGAGGACGAGGUUCGUGCUACACCUCUUAGCCACCGAACCACCAAGUGUUGGUCGACACAACGGGGACGUAGCGUGCCGACAAGCACGUGAACCUCGGGAGAAAAAUUGUGUGUCUCCAUUGUGAUUGUUCAUUGGAUUUCUCCCAGUGAUUGGACUUCAUAUUAUUGAUUGGUUCAUCCCCUCUACGUGGCGGUAUAAAGUUCAAACCAUCUCUUUUACAUUCCCGCAAACUAGAGUAGCUUACUUACUUGUAGAGAAACUUUAGGUAGCUUUCUAGUGUAAGUAGUGACAUAGCUCUUGUGUGCCUAGUGAUUAUAUCAACUAGAAUUGUUGGAUAGGUGGCUUGCAAACACCCGAUUAGAGCUAGAGCAAAAAGCUUCGCUUUGUUAUUUACUAACCUCUUGCUCUAGUGAGUUUGUAGAAUUUUUAAAUAGGCUAUUCACCCCCCUCUAGCCAUAUUAGGACCUUUCAAGUGGUAUCGGAGCCAUGGUCACCGUUUGUGAAGGCUUAACAACCUCGGUGCUCAAAUUAUGGCUCAAAUAGUGUUCAACCAUGUUGGGGGCAAACCACCGUUCUUUGAUGGCACAAGUUCUUUUGACUAUUGGAAGAGAAAGAUGAAAAUGUAUCUUGGAUCAAUAAAUGAUAGAGUGUGGGAAGUCACCGAAAAUGACUUUGUGAUACUUGAUCCGGCUAACCCCACCGACAAUGAGAGAGCAAACAAGCAAUGCAAUACUAUGGCUCUCAACACAAUAUACAAUGGCAUUGAUUCAAAAGUAUUUGAACAAGUCAAAGAUCUUGAGAAGGCAAGUGAAGUGUGGACAAGACUAGAAGAAACAUAUGAGGGCACUACAACGGUAAAAAGUGCCAAGUUAUACAUGCUCAAGGACAAGCUUUCAAACUUCAAGAUGAAGGAUGAUGAGUCAAUUCCGGAGAUGUUCUAUAGGCUCCAAGUCAUCAUCAAUGAUCUCAAGGGCCUUGGUGAGAAAGUGAAGGAUGAGGAUUUCAUUCACAAGUUCUUAAUGUGCUUGCCCAAGAGAUUCAAGACAUUGAGAACAAUCAUCUUUAGAGGUGGAUUGACCGGUGUAUCUCCCAAUGAGGUACUUGGAGAUGUCAUGACCGAAGAUCAAUACAAUGACAACGAUGAUGAUGAGGUCAUGAAGAAGGAUGAUGAUGAUAAGAAGAAGAAGAGUGUAGCAUUCAAAGCUAGCUCUUCAUCCAAGAGCAAGAACAAGGGCAAGGCCAAGAAGGAAGAAUCAAGUGAUGAGGAGUGCUCCAAUGAUGAUAGUGAUGAUGAAGCACUAGCACUCUUUGUCCGCAAGUUUGGCAAGAUGAUGAAGAAGAAGGGCUACCAUACAAGAAAGAGAAGGGACAACUCCAAGAACAAGGAGUAUGUGAGGCUAUGCUACAAGUGCAAGAGCCCCGAUCAUAUUGUGGCGGAUUGUCCUUACAAUAGUGAUCAUGAUGAGCAUGAGAAGAAGAACAAGAAGGAGAAGAAAGAAAAGAAAGAGAAGAAGAUGGUUUUCAAGAAGAAGAAGAAGAAGAAGGGUGGAUCCUAUGUUGUGACAUGGGAUAGUGAUGCCUCUUCGGAUGAUGAUUCAAGUGAUGAUGACAAAGCAUCCAAGAAGAAGGCACUUGCUAGCUUUGCUAUCAACAACAAGCCAUCACUCUUCGACACUCCUUCAUGCUUCAUGGCCAAGGGCCACAAGGUACAAUAUGAUGAGAGUGAAAGUGAAAGUGAACAUGAACAUGAUAGUGAUAGUGAUGAUGAAAAUGAAUUCACUAAUGAACAACUCAUGGACAUGCUAGAACAAGCCGAUUCACUUAUUCAAUCUAAAAACAAGAAGUGCAAAGAAUUGACCAAGAAGUUAAAAGCUCUUGAGCAAUCCUUUGAUGAGCUCAAUGCUAAUCAUGAGAGGCUAGUGGAAGCCCAUGAGAAGCUUGGCAAGGCUCACACCAAGCUUGAGAAAGCUCACUCCUUGUUGUUAGAAGAGAACAAGGAAAAGGUUGUUAUAUCAUGUGAUGUGGGCACAACAUGUGACUUAAUUAAGGAAUCACCCAACCCACCUAUUGUUGUUGCCACUAACUCUUCUUGUAGGUCUUCAUCCACCACCACCAACUCUACCUCUACUUCUAGUGUUAGUGUCACUUGUGAUGCUUCACUAAAGGUUGAGAAUGAGACUCUCAAGAGAGAGGUGGAUGAGCUCACUCACGCCCUAGGCAAGGCCUAUGGUGGUGAGGCCCGCUUGCUAAAGUGCUUGGGUAGCCAAAGGUUUUCUCUCAACAAAGAGGGAUUAGGCUAUACCCCCAAGAAAGGCAAGAAAGCCUUUGCAACUCACAAGCCUAGCUUUGUGAAGAGCAAUGGUCGGUAUUACAACAAAUGCAAGCAAGUUGGGCACCUAGAGCUUAAUUGCAAUAAAAUGAACAAGAACAAGAAAAUUGCUAAUGUACCUUACAUUCCUUUUGAUUCUUGUUAUGUGCUUACCAAGGGUGAGAAGGGUGUGCAUGCUAAGUUUGUUGGUACACCAAUUGUGGGUCCAAAGAAGAAGGCCAUUUGGGUACCAAAAAGCUUAGUCACUAACCUCCAAGGACCCAAACAAGUAUGGGUACCUAAGAAACAUUGAUUUGUUUUGUAGGUAAACUAUAAAGCCGGAGGAAGGCAUUGGGUGCUUGAUAGUGGGUGCACACAACACAUGACCGGUGAUGCAAGAAUGUUCAAUUCAAUCAAUCCAAACGAUGACAAUGGUGUUGAUAGUAUCACAUUUGGUGACAAUGGCAAAGGCAAGGUCAAAGGGCUUGGUAAAAUUGCUAUAUCCAAUGACUUGAGCAUUUCCAAUGUGCUACUAGUAGAGAGCUUGAACUUCAACUUGCUAUCCGUAGCUCAACUUUGUGAUCUUGGUUUCAAAUGCAUAUUUGGAGUUGAUGAUGUAGAGAUCAUAAGUGUAGAUGGCUCAAACUUGAUAUUCAAAGGCUUUAGAUAUGAGAAUCUAUACUUGGUUGAUUUCAAUGCUAGUGAAGCUCAAUUGUCAACAUGCUUGCUCACUAAAUCUAGAAUGGGUUGGUUAUGGCAUAGAAGGCUUGGUCAUGUUGGAAUGAAACAAUUGAACAAGUUAGUUAAACAUGAUCUUGUUAAAGGCUUGAAAGAUGUGACAUUUGAGAAAGACAAGCUUUGUAGUGCAUGUCAAGCCGGAAAGCAAGUUGGCAACACUCAUCCAAAGAAGAGCAUCAUGAGUACAUGCAAGGCAUUUGAGUUGUUGCACAUGGAUCUAUUUGGACCAACCACAUACACAAGCAUUGGUGGAAAUAAAUAUGGAUUUGUGAUAGUGGAUGAUUUCACAAGAUACACAUGGGUAUUCUUUCUUAGUGACAAGAGUGAUGCUUUUGCAACCUUCAAAUCAUUUGUCAAGAGAAUACACAAUGAGUUUGAAACAACCAUCAAGAAAGUGAGAAGUGACAAUGGAAGUGAAUUCAAGAAUACAAGAGUUGAUGAGCUUUGUGAUGAAUUUGGCAUUGGGCAUCAAUUCUCGGCCAAGUACACUCCACAAUCAAAUGGUCUUGUUGAGAGGAAGAAUAGAACCUUGAUUGACAUGGCAAGAUCAAUGUUGAGUGAAUACAAUGUUAGUCAUUCUUUUUGGGCCGAAGCAAUCAACACGGCUUGCUACUAUAGCAACCGACUCUAUUGUCACCCAAUGAUGGAGAAGACUCCAUAUGAGCUCUUGAAUGGAAGAAAGCCCAACAUUGCAUAUUUUCGGGUUUUUGGUUGCAAAUGCUACAUAUUGAAGAAAGGCACUAGAUUGAGUAAAUUUGAAAAGAAAUGUGAUGAAGGUUUCUUGCUUGGUUACUCUACUACUAGCAAGGCUUAUAGAGUGUGGAAUUUGGCUAGUGGUACUCUUGAAGAAGUGCAUGAUGUUGAAUUUGAUGAAACCAAUGGCUCUCAAGAGGAAGAUGAGAAUCUAGAUGAUGUGAGAGGCACUCAAUUGGCCGAUGCAAUGAAGAAUAUGGACAUUGGUGAUUUAAGGCCUAGAGAAGUGAUUGAUGUUGAAGAUGACAAAGAUCUAGUACUUCCUACCUCUAAUGUGCAAGAAAGUGGUUCUCAUGAUCAAAAUCAAGCUAGUACAAGUGGUACUCAAGUGCAAGAUCAACAAGCUAGUACAUCAUCUCAUGAUCAACCAAGUGCAAGCAAUCAAGUGUAAAUACUCCAACCAACAAACAUUGCAAGAGAUCAUCCAUUGGAUCAUAUCAUAGGUGACAUUCAAAGAGGAGUGCAAACUAGAUCAAGACUAGCAUCAUUUUGUGAGCAUUUCUCCUUUGUGUCUCACAUUGAGCCAAAGAAGAUUGAUGAAGCAUUGAGAUAUGUUGAUUGGGUUAAUGCUAUGCAUGAAGAGCUUAAUAAUUUCAAGAGAAAUCAAGUAUGGGAAUUAGUUGAGAGGCCUAGUGAUCAUAAUGUCAUUGGUACUAGAUGGGUCUUUUGCAACAAACACGAUCAAGAUGGGAUAGUUGUAAGGAACAAAGAAAGAUUGGUAGCACAAGGCUAUACUCAAGUUGAAGGUCUUGACUUUGGUGAAACAUAUGCCCCGGUUGCAAGAUUGGAAGCAAUUAGGAUCUUGUUGGCCUAUGCUUGUGCUCAUAACAUCAAGCUAUACCAAAUGGAUGUCAAGAGUGCAUUUCUCAAUGGCUAUAUCAAUGAAGAAGUCUAUGUUGAGCAACCUCCCGGUUUUGAAGAUGACAAGAAACCCAACCAUGUUUACAAGCUAAGAAACGCAUUGUAUGGUUUGAAGCAAGCACCUAAAGCAUGGUAUGAGAGAUUGAGAGAUUUAUUACUCUCUAAAGGUUUCAAGAUGGGAAAGGUUGACACCACUCUCUUCACCAAGAAGAUUGGCAAAGACUUGUUUGUGUUGCAAAUAUAUGUUGAUGAUAUCAUAUUUGGAUCAACCAACCAAGAAUUUUGUGAGGAGUUUGGCAACAUGAUGGCUAAUGAGUUUGAGAUGUCAAUGAUUGGAAAGCUUAGUUACUUAUGCUCCAUGGUUCGGAGCCAGUCAUCCGCUUCUAAAGGCUCAUCGGCCUUAGUGAACACCGGGGGCCUGGUCUCGGUAAAAUCCACAUACCUUGUCUCUCCGUCCCCGUUGCGCGGUGCCCUGAAAUUUGGGGCGAGGUGUGGUUGACGCUGUGCUAGCUCGCGCAGCAAGCGAGCGUUGUCAGUUGUGGCACUUAGCAGAACAGCAAUGGCGUCAGCCAAAGAAGGUGGAGCAGGUGGAGGGUUGGGGAUAUCAUCCCCUCCCUGAGAUGUCCCAGCUCCAUCAGAUCCGCGAGUACGCAUCGGCAUCUGUUACAAGAGUCGUAGAUACCUGUUACCACGUGAAAUUCAUAACACAGAACAUAUCUUACAUUCUUCCAUUCACUUAUUAAACAUUAGUUCGACACACCAAGAGUAAAUAGGUACAACUUCUCAAACCAAAAGAGAACUUAUAUUACAAACCCGAACCCCACUACGGCAAGCUAGGACCCCUACAACGACGUUGCCCUCGGUUUCACCGAACUAAUCGGUGUGGCCAGAGCUGUAGCCCGGGUCGUCAUUGCCAUCAUCCUGAUUACCCCCUGGGUUGUUGUCAUCGGGGUCGGACUCCUCUUCAUCACUGAGGCCUGGAUCGGGUUUCCCAUCGUCUGCCAACUCGCCAUCCGUAUCCAUUUCCCCUUCGCCGGGAGGUGGGUGGAGCUGAUGAUACAGAUCAAAUGCAAUAUCACGAUAUUGCAUAGCCAGGUCAUUGACAGUAUCUAAGUGAUGUGCCAGCUCCAGUUUCUCCAGCUGGAGCUGGUCCUCUCGUUGCCACGCGACAUCCCGCUGUGCGGUGACCGUGGCCGCCAUCUUCACGUACAAAUCCUUAAGAUACCUGGCCUAGCCCAACUUUGCGUUCAUCCUAGUCAGCUCAUGCCUGUGUGUGCUCCUAGCUUCUUCCUCUCGGGCAAUGGCUGCAUUCCGCUCCUCCACCAUCCGGGACAACAUAGCCUCACAGUUCUCUGUAGCUUGUUUUUCUUUGGCCUGUUGAGCUUUAAGUUUGCCAAUCUCCAUAACUUUGUACAUUCUCUCUCUCAUCACCUCAGUCAACUCGGCGGACAACCUGUCCACCUCCUGCUAAGGCGGUGAACGGCUACUGCUGGCUUGAUCGCUGCGUGGAGCUAGCUGAUGUAGGGGAACUCCUUUUGGACCGGUCUGCUUACGCGGGGUCUGCUUCUGACGAACCAUCCUGUAGAGGGUAAGUUUAGAUUAGUAAGAGAGACCUUAAAGGUUAGCAAGAAUAGGAUUGAUUCUAUUCACCCAACCCAAACAAGGAGGAAGGAACUUAACCAGUUAAUACAUCAUGAUGCAUGCACGAACUUACGAUUCCCACUAACAAUUCGUAACGAUAUUACUUUAAAUUUUUACAACAUAGGGCAAUACUUUAUGUUGCUCCUCCAUACCACUUCAAAAAUUCUAAGAAAGCCUAUAGACAGGGGUAGGUUAGGACUAAGCACUUGGACUCAAAAUAGGCAGGUUCAUAGUAUUAGAUCCAAACGAAUUUUUGAAGUUUUUCAAUAGGUACAGCAGUCAUCUUAGCAACGAAUGCUCUGAUACCAGCUGUGGCAGAACCCCCUAAGUGUUUGGGCCCACCGGCACCUGCCAUUGUCCUAAGGACCUCUGACGGUGAUGCCGGGAGUCCUCCCACUUUAGAAGUCCGAUGAGCAUCGCUGGACGCUCAUUCCACUGCUACCUGUGGCGUACCAAGCUGGCUCGUCCUGACCACUGGUAAUGGUCAAACAACGAGAACUGCUUCUUCUCACCCUUACAGGAUAGCAAGUGGCCACCUUAACACCAGGAUCAUUCGUUGCGAAGAUAAAGCAGUAACUCAACGACACAAGACCAAAAUAAUAUUUCAGAGUGAAACAGCGGAAGUAUUACAUAACUUAAUUUACAAAAGGAGUUCUUCCAAAUAGUAGAGUGUUAUUACAAGCCUGGUCCAGCGGAGCAACUGAAACUUUAGUACAGACAGUACAAAUUUAUAGACCCUGCCCAUGGGUCACGCUCACUCUUCUUCGUCGUCAACCUCGACGACGGUCACACAACAGGGUCCGAAACAAGUCGGCUCCUGUGCUUCACCUACAACAGGGGUAUUGAAACCCUGAGUACGGGAGUACUCAACAAGACUUACCCGAUGGGAAAAGAGAAGAACUUAGGGAUGCAGGCUUAGGGUAGACAAGGGGUGGCUGAGCAAGGAGCCAAGUGUUUUGCUUAAAAAGCUUACUAAUAGUGCAUCCUUAUUUUCAAGUUUUACCCGCGAAUUCCUCCCUCACAGAGGUCGAGGAGUUCGAGGACAGUCUAACUAGUUGUUCCCCACAGACGAAUCCGUGAGUUCCUAGUCCUAUCCUAAAGUAUUGUUUAUCGAUGGCCAUAGCUUCAUGUCGCUAUGAGUCCGGGAAUUGGGAUCCGAACCUCAUGAGACAUUUCUUCCUUUCUCAUUUUACCAAUUAGUUGCAUAUUUAACUACGAUGAGGGUCGAAGGAAUUGAGUCUCCCAAUCGGGGAGCAACGACGAUUCGAAUCGCUUAGCAAUCCAGCUGGAGUUCCUAACCACCCGACAUAUGUAGAACCAAAUCUUGCAUAUAUCAACCCAAAUCAAGCUCUCCCCAAAUUUGACCAGGUUCGCGGCACCCGAGAGCACAGUACCCCACCAUCCUACAGCCGAUCUAGAUGUUUUCCGGUCAUCUCAGAUCCGUAAGGUGGGCACACGUUACUCUCGCCAUCUUUCCACUCCCAGUGCGCGAGUAGCUGUUCGCGUCGAGGGAUCACAAGACCGGGCUUACCGAGGGCAAGUGGCUAGUACUACAAAUUCUCAACCCAGCAGGCCAUCAACGGAACGGUCCUUAAUCAACACAGUCGGAGACACUACUUUAAGACUCCAUUCUUAAAGCAAGUCCACCGACCGGUCUCAAAUUGAAACAUCAUUGAUCAUAAGUGUAUCCCACAACAACCCUUCAAACUUUCUUGUUUGAAAACCUAUCUAGUAGCAGGGCUAAGCACCGCUACGCUGUUUUAAAAUAAAACAGGUGUCAAGGACAGGAUAACAGGUAACAAGGUAGUAAAUGCAGCAAGUAGGUUAACCCAACUCUCAACUACCUAAUGCAGCAUUUUCAAUUCAUAAGAGAUAAAAGAUUUAAAACAUUCAAGGAGGGGUUAAUGCAUCCGGGGCUUGCCUUGGUUGCAGGGCAGAGAGGGACCCUCGGAGACUUCCCAAGUCUCGGAUCCGACUUCCUCGAACGGAGCACCGACCUCGGGGUUCGGUUCAACGGGCGCUCCUUCGGUCCCGGACACUAUACGCAAAAUGAUGAAUGCUCAUGAUAUGCGUAUGACAAAUAUCCAAGAAGGACCAAAUCGAGUACAACUCGCCUUCUUGAUGCAAUACAGAAUUAUCACUAAAUAAAGUUGUUUAACAUCUUAAUGUUUUUACCCAAGAGGUUGCAUCUGUAAAAUAAAAUCUCUUUUAAUUCAUAAUUAACCUGAAUUAACUAAUUAUUAAUCCUAUUUACCUUAAUUAAUUCUUAAUCAACUGCUAAUGACAGUAAUUAAGCAUUAAGGCUAAACAAUAAUUAAAUGCCAAAGGUCAUUAGGGUUAAUGACCUCAGGUCAUCACACAAUCCCCAAAAUCACUCAACCCUAAUUAUGAGGAUUUCACUAAUCACUAUCUAAUUAUUUUGGAAUUAUUAUUUAAAUACUAAAUAAGGAUUUAUUAAUAUUUUAAUUAAACAUUAUCCAAAUGCCACCAAAUUUUGUGUGGAGCCAGGGAAUAAUAGUCAGAGGCUCCCCACAAUUUUUGGUGAUUUUUGGACAUACAAAUAAAUUAUUAAAAUUCCUAGAAUUUGUAUUCACUAAUUAAAAGAGCAAAUUUUUACAGACAUGUAAACUACCAGAAAACAGAAUCCACUAUUUUUCUUGUGUUCUACCCACUUUAUGGAACCUACACAAAAACUUUCAUCAUUUUUGGAUUAGCACACAAUUUAUCUCAUAAUUUCAAACAUCAAACAAAAAUUGCAUAAAAAGAAAAAAAGAAAAAGAUCUUUGCGCAGUGGGCGGCCUGGAUUUUGGCCCGCAGGCCGGCCCAUGCGCGCUCGGCCCGCGCACGCACUGCGCGCGCUGCCCCUCCCCUCAUGUGGACACUGACGAGCGGGCCUCGCUCGUCAGGCUCUCCCUUCCCCUCUCUCUGCGGAAGCUGACAGGCGGGUCCCGCCCGUCAGUUUCGCCUCCCUCGUUCACGGCGGUGCUGCCGCCGCUCCGGCGACCGUUAGCGAGUUCCUCGGCCCCCGCGCGCGUGCUCACCAGCACCGCGUCAACCCUGCGACUCCAAAGCUACCACUCACGGAUGCUCUCCCGCUCUCUUUCCACCUCAACCACACAAAUGGUGGACGGCCGCGUCGGUCGCCGAGGACCGGGCACGAGGGUUCGGUAGAGCGUGAACCAGUAGGUCCGGGAGGUCCGAGAAGAAGUGGGGAUCAUGGUGCUCACAUCACCACGGCGGGAGAAGCAGUAGAGAAGCUUGGCGACGGUGGCCGUGCGGUCGGGCGGAUGCUCCGGCUCCGGCGAAGUCGUUCCGGGGGUCCUGCUCACGUCCAGGAAGAAGAAGCGAGCGCAUGAGCAUCGGGGAAACAAGAGGAGUUCGAAACGAUCGCUGGUAAGGCGUGGUACGGAUUGGAGCAACGUGCCCACGUGAAGGGUUCCACGGCGGCGACGCCGGCCGGACUUAGAGAAGAAGGAGAAGCUCUGGCGUUUGAGGGGGUUAGGGAGUGGGCUCGGGGGUGCUCUGGGUCCGCAAGGAGGUGGCGACUACGGCAGAGUGCUCAAUUUGGCUUGAAAGGAACUGAGUACGGUGGAUUUCAGAGAGGGGGAUGUCGGGUUUCUUCGGCCGUGGACAGCGAAAACGGACGGCGUCGUCCACGUCGGUGCUCAAGUGGAGGGAGGAGCGAGCUCUGGGCGUCCACGUCGCCUGGCGGCUCUGGCAGCAAGCAGCUGCGUGCUUGCACGCAUGCGCGCAGCGCAGCUCGCGCGGCGGAUGCGCUGGACAGGGGCCGGUGAUCCUCAUCGGAUCACUGUAGCAACCCCUAUCUUCCCCCUUUUGUCCCCUUGCGAAAUUCGGCCAAAGUUUGAACUAAAGCCAAAUUGCCACCAAAAUAAAAGUUGUGCCAAAUUUUGUAAACUACAAAUCAUCUUUUGGUGGCCAGGGCUGAUUCUGAGUAGAAAAUAGCUAAUUUGGCCAAACAGUUUUGAAAUUGAACUCAAUUCAAAGAAAUUCAAAUUUUUGAAUUGGGGACAAAACAGGAUUUCCAAAAUUACUUUUGAUUUUGCAUAACAACUUGAAACACUCCCAACAUGAAAGUUGCUCAACUUUUUGUGCUCUACAACUUUCAUGUUGACCACAUUUUAAAAUUCCAAAUGGAUUUUGAUUUGGGGGUUUAAGUUGGAAAAGGGGACACUUUCUGGAAAUCUGUAUUUUCAAAAUUACUUUGAAUUUUGUAUUGAAACUUCAAAAACUCAAAACACCAAAGUUGUACACCUUGACAAGAUCUACAACUUUGCUUUUGAACUCAUCCCCAAAUUUUGCUUAGUUUUUUAAUUGCACAAAAAGGGGAAAUUCUAGGGUCCAGAAUUCAGGGUUCCCCCCCUUAGCUUUCGAAAAUCUUCCACCCUAGGGUUUUAGCAAGCAUCAACACACAACAUGAGCACACUCUACUUCCCAAAACACAAGCAAUCAAAAUAAACUUGUUUUAAGUUGAUGCAUAACAAUGUGCUUAACAAAUAUGCUUUGCAAUGCUUAUGAUGACAUGAUCCGUUUUUAGUAUUCGUAACAUCAGGGAUGUUACAGCAACUGAAUCAGGAAAAAUGCGUUCCCACUCAAGACAACAGAAAGCACGAUCCAACCGAACCAGCGUGGGAGACCUCCUCUCAUUAGACCAUGUGUAUUUGCGGCACAGCAAAGGUAUUCUUUGAUCUCGGUGUCAUCCAAAACCCGCCUAAAUCUUCCGAUCAUAGCCCUAUCCAGAUUUGCAUUAUUCUUGUUGGCAGCUUGGUAUAUAAGGUUGAAAUCUCAUGCCACAAGCCAAGGUCCACUGUCCAGUGCCCUACAGUUUCUGAGUUUUUGUAGGAACAACACCUUCUCCUCAUCUCUUUGUGGUCAAUAGACUACGGUGAACCACAAAUUGCGGCCUUGUCGCUCGGAAAACAUGACGGACAUAGAGUAGGUAUCCAUCCUAGAAGCAAUCGCUUGACAAGAGCUACCUUUCCAAGCAAUGAGAACGCCCCCUAGUAUCAGUGGCGGGCAACGCAAUGUAUUUAUCAUAAGCCGAUCCAAACACUGAGAGGAACAAAAAUUGGGUCAUGCUUGCGAUCUUUGUCUCUUGCAAACAGACAAUAUCGGUGUUGCUGGUACGGAUGACAUCUCUGACGCCAUUGUGACGGCCGCUUUGGUUCAGGCCUCGCACAUUCCAAAUCAAAAUAGAUGCAGGAUUCAUUUUAAUGAAAAAUUAAAAUUGUAGAGUUAUAAGUGUUGCAUAGAUAGCUGGUAUGGAUGCUUCAGACAACGUUAACGUUGAUGUUUUUAGUCCAAACUAUGUAAACAAAUAUUUUAUUUUUAAUCAUUUAUAACUGUUGUAUCUAUUAUUUUGUCUCACUUAUUAUAGUUUAUAGAAGGGCUAGCCUCGUGCAGUGGAGAGAGCUGUCUCACUGAGUCACCAGGUCGUCGGUUUGAAGCAGCCUCCAUAUAGAUUUUGCAGGGGAAGGCUUGCCUCGGUGUGGGUCUGCCUUUUUUUCACUUAUCACAGUUGAUGGAUCUGAAUCCAGCAGUGAUACUGUUUUUUUUGUCACAUGUGGCUGCUUCUUUUUUUUUAUUUUGCCACUUGUCACUCCUGCUAGAUCUGAAUCUUACAAUAAUAGCAGAUUUGGAUCAAACAGUAACUGUUUUUUUGCAUGUAACCCUUGUAGAAACAAUUGUAAUUCUUAUUAUUGGGGCAGUUUAUUUUGUUUGGCAUAAACGGUCGUUAUACCAUCCACGAGUUUUGGUCCUUAUACGUUUCCUAGUUACGAUUUGUGUAAUCACAUAAUUGUAGACAAUUAAUUAGAUUAUGGUUACAAAUCCAGAUAAUAUUUGCGAUCUAAUUACUUAAAUUCUAUAAAACAAUUUUCAACAAAAUACCUUAACAAUAAUAUCAUUAUUAUUGUACUAUAUUAUAAAUAGGUUUGUAUAUCAUGUGCAUCUAGGAAGAUGCAAGAAAAAAGAACCAACUUUAUUGAGUCCGCAUCAAACAAAUGCUCAUUACAGUGCUUAAUCUGGGCAACUUCAUGUAUGCAACAAGAAGUAGCUUAAUGUGGACAGCUUCAUACAAUUGUUGUAGCAGUGUAGCAUGUCACGGACUUUAUCUUUAUCUGCCUUUGGUUUGGUGAUAACGUCUCAGACAAGGUGUGGUGGUGACGAUGGCACAUGCGGUGGUGGAGAUGACUUGUGUUGAUGAUGGUGGGAUGUCUCAAACAAAUGACGUGGUGGUGAUGCUGGCAGUGGUGGCGGCGGUGUAGACGGGUGGUGAUAAUGGCGCGACGUCUCGGACAAAUGGCGUGGUGGUGACAAUGGACCAGGUGGUGGUGGUGGUGCCGACCUGUGGUGAUGACGAUGGUGUGAUGUCUCAAACAAAUGGCCUGGUGCCAACAAUGGCACUGGCGGCGGUGUUGGUGACUCGUGGUGAUGCCAGUGUGCCAUCUCAAACAAACUUCUCGAUGGCAAUGACGUUACUGGUGGUGGCGGAGGUGACUUGUGGUGAUGAUGGUGCAGUGUCUCAAACAAGUGGCGUGGUGGUGACGACGGCACUGAGGGUGGCGGGGGCGACCUAUGGUGGUGAUGGUGUAAUGUCUGUAUCAAACUGCGAGGUGGUGAUGGCGGCAUUGGUGGUGGCGACCCAUGAUGGUGAUGAUGGUGCGACAUUUCAGACAAACUACGCGGUAGUGUUGAUUCCGUUGGUGGCGGCGGUGGUGAGCUGUGGUGAUAAUGCCAAUCAUCGAGUUGGUCUUGGCCUAGACAUGAAUGCAACAUAAUACAAAAUAAUCAAAUUACUUUAUAAAAAUUUCAAUAAUUUUGACGAAGUUUAUGGAAAAAAUACUGUAACAUUUAAAUCUUCAAAUUACUUUUGUUAAAUUCUUUAGGGCAUAUGUUAUUAGAGUCAUUUAACUUAUAAAAAACCCAAAAACAAGCUAUUCUUUGAACAAAGUGAGUAAUAUGUAACAAUGCAAUGUAUAAAUAAUUAUCUCUCUAUCUCUAUAUAUACCUUGGCAUGAUGGGGUGGUUGAAUAAAUGAUCAUAAUUAUCAGGAAAAUAGAACUUGUCAGGUAUACGUUCCUCAUUGUAUAGACUUGGCGUGACUGAUGCUAGAGGACAGUACCACUCUUUUCUUUUCUCCACCUUAUUUCCCGGUUUCACCUUGUUUAGGUAUCAGGAGUGGUGUGCAUUGUAUCUGUAUUUCCUUUCAGCCUUAGUGUGUAGGUGUUUAUAUAGGAGUACCCCGAAACCUUGAGUAAGAUUAAUUGUCAUAAUUUAUUUGUUUCUACUUGUAUCUAUAUCUAUAUCUAUAUCUAUAUCUAUAUCUAUAUCUAUAUCUAUAUCUAUAUCUAUAUCUAUAUCUAUAUCUAUAUCUAUAUCUAUAUCUAUAUCUAUAUCUAUAUCUAUAUCUAAUUUGUUAUAUAUCUAUAUCUAUAUCUAAUUUGUUAUAUCUAAAUCCAUAUCUCUAACUCUAUCUUUAUCCCUGUCUCUAUCUCUCUAUCUAUCAUGUACCAGCCUAAAUACUUAUCUAUUUGGCCAAAAUCUAUAAAAGUAAAAAUCUUUUUAUGUCUAUAUCUCUACUCUAUCUCUUUCUAUCUGUACCUAGAUAUCUAUUUUUUUGUUUGUGUAUAUAAUUUAUUUAUUUACUUAUGAUCAAUCUGAAUGACACUAGCCCUCAAAGUGCCUCAAGAAUAUAUAUUUAUUUAUUUAUCUUAUAUAUUUAUCUAUCUCGUGGCAUUAACGUUCAUCUAUCUAUGAUUUUAUUUAUUUAUUGAACUUAUGUGAUUACUUAUAGUAGGACCGUCAAGAGUAAUUUUGUUGCAAUAACAAAUAACUCAAGCAUAAGACCACAAACUUACUGCAUUGUUCAUCCAUAGCCAUAAAUAUACUACUUUGUUCACCUACCACAGUAGGACCUAAUGUGGAUGUCUAGAACAUAUGAAUUUAGGCUCUCAUACUAGUAAAACCAAAUAUAUUUUUCUAGGGAACCAUAAAACAUGUCAUGAUCGUUGUGGCGAAGUAGAAAAUCAACUAUUUUGUUCUGCAACCAUAUAACCAAAUUAUGCUAAAUAGCAAUGGGCUUGGGAGCUACACCCAAUCGGUGGACUUUGCAAGAAAGCACACACAAUUUGAGAAUCUGAAGAGCACUUCAUGGCUUCUCUCAAUAAGGUUACUCAGAUGCUGCUUGAUUCUACUCAGCAAUGACUUGGAGACUUAAGAAGACUUCAAAAUUCCACAAUGAAGAGCUCGGAGGCUUGAUGGACCAAGAUCCUAAGGGUUUCCCAUAGGCCCGACUACCUAGUAGGAGAUGGGCGGCCCACGACCUGCCUGGAAAUCGCAAAACAAGGCGGCAUGCUCUCCAUGGCAAGAAGGACCGACCUACUCAAAUUAUUGGAAAGUCUAUCUCACGGAUUAAGACAUAAAUAUGCACCCACCCUCUCGAGUAUAUAAAGAGAGACAGGGGCCGCCCUUGUAACAUCAUCAUGCAAAGAAAUCCAAUAUAGGGCAACACACAAUAGCGGGCAUAGUGUGUUACACUAUUUAGUUGUUUGAACUACUAUAAAUCAUUCUUUCUCAUUUAAUGAUUAAGUUAAAUUUACGUCGAAGCCCACCAAUCUUUGUUGUGGGUGGCCUCAUAGCAACGUUGCCGGUCAUUAGACACUAACAAUGGGGAGAUAGUGGCACCAUUCACUAUGUGAAAAAAGUAUUAAAUUCACACAUCCUGUAUAGACGCCACCACGUACAUGCGUACUUACGGACGUCUGUAGUAACUGGCCGGCCCAGCGAGAUCAACAUGUUUCUAUAAUACGAUGGUAGUGUUGAAUGAGGGGUCUUAGGUUUGAUUCUCCAUAGUUGCAAGUUUUUUGGUUUUGGAUUUUUUCGCGAACAUUAACCAAUGUAGUAUGAAUUUACCAUGGCGGGCGACCGUCACGGUUAUGUUUUUUGUAGUAGUGUUUUCCUGAAUCUAGCCUGCUGAUGAAAAAAAUGCAGUAUAUCUCCCUCUUUAAGGUACAGAAUUCUAGAGCGUAGCCGAGCGAUGGUUCGUUUAAGAGAUGCGAACCCAAGACAAUGAAGUUUGAGUUUCUUGCGCAGCCACUCCUCUUACUCAGUAAGAUCCCUGGAAUCCCUUUCAAUUUCAAAGCGGUGAAGGAUCUCUUUUGCCAUCUCAAGCUUAAUUUUCAUAUUCCCCACCUUCCUUUGUCCCCAUUUUUGGAGCGCUUUGCUGAGUCGCUGCAGCUUCAGAGAAAACCGCUCUACAGCACAAAUAGACUGCACUAGAGCUUCCCAAUUCUGUUUGAAAGCAUCUAUAAAACCUGGGACCUUUGUCCAGAAGCUUUCAAAAUGAAAACGACACUUGCUGCUGGUGGCCACUUUUAAGCCAAGGAUGAGUGGACAGUGAUCAGAUACACCUGCUGUUGUGCUCUACAGAACUGAUUCAGGAAAAAUGCCUUCCCACUCAAGACAACAGAAAGCACGAUCCAAGCAAACCAGCGUGGGUGACCUCCUCUCAUUAGACCAUGUGUAUUUGCGGCCCAGCAAAGGUAUUCUUUGAUCUCGGUGUCAUCCAAAAAUCUCCUAAAUCUUCCCAUCAUAGCCCUGUCCAGAUUUGCAUUAUUCUUGUUGGCAGCUUGGUAUAUAAGGUUGGAAUCUCCUGCCACAAGCCAAGGUCCAUUGUCCAGGGCCCUACAGUUUCUGAGUUUUUGUAGGAACAACACCUUCUCCUCGUCUCUUUGUGGUCCAUAGACUAAGGUGAACCACAAAUUACGGUCUUGUCGCUCGGAAAACAUGACCGACACAUAGUAGGUAUCCACCAUAGAAGCAACCGCUUGACAAGAGCUACCUUUCCAAGCAAUGAGAACGCCCCCCCUAGUAUCACUGGCCGGCAAUGCAAUGUAUUUAUCAUAAGCCGAUCCAAACACGAAGGGGAACAAAAACUGGGUCAUGCUUGCGAUCUUUGUCUCUUGCAAACAGACAAUAUCGGCGUUGCUGGUACCACUAGUACAGAGAAGGGCUUUAGCCCCGGGCCGUAAGAGCCUUUAGUCCCGGCUAUGGAACCGGGGCUAAGGUUUCAGGACUAAAUGUCCCACCUUUAGUCCCGGUUGGUAACAGCAACCGGGACUAAAAGGUGCGCCAGGGUGUGCCACCUGGCCUCCACUUUUAGUCCCGGUUGUUGCUACCAACCGAGACUAAAGACUAUUUUCUUUUUUAUUUUUCUUUUCAUUUGGUUUUCCAUUUAGGGUUUACAAUUAUGUUAUUGUUAUUUUCGAAUGCGUAUUGUUUGCUGGUAGUUUAUGGAACGCGCACCUAUAAUUUAUAUAAUUUAAAGGAUUACAUAUAAAUAUACUAUAAAACAUAUAUAUAAUAUGUAUCUAUAGGUCCAUAAUAUAAUAUGUACACAUAUGCUUCACGGACAAAGUAUUUACAACACAAUUUAUCUCCGCCACUCAAGCAUCGUACAAAUGAUCAUCGUUAUUUGGUUUCAUCUGCUCCUGAGGGUUGAAGUAGCACUCGCCGCCGGGAUCCAGGACUUGGUUGUUAAGAAAUCCUGCGAUUGUCUCCUGAAUUCCUUUUAGGCGCACCGCAUCCAACACCUGCUCCUUCAGCCACAUCUCCUUUAAUAGACAUUAAAGAAAAAAGUUAGAGGUAUGAAUAGGAUUUAUUAAAUAGCAACAAAUAAAUGAAAUAAACUUAUUAUAUAUACAUGUUACAUACUUUUAGGUGCUCAAGAUUAGUUCUUUUGGCAUACACCGUCAUAAACUCGCACACAUAGUAGCCACACAAAUUGUUACCCGGUGUCUGCCGUAGAACCCACUGAAGUAAGAUGGGCUUUGAAAGUGCUGCAUUCAACUCUGGACGGUGUUUCUGCACGAACCCAGCCCAAACCCUAGCAAAAAAACGAUCAUUAUUAAUUAUCCAUUACCUAGUUAAAAGAGCAGAAUUUAAUAUAUAGAGAUCGGAGUUACCCUUGGAUAAUAUCUAUCUUUUCUUGGUAAUCGUCCUGUGGUUUUCUCAAUGAGUCAUAGAUUACCAAUUGACAUUGCCAGAGAUCAAUGACAAUUAGUAUCCAAUGAAAGCUGUAUUUGAGUGCAUAUGUAGGCAAAAUUAGUAUAUAUCUUCAUAUUGAUCUGAUUAAUUAGUUGUCACACCCAUAUUUUAAGAACAAAAUAGGAUGCAUAAAAGACUCAUAUGUGCCCCAGGAAUAGUCGCACACAUAAGUAGACAAAUCUCAAAUGUACCAUUGCAGUGUUUAUUACAUAGCGAAAUAUAUAUUGAAUCACAUAGUCUCAUACAAAAAUGAUAGCAUAAAGUAAACAACGCUCUCGACGGAAGCUCCACACAGGGACACUGUUGACUGGUUGACUCCAAACCUAGUACUCAUAACGGUAAUCUUCAUUCCAGUCAUCUUCAUUAUCAUAUCCUGAGGUGUUGGGAAAUUGCAAGGGUGAGCACAUAUCGUACUCAACAAGUAUAACCAGGGGUUCAUGAGGCUCAAUUAGCUGACACUGGUUUGACUGCAUUUAGCUUUUAAUAGUGGAUAGCAUGUUCAUAAUUAAAUAGCAAUUGUCAAGGAAGCAUAAAUAAUCCAUUAAUCCCAUGAUCAAGUGUAAGCAUAAUUAACCUCAUAGCAUAAACGAUAAUCAAAUGAACAUAAUAACAUAACAAGCUCAUCAUCUUAAUGUAGAUGUCCCCAAGGCCGCUCCUGACCGUGAGCUCGGCUAGUAUACCAGUUUUACACUCUGCAGAGGUUGUACAUCUUUACCCAUGAGUCAUGAUUUACCCUUUCGCCCGAGGUAGCUAAUCUCUUAACCCCCUUCCUAGGGAGGUCGGCAGGGAUCACUAUGAAGCCUUUCAAAAGUUCGUCUAACAAGUUAGGGCCGCAAGGUUUCCUUUGCGCGCAGAUAUAGAGCCCCCCUUCCGAUGGCACAAUGACUCGCAGCCUAUACUCAUGCAGACAGAGGCCACACUAUACCCAAAACGGUUCAGCCCCUCCGCCCUUUCGGGUAACCGCUAACAAGCUAGAAAAGGGCUUCAUACUGAGCUAAAGCCAGAGCCAUAAUAGCCCUCAUGGUUGCACUGUUAUCCCGGGUGAUCACGUACAGACAAGAUCUCAUACAGUUAUUUGUCAUUCUUUUAUGUUCAUUGCAUAGCUAUUAAUCAUCUUACAAGAUCAUGGAUUAUAUCAAGCACUAGCACAUCUACACCAAAUGCAUAUCAAGUAGGUAGCAAGGAAUACAGGUAACAAUUGUCUAUGAUUUUGCUAAGGUCGACAAGGUGAUAGCAUGCAUAUGAUAUAUAUGUGUACUUAAGUGAAUAGGUAACAAGGAUGAUCCCAAGUUAUACUUGCCUUGCUCAAAGCUCUCCUGAGCCUGCUGGUCUUCAAAAGCUAGGUCUUGAUCACCAACGUACAGCUCACCGUCUAUUCCCAAACAUCAAUCAACAACACGCAAUCCAAUGGAGACAAUCAUACACAAAGCAAACAAGGUAUAAUUAGAACAUUACACCAAACAGUGGUAAAACAAAUAUAAAAGUUUAUCAAAAUAUUCUACGCAGCGCUACGAUCACACAAACGUAAAGUUCACGAAAAUCGGAAUUAAAACGUGAAAGAUAUGAAUUUUCUAAGAUUUCCUAUAGAGAAAUAAUUAAUUAAAUGCUACUGCAGAAUUAAAAAGUUUCAAAACAGUAAACUAAUAUUUCUAACAUGUAGAGCAUACAAUUACGAACCUGACGCAAUUUGAAUGGAUAAAAACGGAGUUAAAACGAAUAUUUUAUGAGCAAAACAAAAUCAGUGGCAAUCUUGUAAAUAGCAGAAAAAGCAUUUUUUUUUCAACCGGCCGUCACCAGCUCCGGUGCGGUGGCUCCAUUGCCGGCCGGAAGGAGCUCGCCGGCGACGACGGACUUCUCGAUUCCGAGCACCGUUUCGCGAAAGGAAAACACCGGGAUGAAGAGGAGCUCACCACGAUCUCGUCUAAGCGCUUGGUUGGGUCCGAGAGAGAACGGAGACGCGCGCACCACGGAGAAGGACAAGGUCGGCCCCGGUGAGAUCCAACCAAGCUUCACUGGGGCGUCUAGGGCUUGCUUUUUGCGACUUCGAUGCAAACAGAGGCUACGGCUUUGGAGGGGAAACUUUAUAGGACGUUGGUUGGCGAAAAAGGCAAGGAGAUCCCGCUGCUUUCGCGAUUGGAAACGGCUGCACAGAGCCCACGUCGAACACGGCGGGAGGUAGGGGAAAGGGGCGCGGCUGACGGGUGGGCCCCGGCCGUCAGCGGGCCAUGGAGGGGGAAACGGGUGAGCGCGCACGCGGCCUGGCCGCUGGACCUUUCUCGGGCCGAGAGCGGAAGUGGGCCGGGGUGAGGGGGUGAACUGGCUGGGCGCUGGCUUUCUGUUUUUUUUCUUUUCUGUUUUCUUUUUCCUAUUUCUCCUUUGUUUUCUAAAGUCUUUUUGAUAAGAGAUUUUAAAUCCUUAUGGGAGAAAUACAAAAUACAUAGACAAAAGCAAGCAAGCAAGUAAAUAAAUAAAUUAAUCGCAGCAUGAAUGCACCACCAUGUUUCUAAACUUAUAAUGAAUUGUAUAUUUUGACCAAAACUAUUUUAUUUACUAAAUUAAAUGCUCACCAAAAAUGCUUAAUUAAAUCGAAUUAAUUCCUAUUAAUUGAAAACAAAUUUUUGGAUCUUACAAAUUCUACCCCCCUUAAAAGAAUCUCGUCCUCGAGAUUGAAAGGUGCUUACUCAAACAGGUAUGAGUAUGAUUUCCUCAUAUCAUCCUCUCUUUCCCAAGUUGCCUCUGCUUCCGAAUACCGAUUCCAGUGUACUAGCAAAUUUAAUGUCUCUAGUCGAGUAACAUACCUGGUAACUUAUCUGAAAAUUUAUCCCCUACCCAGUCCUGAAGAUCAACACCAUCAUCCAGCUGAUUCACUGUAGCUGUGGGUGGAGCCUGCACUGCUACAUCCACACUGAUUCUCUCCCCCUUGGGUGUUGUCACCACUACUACUUUUUCUUUACACUUAAUUUCCGUAGCAUAUUUCUUCAUCCAAUCCAAACCCAAUAUCACAUCUAUGCCUGAGGUUCUCAUAACCAUGGGACUAACAGGGAAAUCUACCCCCCUUAAAGAAAGACUUGCUGAGGGGCAACAAUAUGAAACUGGUAUAGUCCCUCCCGGUGAGUUUACUAGCAUAUGGGUUUUCAGGGCAACUAGUGGUAUGCUAUGAGCUCUAACAAAUGCUUGUGAUAUGAAUGUAUGCGAAGCUCCAGAAUCAAAUAAAACUGUAGCGGGAAUAGAGUUGAUACUGAACGUACCCAUCAUAAUCUCCGGUCCCUCUUGUACUGUCUCUGCAGCCACAUGGUUCACCUUUGCUCCAUGAGAAUUAGACUUUUGGUUGUUGUUCUGCUGGUUGAAUCUCUCCGGGCAAUCAUAUGACAUAUGACCUUCUUUCCCACAGCGAAAACACCUAGUAGGGGUAUUGGAAGCACUUCUCUUCAUAGAGCUGGCAUUUGAAUUUCCUGAGCGGUGAAUCUGCUGACCACUCUGCUGUUGAUUAGGAUCACGCUGAGGUUGUUGGUUGCGAUCCCGUUGACUAACUGGUCCAUGGUACCUCUGUUGAUCGCCCUGCUGAGAAUUGAAACGUUGGCGGUUGUUGCCUCCAGAACCUUGGGCUAGCAUCCUUCUCUUCUUGUCUUGGCCUUUUCGCAUGUUAUCCAACACAAUAGCACGGUUCACCAGAGCCUAGAAGGUAGGAUAUGUGUUUCCAGCUAGUUGCAAUCUGAGUUCAUAGUAAAGACCUUUCAUGAAGAGACGUUUUUUGUCAGCAUCCUCUCUAACUUCGUUUGGGGCAUAGCGAGCCAACUGCUCAAACAUGUCAUGAUACUCAGCCACAGACAUAGAACCCAUCCUGAGAGAUCUAAAUUCUUCCUGCUUGAGCUCCAUCAUUCCUUCAUUGAUAUGUCGCGCUCUAAAGUCUCUGCAAAAUUCCAACCAAGUGACAGGAGGAGCAUUGUUGGGACGAGCAGCUUGAUAUGACUCCCACCAUGUCUGCGCUGCUCCCUGAAGUUGACCAGAAGCAUACAACACCUUCUCUAAGUCAUUGCACUGUGCUAUGUUUAGUUGCCUCUCCACAGCACGUAACCAAUCAUCCGCCUCCAUGGGAUCCGCUGAGUGUGUAAAUACCGGAGGUUUCCCUUCAUGAAUUCCCCCCGCUUAUCUCUCACAUGAACAGGUGGUGGUGUUGGUGGAGGUUGUUGUUGUAGGUGUUGCAUGAAGACGUGCAUCAUCUGAUUCUGAGUUUGCAUAAGUUCCUCCACAGUAAUUGGGGCAUUGUCACCAUUGCCACGGCCUCUACCUCUGCCUCUUCCCCUUGCUGCCAUCUGCAUUCCAAGGUAUAUAAACACAUCUUUGUAAUGUCCAACAUGACAAUUACAAGAGUUAACCGAAUCUGAAAUUUUCUGGGUAAUAUCCAACAUCAGCAGAUCAGAAAAUCAGUAAUAUCUCGAGUUCCAGAAUUCAAAAGGAUACAUGCUGUACACCGUUGGAAAGAUAAAGAAAUUGUCUACAACUUUCAUUUAGAUCAUAUUACCAGAUUCCAACGUGAGGUUAACCAAAAACUGGGUACAACCGAAACUGUUCCAGAAUUCCAGACUGCGCAGAAACCUCAACUUUAAACAGUUAUCACUCACAGUUCAUAACAGAUAAUAAUGUCAUUCUUGAGGCAUUGGAAAGAUAUGGAAGUCCACUUGUUUCCAGAAAAAUUUGAUGAACAUUGCACAAACAGAUUUUGAGAUGUACCAGAUUCUUUGCGGACUGCUCCAGAAAACAGCAAAGGACGGAAACAGAAUCUUACCCAAACCCAACUAUUUAAUUCAUUAAUCCUUAUGCCUUAAGCCUAUAAACUAAAUGAAAUUGUAGAGGAAAUCCACAAGAUCAUUGCACUCAUUACAAAGAUCCAAAUCAAGCAUAAGCAUAAUAACAAACCAAACCAAGCAUCAAAGGUUCACAUUUCAAGCAUUAACUCAACUUGCGGUACUAUCGUUCUCUUCCUAUUAAGGGCAAAGAUUCCUAAAAUUCUCUUUCAACUAUGUAAGCAGGUGGUAAGAGAAGGUUCUAAAAGCAUAUUCAAAGCAAGGAGUGGGGAUGAGAACAAGUCUUUAAGAUAAGCAACAAGGUGAAGAUGAAUAGGAUAUAGUGUAGAAGAAAAUAUCAAGGUUUAUAGAACAAGGAUUUUAUAGCAAUUUCAAAACCUUAUGACGGCCAAUUUCUAACUAGGCUUGCGUCCGACAGUCAACAAAGCUUUGAUACCAAUUUGUCACACCCAUAUUUUAAGAACAAAAUAGGAUGCAUAAAAGACUCAUAUGUGCCCCAGGAAUAGUCGCACACAUAAGUAGACAAAUCUCAAAUGUACCAUUGCAGUGUUUAUUACAUAGCGAAAUAUAUAUUGAAUCACAUAGUCUCAUACAAAAAUGAUAGCAUAAAGUAAACAACGCUCUCGACGGAAGCUCCACACAGGGACACUGUUGACUGGUUGACUCCAAACCUAGUACUCAUAACGGUAAUCUUCAUUCCAGUCAUCUUCAUUAUCAUAUCCUGAGGUGUUGGGAAAUUGCAAGGGUGAGCACAUAUCGUACUCAACAAGUAUAACCAGGGGUUCAUGAGGCUCAAUUAGCUGACACUGGUUUGACUGCAUUUAGCUUUUAAUAGUGGAUAGCAUGUUCAUAAUUAAAUAGCAAUUGUCAAGGAAGCAUAAAUAAUCCAUUAAUCCCAUGAUCAAGUGUAAGCAUAAUUAACCUCAUAGCAUAAACGAUAAUCAAAUGAACAUAAUAACAUAACAAGCUCAUCAUCUUAAUGUAGAUGUCCCCAAGGCCGCUCCUGACCGUGAGCUCGGCUAGUAUACCAGUUUUACACUCUGCAGAGGUUGUACAUCUUUACCCAUGAGUCAUGAUUUACCCUUUCGCCCGAGGUAGCUAAUCUCUUAACCCCCUUCCUAGGGAGGUCGGCAGGGAUCACUAUGAAGCCUUUCAAAAGUUCGUCUAACAAGUUAGGGCCGCAAGGUUUCCUUUGCGCGCAGAUAUAGAGCCCCCCUUCCGAUGGCACAAUGACUCGCAGCCUAUACUCAUGCAGACAGAGGCCACACUAUACCCAAAACGGUUCAGCCCCUCCGCCCUUUCGGGUAACCGCUAACAAGCUAGAAAAGGGCUUCAUACUGAGCUAAAGCCAGAGCCAUAAUAGCCCUCAUGGUUGCACUGUUAUCCCGGGUGAUCACGUACAGACAAGAUCUCAUACAGUUAUUUGUCAUUCUUUUAUGUUCAUUGCAUAGCUAUUAAUCAUCUUACAAGAUCAUGGAUUAUAUCAAGCACUAGCACAUCUACACCAAAUGCAUAUCAAGUAGGUAGCAAGGAAUACAGGUAACAAUUGUCUAUGAUUUUGCUAAGGUCGACAAGGUGAUAGCAUGCAUAUGAUAUAUAUGUGUACUUAAGUGAAUAGGUAACAAGGAUGAUCCCAAGUUAUACUUGCCUUGCUCAAAGCUCUCCUGAGCCUGCUGGUCUUCAAAAGCUAGGUCUUGAUCACCAACGUACAGCUCACCGUCUAUUCCCAAACAUCAAUCAACAACACGCAAUCCAAUGGAGACAAUCAUACACAAAGCAAACAAGGUAUAAUUAGAACAUUACACCAAACAGUGGUAAAACAAAUAUAAAAGUUUAUCAAAAUAUUCUACGCAGCUCUACGAUCACACAAACGUAAAGUUCACGAAAAUCGGAAUUAAAACGUGAAAGAUAUGAAUUUUCUAAGAUUUCCUAUAGAGAAAUAAUUAAUUAAAUGCUACUGUAGAAUUAAAAAGUUUCAAAACAGUAAACUAAUAUUUCUAACAUGUAGAGCAUACAAUUACGAACCUGACGCAAUUUGAAUGGAUAAAAACGGAGUUAAAACGAAUAUUUUAUGAGCAAAACAAAAUCAGUGGCAAUCUUGUAAAUAGCAGAAAAAGCAUUUUUUUUCAACCGGCCGUCACCAGCUCCGGUGCGGUGGCUCCAUUGCCGGCCGGAAGGAGCUCGCCGGCGACGACGGACUUCUCGAUUCCGAGCACCGUUUCGCGAAAGGAAAACACCGGGAUGAAGAGGAGCUCACCACGAUCUCGUCUAAGCGCUUGGUUGGGUCCGAGAGAGAACGGAGACGCGCGCACCACGGAGAAGGACAAGGUCGGCCCCGGUGAGAUCCAACCAAGCUUCACUGGGGCGUCUAGGGCUUGCUUUUUGCGACUUCGAUGCAAACAGAGGCUACGGCUUUGGAGGGGAAACUUUAUAGGACGUUGGUUGGCGAAAAAGGCAAGGAGAUCCCGCUGCUUUCGCGAUUGGAAACGGCUGCACAGAGCCCACGUCGAACACGGCGGGAGGUAGGGGAAAGGGGCGCGGCUGACGGGUGGGCCCCGGCCGUCAGCGGGCCAUGGAGGGGGAAACGGGUGAGCGCGCACGCGGCCUGGCCGCUGGACCUUUCUCGGGCCGAGAGCGGAAGUGGGCCGGGGUGAGGGGGUGAACUGGCUGGGCGCUGGCUUUCUGUUUUUUUUUCUUUUCUGUUUUCUUUUUCCUAUUUCUCCUUUGUUUUCUAAAGUCUUUUUGAUAAGAGAUUUUAAAUCCUUAUGGGAGAAAUACAAAAUACAUAGACAAAAGCAAGCAAGCAAGUAAAUAAAUAAAUUAAUCGCAGCAUGAAUGCACCACCAUGUUUCUAAACUUAUAAUGAAUUGUAUAUUUUGACCAAAACUAUUUUAUUUACUAAAUUAAAUGCUCACCAAAAAUGCUUAAUUAAAUCGAAUUAAUUCCUAUUAAUUGAAAACAAAUUUUUGGAUGUUACAUUAGUUAAAUAGAAUGUACACACGAUAACGACACUUACUUAAAGUUGUAGGGAAAGAGUAUAUAUCUUUUAUCUUUUUGGUUGAUCAAGAACCUCCGUAGAUUUCUCUCCGUUUGAGUUCUCCAUAAGACAUACGGGGUCUUGUGGUCUUUGAAUACAACAUUUGGAUCCACAAAUCCAAUCUCCUUGUCAUUUCUAACUCUGAGGUCCCUCAUCAUGUUUCUGCAUAUGUAUAGCGGGUUUCUGUAAUUAGUUAUAUAUAUACAUGAUAAGUUACAGAGACAUGAAUGAAAGGAAGAAUCACUUACAGACAGAAGCAACUCAUUAGAGAUUUGUCAAGAGCGUCCAUGUGGCAUAGUUGGUGUAGCUCAUUAAAUUUAACAUAAAUAAUAUCAUCACCACGGAAGUAAUGAUAGUUUUUAAUUCGGACACAAAUAUAGUCAUCUGCUUUUUUGACACACGCUUCCAUGUACCAUUUGUUUAGCAUGUACAUUUGCGUUCCAAGCUUGCUGAGGGCCGCAGGGUUGUAUAAACUCUUGCCAUAUGUAUAUUCCUUCUGCCAAUGAUCAAUUUGUUGAGCACUUUCAAUUGGUGCCCCCGCUAUCAUUUGGGCUAAGCUAAGACCAAUUUCCGCAAAAAAAAUUUCAAGCUCAUCAAAUUUUAAAUCUGCCGGUAUCUGCUGGUCUAGCACGUCAAUGUUUGAACCAUAUUCAUUUCCAAUGACUAGCGAGGGCACUGAUUGCUUUGAUUGUUCCCCGAGCUGUGCUACACCCUUGCGUGCUCUUUUCUCUUUCUUCUUCUCUUCUUCUAUGGAUUUCCUUAAAGUGCGAUCAUAGUCCGAUAAAGAUGAUGAUUCUUUCUGAGCUUCACGCCUCUUUUUUUUGUUCAGCCUCAACCCUUUGUCGUAGAUCUUGUGGCCAUAGUAAGAGGUACGGUUUCUUAGGGUUUCGCUUGGCUUCUCUUUCAGUCUUAAGUUUCUUGAAGAAACUAUCCACGUCUGAUUUUACUGAAGCAUUUAGUUCUGCAUUAGUCUUCUCAUAGGACAGCUUCUUAGGAAUGAUAGCUUGUUUCUUUUCGGAGGCUUUCUUUUUUGGCGGCGGGGCGGCCGACACAUUUGAUUAUGUGUCCGGCCUCUUCUUUCGUGCUGGAGCCACGUGUGGAGGCGAUGGGGCGGCCGGUGGCGGUGUUGGAGCCCGAGGAGGCGGCGUUGGAGCCCUAGGUGGCGUUGGAGCCCUAGGUGGCGGUGUUGGAGCCUGAGGUGGCGGUGUUGGAGCCCGAGGUGGCGGUGUUGGAGCCCUAGGUGGUGGCGUUGGAGACCGAGGCGAUGCAGCCGUGUCUUGCACUCCCUCGUCAUCACCCACAGCACUAUGACAUGUCGGUGACCACCUGUGAAAACAAAAGGUAUAUGAGUAAACUGCUAACUAAGAGAAUGCAAAAUAAAUUUAGUGAACAAAUGUAUAGUCAAUUUUCAUCCACACCUAGGAUUAGAUUCGUGACAAGGAGGUGGUGGUAGACUACUAGGUGAUGCCCCAGGAAUAAUGAUGUAGCACUUGCGCCAACAAAUAAAAGUCUUCUCUACUUCUCCUAGAGUCUUCUCUCCAUCACCUCCUUCUAUCUCAAGAUGCACACAUUACUGAAGCCUUUGACAACUCUAUCCACCGAGACACUAGCAUAUCUAGGUGGAACUAUCGCCCCAUGGAUUCUUGGUGUCCUCGUAGGGUCAACAGGAGUUACAACACCGACAGCAACCAUGACUGUGGCAGUCCCCUGUGGAAUGUGCAGCUCACAUGUUGUCAGAGGUUCAGUGAUGUCAUCCACCGGAAAGUGCAGCCCCACGUCGUCUUGAAUAGUUGGCAUCUCUGUGGAAGCGCAACUACUUUUCAACUGACCGGGGGGGCUAUUGUUGACUCUAGGCUCUGAUGCAGUUUGCCCUUGUAUAGAACUUACUGCAAUCUACACUUGUCUUUUGAUCUCCUCAUUCAUUCUCUCUUCAAGCGCUUUCUCUCGCGCUAUCGCUUCACGAGCCGCUUCGUGUGACUCAAUCACCAUUGCCUCCAACCUAUGCAACCGCUCUGCUUCCUCUUCCUUCUUUCGUUGGCGGCUUCUAUAAGUCGGUCUAUCUUUAGGGAAGCAAUGCUCCCAUGAUACCUCCCCAUAGCCUCUGGUUCGCCCACCGUGUUCAGCAGUCUCCAGGGCGUAUGUCAGCUCAUCCUUUUCUCUAUUUGGCUGCCAGGUGCCGCUUUCAACUAAUCCUCUAGCAUAGGCCAUUCUCUGUCCUACUCUCUCGAGCUUUUCGCUGUACACUAUCUUUUCGGUCUCUAGGUCUAUGGUUCCCCAUGACCAAAGAACCAAUACUUGGCGCGCUCAGGCCAGUGCAUUGAAUCUGGUUCGAUCCCUCUCCCAAGAAUCUCCUGUUCCAGCUUUUGCCACUUAGGAAUAGCAGUCCUGUAGCCACCUGAACCCAAGUGAUGGUGGUAUUUCUUUUGUUUAGCAUUUUCUUGAUUCUUGAUCAUCCGUGUCUGACCCUCUUCUAAGUUCUUAAACUCUACGAACUCAUCCCAAAAAGGCCUCAACUUGACGUAGGCCUUGUUGGUGAAAUCUGGUGUCCGGCCUUGUGCAACAAAAGUCUUGUAUAAUGUCUUCUUCCAAGCCUGAAAUUGUUUGGCCAUCUUCUGCAUAGCCUAGAUUUUAACCUUCUCCUUCAAAGCUUCAUCCUAUGUAUCGAGCGUGAAAUGUUGAAGGAUAUCUUGCCAAAUCAAUUCCUUGUCACGAUCUGAGACAAAACUAAUAUUAGGGUUAUCUUUCCGUUGCCUCCAUUCACGAGCACUGACCGGGAGCCUGUCCCUUACAAGGUAGCCACAGUGCGCAACAAAUUUUUUAGAAUUAGCCCCAAGUACUUGUCCUGUACCCUCAUCGAAUGCCGACAUAAUGUACCGACCCUCCAAAGGCUUCUUCGGGCCGCGCACUUUUCUACUCUUCUCAGAAGUUGUCGCUGAUUUAGAGGGCUACACAAACAAGUAUAAAUAUAUUAGUUUAAAUGUUAUUUAUUUUAAUUUCAUAUAUAUACUAGAUAGAUUGUAGAUAGACCUGAUCAGGAUUGUCUCCCACAAGUUCUUCAUAAUCAGCAAAGUACUGACUCCCAUCAUCUUCGCCUUGGGAAUCUGGAUUGGCGCCGCUGUUGAUUAGGUCCAUCAUUGCAUCAUCCAUGUUGUCAUUCGGAUUGGCCAUUUCUGCAAAUUGGACGCCAAGUUAUUAGCAUUUAUGUCUCAAGUAAAUUUAUAGUGGAUACAUAUUAAUGAAAAAAUUUUAUUUGUAACCAUUUGAGGUUUGCAAAAAAAAUCAUAUUUGUAACUUUGCUUAUCAGAUUAAGACUUAUUUGAUAAGUCAAAAUAUUUUAACAACAAUUUCAUGAAAAAUCUAAUGAUAAUUGGUGGAUACAUAAAUAUUAUUAUUCUAUCAUAUAAAUUUGAUUAAAUUUGAGAUACUUUGACUCUACAAGGUUCAUGGAAUGAUUAACAAUUUGAGAUUGCGGUAGCUCGUAAGAAAUAAUACAAUUGAGUUCACUGCGCGUUAGAACAAUCUAGAAACGUGUACGUUUCGCGAGCGCGUGUGUUUGGUCGAUCAGAAUAUGACAAGUGUAGAUGUCGGAGUACGUUUUGGCGAGAGGUACUUCGGCAGGCGUUUGGGAACGAGAUUUUUAUCAUGCGUUUGGGAACAGAUUCAUAGUUUUGAUUCAAAUAAAAUUCACUAAAAUGAUUUUUAAUUCAUACAACAUAUCAUCUCAUUCGUACAGUACAAAAAAUUAGCCUGCAGAUCACCACAUUCGUACAACAUAUCACCGCAUUAUGGGAGAACAAGAACAAAUAUAUAGUAAAAAAUCAUUAAGUGCUAGUUUUCUAAACAAAAACACAUAGCCUGCAGAUCGAACACAUAGUCUGCAAAUCUUUCAACAAACAUCCAGCACAAUGUUGCCACCUUCGUUCUGUGCAAUCCACACACAAUGUAAGUUAAUCAAGGCAUUCAUGCAUUAUUAGCAAUUCUGGACAUACAUGCAACAGUUGCGUAAAUAAAUCAUAACAAGAUCACACAUAGCAAUAUACCGCAAGCCAUCAAAUUUUAACAGCAGCUAUUGAAAGCCCUAGUUUGGUUUUGGAUAAUUGAUGAAACCCUAGUACUAACCUCUAUGCUAAGUGUGUGUAGACUUAAUGAGGUUGGUACAUGCCAAGUGAUGGAGCAAGAGAUGAUCAUGGUGAUGAUUGUGAUGACCUCAAGAUGAUCAAGUGCUCAACUUGGAAAAGAAGAAAGAGAAAAACAAAACCCUAUGGACAUCAAGGCAAAGGUAUUGCCUAGGGUUUUGGUUUUGGUGAUCAAGACCCCAUAGAGGGUGUGAUCACAUUUAGGAUAGAUAGCCGUACUAUAAAGAGGGGAAUUCUUUGGCUAAGCGGUUAUCGAGUGCCACUAGGUGUCAUUGUUCAUGUGCAUGCAUUUAGAACCUAGUGAGCUAACUUAACUCCUUCGAAGAAAAUGUUUGUGAAAAUGCUAACACACGUGCACUUGUUGGUUCACACGUUGUGGUGUUGGCACACUUUGAGAAGGGAGUUGAAGUUUCAAAGGUAGAGAGAGGAUGGGUUCCUCUGUCCCUCCCGCCGAGCUUGCUCGGCGGGAUUCGGCGCUUUUUGAGAAAAUGAAGUGCAUUUUUUCUAUUGCGCCGGUGGGAAAUUUGGAGAAGUCGCGGGAGUGUUUCUCGCUAAGAAGACACUCACCGGACGCUGGCUUCUGGAGCACCGGACGCUGAGUCUGAGCGUCUGGUGCAGACAGUGCCUGGCCCAAUUAGGGUAAGGCACCGGACGCUGGCUUGAGCGUCCGGUGGUGCGCGUCCGGUGUGCGGGCAUUUUGCGACCCUCUCUGCGCAUGGGUCCGGUGAGCACCGGACGCUAAGGGUGCGUCCGGUGGUGUGCGUCCAGUGUGAGGAGGUUUUGCAAACCUCUCUGCGCUUGAGUCCGGUGAGCACCGGACGCUCAGGGUGCGUCCGGUGACUUGCGUCCGGUGACCCUGCGAGUUUGCGGAGCUCUCUGCGCAUGAGUCCGGUGUGCACCGGACGCGUCCGGUGCCAACCUGCUCAGCGUCCGGUGCUCUGCAGGUUACCGUUAGACUCUGACACGCGGCUGACGUUGGAGCACCGGACGCUGGUGUUGAGCAUCCGGUGCCCCUUUAAGAGCGUCCGGUGACCACGUAUUUCGCCCAGUGAAAGAGCCAACGGCUCUAUUUGUUUGAGAGGUCUAUAAAUAGUUGUUGGCCGGCUUAGGGCUCAUACUCUUGGCAUUCUAACAUACUUGACAUCCUUGUGAGCCUAAGCAAACACCUCCCACUCAUCUCCUUCAUAGAUUAAACAUCUUUGUGAGAUUGGGAGUGAUUCCAAGUGCAUUUGCUUGAGUGAUUGCAUCUAGUGGCACUUGGGGAUCAUUUUAGCUGCGGUUUUCUUGUUACUCUUGGUGGUUGCCGCCACCUAGACGGCUUGGAGCAGCGGAGGAGGAUUGACACGAGUUGGUGAUUGUUCGUGGCCAUCUCCCGGUGAUUGUGAGAGGUUUGUGCCUACCUCGGCGGAUUGCCAAAGGCAACAUUAGUGGAUUGCUCGUGUCAUUGAGCUACCUCACUUGUGGGUAGGUUCUUGUGGUGUCCUAGUGAGGACGAGGUUCGUGCUACACCUCUUAGCCACCGAACCACCAAGUGUUGGUCGACACAACGGGGACGUAGCGUGCCGACAAGCACGUGAACCUCGGGAGAAAAAUUGUGUGUCUCCAUUGUGAUUGUUCAUUGGAUUUCUCCCAGUGAUUGGACUUCAUAUUAUUGAUUGGUUCAUCCCCUCUACGUGGCGGUAUAAAGUUCAAACCAUCUCUUUUACAUUCCCGCAAACUAGAGUAGCUUACUUACUUGUAGAGAAACUUUAGGUAGCUUUCUAGUGUAAGUAGUGACAUAGCUCUUGUGUGCCUAGUGAUUAUAUCAACUAGAAUUGUUGGAUAGGUGGCUUGCAAACACCCGAUUAGAGCUAGAGCAAAAAGCUUCGCUUUGUUAUUUACUAACCUCUUGCUCUAGUGAGUUUGUAGAAUUUUUAAAUAGGCUAUUCACCCCCCUCUAGCCAUAUUAGGACCUUUCAAGUGGUAUCGGAGCCAUGGUCACCGUUUGUGAAGGCUUAACAACCUCGGUGCUCAAAUUAUGGCUCAAAUAGUGUUCAACCAUGUUGGGGGCAAACCACCGUUCUUUGAUGGCACAAGUUCUUUUGACUAUUGGAAGAGAAAGAUGAAAAUGUAUCUUGGAUCAAUAAAUGAUAGAGUGUGGGAAGUCACCGAAAAUGACUUUGUGAUACUUGAUCCGGCUAACCCCACCGACAAUGAGAGAGCAAACAAGCAAUGCAAUACUAUGGCUCUCAACACAAUAUACAAUGGCAUUGAUUCAAAAGUAUUUGAACAAGUCAAAGAUCUUGAGAAGGCAAGUGAAGUGUGGACAAGACUAGAAGAAACAUAUGAGGGCACUACAACGGUAAAAAGUGCCAAGUUAUACAUGCUCAAGGACAAGCUUUCAAACUUCAAGAUGAAGGAUGAUGAGUCAAUUCCGGAGAUGUUCUAUAGGCUCCAAGUCAUCAUCAAUGAUCUCAAGGGCCUUGGUGAGAAAGUGAAGGAUGAGGAUUUCAUUCACAAGUUCUUAAUGUGCUUGCCCAAGAGAUUCAAGACAUUGAGAACAAUCAUCUUUAGAGGUGGAUUGACCGGUGUAUCUCCCAAUGAGGUACUUGGAGAUGUCAUGACCGAAGAUCAAUACAAUGACAACGAUGAUGAUGAGGUCAUGAAGAAGGAUGAUGAUGAUAAGAAGAAGAAGAGUGUAGCAUUCAAAGCUAGCUCUUCAUCCAAGAGCAAGAACAAGGGCAAGGCCAAGAAGGAAGAAUCAAGUGAUGAGGAGUGCUCCAAUGAUGAUAGUGAUGAUGAAGCACUAGCACUCUUUGUCCGCAAGUUUGGCAAGAUGAUGAAGAAGAAGGGCUACCAUACAAGAAAGAGAAGGGACAACUCCAAGAACAAGGAGUAUGUGAGGCUAUGCUACAAGUGCAAGAGCCCCGAUCAUAUUGUGGCGGAUUGUCCUUACAAUAGUGAUCAUGAUGAGCAUGAGAAGAAGAACAAGAAGGAGAAGAAAGAAAAGAAAGAGAAGAAGAUGGUUUUCAAGAAGAAGAAGAAGAAGAAGGGUGGAUCCUAUGUUGUGACAUGGGAUAGUGAUGCCUCUUCGGAUGAUGAUUCAAGUGAUGAUGACAAAGCAUCCAAGAAGAAGGCACUUGCUAGCUUUGCUAUCAACAACAAGCCAUCACUCUUCGACACUCCUUCAUGCUUCAUGGCCAAGGGCCACAAGGUACAAUAUGAUGAGAGUGAAAGUGAAAGUGAACAUGAACAUGAUAGUGAUAGUGAUGAUGAAAAUGAAUUCACUAAUGAACAACUCAUGGACAUGCUAGAACAAGCCGAUUCACUUAUUCAAUCUAAAAACAAGAAGUGCAAAGAAUUGACCAAGAAGUUAAAAGCUCUUGAGCAAUCCUUUGAUGAGCUCAAUGCUAAUCAUGAGAGGCUAGUGGAAGCCCAUGAGAAGCUUGGCAAGGCUCACACCAAGCUUGAGAAAGCUCACUCCUUGUUGUUAGAAGAGAACAAGGAAAAGGUUGUUAUAUCAUGUGAUGUGGGCACAACAUGUGACUUAAUUAAGGAAUCACCCAACCCACCUAUUGUUGUUGCCACUAACUCUUCUUGUAGGUCUUCAUCCACCACCACCAACUCUACCUCUACUUCUAGUGUUAGUGUCACUUGUGAUGCUUCACUAAAGGUUGAGAAUGAGACUCUCAAGAGAGAGGUGGAUGAGCUCACUCACGCCCUAGGCAAGGCCUAUGGUGGUGAGGCCCGCUUGCUAAAGUGCUUGGGUAGCCAAAGGUUUUCUCUCAACAAAGAGGGAUUAGGCUAUACCCCCAAGAAAGGCAAGAAAGCCUUUGCAACUCACAAGCCUAGCUUUGUGAAGAGCAAUGGUCGGUAUUACAACAAAUGCAAGCAAGUUGGGCACCUAGAGCUUAAUUGCAAUAAAAUGAACAAGAACAAGAAAAUUGCUAAUGUACCUUACAUUCCUUUUGAUUCUUGUUAUGUGCUUACCAAGGGUGAGAAGGGUGUGCAUGCUAAGUUUGUUGGUACACCAAUUGUGGGUCCAAAGAAGAAGGCCAUUUGGGUACCAAAAAGCUUAGUCACUAACCUCCAAGGACCCAAACAAGUAUGGGUACCUAAGAAACAUUGAUUUGUUUUGUAGGUAAACUAUAAAGCCGGAGGAAGGCAUUGGGUGCUUGAUAGUGGGUGCACACAACACAUGACCGGUGAUGCAAGAAUGUUCAAUUCAAUCAAUCCAAACGAUGACAAUGGUGUUGAUAGUAUCACAUUUGGUGACAAUGGCAAAGGCAAGGUCAAAGGGCUUGGUAAAAUUGCUAUAUCCAAUGACUUGAGCAUUUCCAAUGUGCUACUAGUAGAGAGCUUGAACUUCAACUUGCUAUCCGUAGCUCAACUUUGUGAUCUUGGUUUCAAAUGCAUAUUUGGAGUUGAUGAUGUAGAGAUCAUAAGUGUAGAUGGCUCAAACUUGAUAUUCAAAGGCUUUAGAUAUGAGAAUCUAUACUUGGUUGAUUUCAAUGCUAGUGAAGCUCAAUUGUCAACAUGCUUGCUCACUAAAUCUAGAAUGGGUUGGUUAUGGCAUAGAAGGCUUGGUCAUGUUGGAAUGAAACAAUUGAACAAGUUAGUUAAACAUGAUCUUGUUAAAGGCUUGAAAGAUGUGACAUUUGAGAAAGACAAGCUUUGUAGUGCAUGUCAAGCCGGAAAGCAAGUUGGCAACACUCAUCCAAAGAAGAGCAUCAUGAGUACAUGCAAGGCAUUUGAGUUGUUGCACAUGGAUCUAUUUGGACCAACCACAUACACAAGCAUUGGUGGAAAUAAAUAUGGAUUUGUGAUAGUGGAUGAUUUCACAAGAUACACAUGGGUAUUCUUUCUUAGUGACAAGAGUGAUGCUUUUGCAACCUUCAAAUCAUUUGUCAAGAGAAUACACAAUGAGUUUGAAACAACCAUCAAGAAAGUGAGAAGUGACAAUGGAAGUGAAUUCAAGAAUACAAGAGUUGAUGAGCUUUGUGAUGAAUUUGGCAUUGGGCAUCAAUUCUCGGCCAAGUACACUCCACAAUCAAAUGGUCUUGUUGAGAGGAAGAAUAGAACCUUGAUUGACAUGGCAAGAUCAAUGUUGAGUGAAUACAAUGUUAGUCAUUCUUUUUGGGCCGAAGCAAUCAACACGGCUUGCUACUAUAGCAACCGACUCUAUUGUCACCCAAUGAUGGAGAAGACUCCAUAUGAGCUCUUGAAUGGAAGAAAGCCCAACAUUGCAUAUUUUCGGGUUUUUGGUUGCAAAUGCUACAUAUUGAAGAAAGGCACUAGAUUGAGUAAAUUUGAAAAGAAAUGUGAUGAAGGUUUCUUGCUUGGUUACUCUACUACUAGCAAGGCUUAUAGAGUGUGGAAUUUGGCUAGUGGUACUCUUGAAGAAGUGCAUGAUGUUGAAUUUGAUGAAACCAAUGGCUCUCAAGAGGAAGAUGAGAAUCUAGAUGAUGUGAGAGGCACUCAAUUGGCCGAUGCAAUGAAGAAUAUGGACAUUGGUGAUUUAAGGCCUAGAGAAGUGAUUGAUGUUGAAGAUGACAAAGAUCUAGUACUUCCUACCUCUAAUGUGCAAGAAAGUGGUUCUCAUGAUCAAAAUCAAGCUAGUACAAGUGGUACUCAAGUGCAAGAUCAACAAGCUAGUACAUCAUCUCAUGAUCAACCAAGUGCAAGCAAUCAAGUGCAAAUACUCCAACCAACAAACAUUGCAAGAGAUCAUCCAUUGCAUCAUAUCAUAGGUGACAUUCAAAGAGGAGUGCAAACUAGAUCAAGACUAGCAUCAUUUUGUGAGCAUUUCUCCUUUGUGUCUCACAUUGAGCCAAAGAAGAUUGAUGAAGCAUUGAGAUAUGUUGAUUGGGUUAAUGCUAUGCAUGAAGAGCUUAAUAAUUUCAAGAGAAAUCAAGUAUGGGAAUUAGUUGAGAGGCCUAGUGAUCAUAAUGUCAUUGGUACUAGAUGGGUCUUUUGCAACAAACACGAUCAAGAUGGGAUAGUUGUAAGGAACAAAGAAAGAUUGGUAGCACAAGGCUAUACUCAAGUUGAAGGUCUUGACUUUGGUGAAACAUAUGCCCCGGUUGCAAGAUUGGAAGCAAUUAGGAUCUUGUUGGCCUAUGCUUGUGCUCAUAACAUCAAGCUAUACCAAAUGGAUGUCAAGAGUGCAUUUCUCAAUGGCUAUAUCAAUGAAGAAGUCUAUGUUGAGCAACCUCCCGGUUUUGAAGAUGACAAGAAACCCAACCAUGUUUACAAGCUAAGAAAGGCAUUGUAUGGUUUGAAGCAAGCACCUAAAGCAUGGUAUGAGAGAUUGAGAGAUUUAUUACUCUCUAAAGGUUUCAAGAUGGGAAAGGUUGACACCACUCUCUUCACCAAGAAGAUUGGCAAAGACUUGUUUGUGUUGCAAAUAUAUGUUGAUGAUAUCAUAUUUGGAUCAACCAACCAAGAAUUUUGUGAGGAGUUUGGCAACAUGAUGGCUAAUGAGUUUGAGAUGUCAAUGAUUGGAAAGCUUAGUUACUUCCUUGGUCUUCAAAUCAAGCAAUUGAAGAAUGGAACAUUUGUAAGUCAAGGCAAGUACAUAAAAGACAUGCUCAAGAAGUUUGGAAUGGAUGAUGCAAAAUCAAUUAGCACUCCAAUGGGAACAAAUGGAAGCCUAGAUAGUGAUACAAGUGGAAACAUGGUGGAUCAAAAGUUGUAUCGGUCUAUGAUUGGAAGCCUACUCUAUGUGACCGCAUCAAGACCGGAUGUCAUGUUUAGUGUAUGCAUGUGUGCAAGAUUUCAAGCCUCACCAAGAGAAAGUCAUUUGAAAGCAACAAAGAGAAUAUUGAGGUACUUAAAGCAUACACAAAAUGUUGGUUUGUGGUAUCCCAAAGGUGCGAAGUUUGAACUUGUUGGAUAUUCCGAUUCGGACUAUGCGGGAUGCAAAGUUGAAAGAAGAAGCACAUCGGGCACAUGUCAACUAUUGGGAAGAUCACUUGUCUCAUGGUCAUCCAAGAACCAAAAUAGUGUUGCACUAUCAACCGCCGAAGCGGAGUACAUUGCGGCCGGUAGUUGUUGUGCACAAAUUCUAUGGAUGAAGGCAACAUUGAAGGAUUUUGGAAUCAACUUCAAGCAAGUGCCAUUACUAUGUGACAAUGAAAGUGCCGUGAAGCUCACCAACAAUCCGGUUCAACAUUCAAGAACAAAGCACAUAGAUGUCCGCCAUCAUUUCAUAAGAGAUCAUCAACAAAAAGGGGACAUUUGCAUUGAGAGUAUAGGCACUGAUGAUCAACUUGCCGAUAUAUUCACCAAGCCACUUGAUGAGAAGAGGUUUUACAAGCUAAGGAAUGAAUUGAACAUACUUGACUUCUCAAAUAUGUGUUGAUGCACCCCCACUUUAUGACAUGCCUCUCCUUCGAGCAAAGCAAGGUAAAAUUGUUUGACAUGUCAUCCAUGCUAUGCUGAGGACUUGCUUAGUGCAUCUAGUCAUUCCUUACAUGUCUUAGGCUCAUUCAUGAAAAUCAAAUGAAUUUGAUGCUUGUAUGGUACCACUAUUGCUUCUAUGCUUGACUUGAUCUAGUGGUAGCAUAUGACAUGUUUAUGGGCUUGCAAUCCUAGUGUUUGAUCUAGAAUAUGAGCUAUAAGUGUUUAACUCAACAUGGUACAAGAUAACCCUUAUUUGGAGGUGUGAAGAAGCUUGUCCUUGGAUCAAACCGAGUUAAAUAUCUUAGGCAAGUAAUCUAGAUUGGACCAAUUUGGUAAAAUAAUCUCACUUCACAUGGUUUCACACUAACCUAUCUAAAAUUUGAGCUCACCUUUUGUGGUCAUUGAUGACAAAGGGGGAGAAAAUUUCCCAAAGUUUCCAAAGAUUUAAGAUAGGGGAGUAACAUGAUAAAAGAAGGGGAUCAAUUAAAAUUUUGAAGCACACAAGUAGGGGGAGCAAGCUCAUAAACUUGUAUGUUGCAUUUGUAUGUGCAUCACAUAUGUUUGCUUGCAUUUGCAUUAGCUUUAGAAGCCUUCUCUCCAAUACCUUGCUUGUGUGGUGUAUGCUAGUUGUAGGCUUGAUUGUUGAAAUGAAGAACUAGCAUGUAUAGGUAGUGUAACUAGACUUUUAGUUACUUCACAAGUGGUACUAGAACCUUGUUUAUAAUGUUGAUCUCACGGGGUGUUCUAGUUUUGUGAAUGUCUAGUUACUAAUGGUGCUAAGGAUGGUGUACAUUGGCAACUCCGAUUGGUAUCACGCUUCAAAGGUCCAUUCUUUACACCUUAGCAUCAUUUGGUAGAAAUUGACUCCUAUAUUUCCUAUUCAAGCAUAUGUGCAAGCUUUCAAAUCCAAACUCUUAGCACAUAUGUAGGGGGAGCAAUUGCUACCAAUUCGGGUUUAUGAAACUUGUCCACAACCUUUGCACAUGGUAAAUUGCUUGGACAAGCAACAUGAAUCCAAUAAAUUUUUAUUGAAAAUCUUUGUAAAAAGGGUUGUCAUCAAUUACCAAAAAGGGGGAGAUUGAAAGCCCUAGUUUGGUUUUGGAUAAUUGAUGAAACCCUAGUACUAACCUCUAUGCUAAGUGUGUGUAGACUUAAUGAGGUUGGUACAUGCCAAAUGAUGGAGCAAGAGAUGAUCAUGGUGAUGAUUGUGAUGACCUCAAGAUGAUCAAGUGCUCAACUUGGAAAAGAAGAAAGAGAAAAACAAAACCCUAUGGAGAUCAAGGCAAAGGUAUUGCCUAGGGUUUUGGUUUUGGUGAUCAAGACACCAUAGAGGGUGUGAUCACAUUUAGGAUAGAUAGCCGUACUAUAAAGAGGGGAAUUCUUUGGCUAAGCGGUUAUCGAGUGCCACUAGGUGUCAUUGUUCAUGUGCAUGCAUUUAGAACCUAACUUAACUCCUUCGAAGAAAAUGUUUGUGAAAAUGCUAACACACGUGCACUUGUUGGUUCACACGUUGUGGUGUUGGCACACUUUGAGAAGGGAGUUGAUGUUUCAAAGGUAGAGAGAGGAUGGGUUCCUCUGUCCCUCAGGGUGCGUCCGGUGACUUGCGUCCGGUGACCCUGCGAGUUUGCGGAGCUCUCUGCGCAUGUCCGGUGCCAACCUGCUCAGCGUCCGAUGCUCUGCAGGUUACCGUUAGACUCUGACACGCGGUUGACGUUGGAGCACCGGACGCUGGUGUUGAGCGUCCGGUGCCCAUUUAAGAGCGUCCGGUGACCACGUAUUUCGCCCAGUGAAAGAGCCAACGGCUCUAUUUGUUUGAGGGGUCUAUAAAUAGUUGUUGGCCGGCUUAGGGCUCAUACUCUUGGCAUUCUAACAUACUUGACAUCCUUGUGAGCCUAAGCAAACACCUCCCACUCAUCUCCUUCAUAGAUUAAACAUCUUUGUGAGAUUGGGAGUGAUUCCAAGUGCAUUUGCUUGAGUGAUUGCAUCUAGUGGCACUUGGGGAUCAUUUUAGUUGCGGUUUUCUUGUUACUCUUGGUGGUUGCCGCCACCUAGACGGCUUGGAGCAGCGGAGGAGGAUUGGCACGAGUUGGUGAUUGUUCGUGGCCAUCUCUCGGUGAUUGUGAGAGGUUUGUGCCUACCUCGGCGGAUUGCCAAAGGCAACAUUAGUGGAUUGCUCGUGUCAUUGAGCUACCUCACUUGUGGGUAGGUUCUUGUGGUGUCCUAGUGGGGACGAGGUUCGUGCUACACCUCUUAGCCACCGAACCACCAAGUGUUGGUCGACACAACGGGGACGUAGCGUGCCGGCAAGCACGUGAACCUCGGGAGAAAAAAUGUGUGUCUCCAUUGUGAUUGUUCAUUGGAUUUCUCCUGGUGAUUGGACUUCAUAUUAUUGAUUUGUUCAUCCCCUCUACGCGGCGGUAUAAAGUUCAAACCAUCUCUUUUACAUUCCCGCAAACUAGAGUAGCUUACUUACUUGUAUAGAAACUUUAGGUAGCUUUCUAGUGUAAGUAGUGACAUAGCUCUUGUGUGCCUAGUGAUUAUAUCAACUAGAAUUGUUGGAUAGGUGGCUUGCAAACACCCGAUUAGAGCUAGAGCAAAAAGCUUCGCUUUGUUAUUUACUAACCUCUUGCUCUAGUGAGUUUGUAGAAUUUUUAAAUAGGCUAUUCACCCCCCCUCUAGCCAUAUUAGGACAUUUCAGCUAUAUGAAUGAAAUAUCUACACUUUUGUUAUAAACAAAAUUCCCAGAAAACAUCAUUUAAAUAAUGCAAUCUAAAUAAUUCUAUAAACUGACUAGAAACAACAAUUUCUCUGUUGUGCUCACCGGCGGCGCAAAUGAUCUAGUGGGAACAAACAUCAGUGUGGAGACUGCAAAUGAUCUAGUGGCAACAAACACGAAAAAAAUCCACAUCGUUCUCUGUUGUGCUCACCGACGGUGCGGGCCUUCUUUGGCCGGAGAGGAGAAGACGGCCGAGGGUGGGGAGGCGGUUGGCCGAGGGCGAGGAGGCGGCAGCGGGGGGCGGGGGGUGCGCGCGGCCGGCCGGGGCGUCGCCGGCGGAGAAGUAGGCGGCAUGGAUUAUUCACCAUUACAUCGAAUUAUUUUAAAAAAAAAAAUUCUCUAUUUUUUAUUUAUUUAUGCUUACAACAAUAUUCACCAUUACAUCGGAUUAUCUCUAACAACUUUGUAUUCAAAUUUUUUUCAUUUCAAGUCAUCAAAUGGGUCAUUUGACCAAGUUUGACCAAAGUCAAAGCAUUGGUUUUUAAAAACACACACUUUGACCGAACCCAUAUGGUCCCAAAUGGAAAAGUAAUGAAUACAAAGUUUGUUGCACUCAUCAAGUUCUACAUUUUGUCUAAUGGUCAACUUUUCUUUUGGAAAAGUUUGAACCACUCAAUUUUGAAUUUUGAUAGAAUUCAUAGCCACGCAUCGGUUUUUGGAACCCUAGAUGGUCUCGAACGGAAAAGUCAUGAAUACCAAUAUUGUUCCACUCAUCAAAAUCUACAUUUAAUACAUAGACUAUUUUUGCAUUUGACAAAGUGUUGCGAAGGUGUAGUUCAAAAUCCACAAUUGACACAUGUAGUUUCAUAUAGUUUGUGUGAGAUUCAAGAAUUGGUGGGUAUUGUCAACUUAAACUCACUCAAAUGGAAAAAUUGUCUAUAUAAAAAGUUUAGAUCUUGAUGAUAUCUAACAGCUUGGUAUUCAAUUUUUUUUUUCAUUUUAAGUAAUUUAGUUUGUCAUUUGACCAAGUUUGACCAAUACCCAUCUUGGAUUUUGAACAAAUGUGCUUAGGAUUGGCUCAAAUUUAUUCAAAUGGAAAAAUGGACAAUAUAUCAAAUGUAGAUCUUGAUGAUCUCUAACAACUUUGUAUUCAAAUUUUUUUCAUUUCAAGUCAUCAAAUGGGUCAUUUGACCAAGUUUGACCAAAGUCAAAGCAUUGGUUUUUAGAAACACACACUUUGACCGAACCCUAUAUGGUUCCAAAUACAAAAGUAAUGAAUACAAAGUUUGUUGCACUCAUCAAGUUCUACAUUUUGUCUUAUGGUCAACUUUUCUUUUGAAAAAGUUUGAACCACUCAAUUUUGAAUUUUGAUAGAAUUCAUAGGCACGCAUCAGUUUUCGGAACCCUAGAUGGUCUCGAACGGAAAAGUCAUGAAUACCAAUAUUGUUCCACUCAUCAAAAUCUACAUUUAAUAUAUAGACCAUUUUUGCAUUUGACAAAGUGUUGCGAAGGUGUAGUUCAAAAUCCACAAUUGACACAUGUAGUUUCAUAUAAUUUGUGUGAGAUUCAAGAAUUGGUGGGUAUUGUGAACUUAAACUUUCUCAAAUGGAAAAAUUGUCUAUGUAAAAAGUUUAGAUCUUGAUGAUAUCUAACAACUUGGUAUUCAAAAUUUUUUCAUUUUAAGUAAUUUAUUUUGUCAUUUGACCAAGUUUGACCAAGUUUGACUAUUUUUGCAUUUGAUAAAUAAUUGACACAUCUCUUAUAAUAGCAAACUUAAAUGUCAUUUCAUUAUUUGAAAUGAUAUAAAAUAAGAAAAACUAAUAUAAACAUCUUAAGUUACAAUUGUCACAUACACAUACUAUAUUGCAAUCUAUUUAUUAGGCGGGCACAAUAGUGAUCUUCUUUUUGACGUAUGUUCCUUGGUCAUGAUCUUGACGUAACUGUAAUACCCGAUUUUAAGGACAAAACCAGAUAUGCACCAUAUGUGAGUUUUAGAAACCAAAUCUCACAUAUAGCUACAAAUAAGGGGUAAUAUAAAAAGACAAUGCAUAAAUUAUUAUAUAACGUACAUAAUAAAUUAGAGAUAACCUUAAGCAGCAAACAACGGAAGAUAACUCCAACUUCGGGUAUUAACUCCACUCUACAGGAUCCAACUGACUGGUUGAUCACAAGCCUAAACCAUCUCCUGAAGUGUGGGGGAAAUAGCAAGAGUGAGUCCAUGUCGAACUCCACAAGUAUAGCAACUAGAUUGUAUAGCUCCCACAAUCUCAUGAUCAAUGUGACAUAAAUAAUGUAAAGCAUUAAAUAAUAAAUAAUGGGCAUAUUUAACACACAAGAAUCAUCAUCGUCGAUGCAAGAAUCCCCAAGGCCGCUCAUGACCGUGAGCACAGCUAGUAUACCAGUUUUACACUCUGUAGAGGUUGUACAUCUUUACCCAUGAGUCAUAAUUUACCCUUUCGCCCGAGGUGAUCAGCCUCUUAACCCACUUCUAAGGAAGGUCGGCAGGGAUCACUAUGAAGCCUUUCAAAGGUUUCGUCUAACAAGUUAGGGCCAUUAGAUUCACUCGGCAGGCAGAUAUAGAGCCCCCCCUUCCAUGGCACAUAACCCGCAACCUAUACACACGGACAGAGGCCACACUAUACCCAACGUGUCUAGCCAUUCUUACGCCAUUUAAGGUAACCGCUAACAAGCUAGAAAAAGGUCCUCAUAUUGAGCUAAAGCCAGAGCCAUUAUAGCCCUCAUGGUUGCACUGUUGUCCCGGUUAUCACUUACAGAUAAAUCAUCAAGUGGCUAAAAAGUCAUUUUUAUCAUUUAUUACUUAACAUUAAUCUAGUCACAGGAUCAUGGUCACAGAAAUAAAAUCCAAAUGCUAUACUUGCCUUAGUCCAAAUGCUAUACUUGAUUCUACUGGUCUUACUAGUUGUCUAAGGCUCUAAUCUUGAUCACUGAAGCACUCUUGUUCACCACGGAUUGCUCACCGUCUAAAUUCGAUCAUCAACACACAAACAAUUGGAGACAACAUACACGAAGCAAACAAAGCUACAAUUAGAACAGUACACCAAACAUGUAAAAACAGUAUAAAGAGUUCAUAAAAAGAUUCUACGCAGCGCUACGAUCUCACAGACGUAAAGAUCACGAAAAUCGGAGUUAAAACGUAGACGUUAUGAAUUUUCGAGAGAAAUAUCAUGUUAAGUCAAUUUGUAUUUUAAAUUAGAAAAAUCAAGAUAAACUAAUUAUAUUUUAUUUAUAAUCCAAUUGCAUAAUUAUUAUUCAAGUUAGGAUUUAAACCAUGAAAUUAAAUAGACAGUCUAUGUAAUUAUUAAGAAUAUCUUCAGGAUAUAUAAAGGAUGGAUUUUCUUGAAUUGAGAAAUAAUAGAAAAUAGUGAUUUAUUAUGCAUGAAUGAUAUAUAUAUGACACGAGUAUUAUCUGUAAUCACUAAAAUAUUGCACACCUUUAAUCAAAUAUGCAUGCGUGGGUGACGCUCUUUACUGGUGCAAUGAAAGAAUUUACAUGUUUCGACGAACUGGGUAACCACAACUUGUAUUUGCUUGACACGAAGCCUCUCGGUGACCAAAUCUCCAAUCGCAGGAUACACGCUCAACACUUGCAGACCUCCAUUCAUGUGCACCUGUUGGCAGUUCUGGAUCCAUCAUCGAUUUUGCUUUGAACAGCGGCGUGACACGCAACAGCUUUUUUUUUCUAGAUGAAUAACGCCGAUCUGGCUUCAACUCGACAAGAACACGACCGUGCACCACCUUGGACUCGACGUGUAUGAGAGUCGCGGAUUGGACAUCGCCCGUCAAAUCGCCGAGCGCAGAAAAUUGACCAUGGCGGCGGCAGCGCAAUGAAGAGAGAUAAAACCCUAGAUUUUCUUUUCUUAUCUCGUGUCUAGCUUUUUAGUAUUUAUAAGAAUUAUUUCUAUGCACGUUGGCCAUUAAAAAGAGUUAUUUUAUUAUUUUCGAAAUUAAGUAAUUUUAUAGAUAAAAUAAUUUCAGAAAAGUCUAGAAUUAUUAUCUAAUCCAGAAAAUACUCCAAAAGCUCCAAAAAUUCGAGAAAAAUUCUCAGAGACAUUAUGGAACAUGAGAAAUCCAAAUAAAGUAUUUGGAGCUCAUGAUAAGAUAAUUUGGAGCAUCUAAAAAUUAGAUCAUGCUCACGGCAAAGUGAGAACAGAAGCUGGAAAAAUUCCCAAAAAGUUUGUAGAGAUUGCUUGAUGGACGAGGAACUAAAAGAAGUGCUUUGAGUGACAAAGAAAAAGAUUUUUUUGUGGAAGCUCCUAAUAAAAAUUUGAGCUUAGAAACAAGGAAAGAUGUACUUACCAAGAAAGAUUGAUCUACUAAACGCAUUUUAAAAACUUUGCUCACUCAACACAUAAAGGAGCAACAAGCGUCACAUCAAAACAUAUGCACCAGCAUGUAUGCAUAAUAAUAUUGCUAAGCCUUAUGAUAAAUUUUAAUUUAAUAAAAAAGUAUUAUUUUUCCUAUAUUUUUAUGAGUACAAAAAUAUAAAAUUAAAUAAUUUUAUCUAUAUUUUAAAAGGAGUAAAUUUUAGGGUGUUACAGUAACCAUGGAGUGUCCUCAGCAUUUAUCAGUAUGCUCGGAUCUUUGGUCACAUUGAAAGGCGUGAUUCAGUCAUCCCUUUCAUAAUCUUCUGAAAUAUCUGACUUGUCCUCAAUUCCCACAAUGUUUCUUUUCCCUGAGAGAACUAUAUGGCGUUUUGGCUCGUUUGUUGAUUUGUUGUCAUUUUUCCCUCUCUUCUGUUUUGUAGACAUGUCUUUCACAUAGAACACCUGAUUCACAUCAGCAGCAAGGACGAAUGGUUCAUCUUUGUAACCAACAUUGUUGAGGUCCCCUGUUGUCAUUCCAUAGUCUUUGUCAACUAUCACCCCGCCUCCGGUAACCUUCACCCAUUGGCACCGGAACAAAGGGAUUUUAAAAUUAGGUGCGUAGUCUAGUUCCCAAAUCUCCUCUAUACGGCCAUAAUAUGUUUGUCUGUUUCCAUUCGGGUCUAUGGCGUCUACGUGAACUCCACUAUUUUGGUUCGUGCUUCUUUUAUCUUGUCCUAGGGUGUAAAAUGUAUUUCCAUUUAUCUCGUACCCUUUGUACGUGAGGAUGUGCCAUGAUGGUUGCCUAGCCAACAAAUACAGUUGCUCAUCAAUCUGGUCAUUACCCUGACAUUCUUUUCGUAACCAAUCACUGAAAGUGUCUAUGUGCUGACGCAUAAACCAAGCUUCAUUCUUCUCUAGGAAUUGCGAUCGUAGGAAGUCCUUGUGUUUCGUGACAUACGGCUUCACCACGGAUGAGUUUUGAAGAACUCUGCAGUGUGCUUUAUUGAAAGAAUCGUCCCCCGUACCGAUGUAUGUUUUCUUUCUUAGUGUUCCUUUUCCAUACAGUCUCCCCUCGUGGCGCGAUUCAGGAACACCAAUUGGGUCAAGUUUAGGAAUGAAUUCAACACAGAACUCAAUGACCUCCUCUGUCCCAUACCCCUCGGCGAUGCUUCCUUCUGGCCGAGCACGUUGGUGAACAUAUUUCUUCAGAACUCCCAUAAACCUCUCAAAGGGAAACAUAUUAUGUAGGAACACAGGACCCAGAAUAUUGAUCUCCUUGACCAGAUGAACUAGGAGGUGUGUCAUGAUAUCAAAGAAGGAUGGAGGGAACAAUAACUCAAAGCUGACAAUACAUUGAACCACAUCAUUCUGUAGAGCAGAUAGUUCCAGUGGAUUGAUUGCCUUCUCAGAAAUUGCAUUGAGGAAAACACAUAGCUUUACGGUGGCCAGACGUACAUGUGGAGGUAGAAUUCCUCUUAAUGCAACUGGAAGCAAUUGCGUCAUAAGCACAUGGCAGUCAUGCAACUUUAAGUUCAGAAAUUUCUUCUCAGGCACAUUAAUUAUACCUUUUAUAUUAGAGGAGAAUCCAGAUGGGACCUUGAUGCUGCUUAAGCAUUCAAACAUGAUUUCUUACUCUUCAUUGCUAAGAGUGUAGCUAGCAGGUCUUAAAUAUUGGCGUCCAUCAUCUGUCUUCUCUGGAUGCACGUUGUCUCGUUCUUCCAUGCGUUGGAAGUCUUGUCGUGCUUAAAGUGAAUCCUUAGGCUUACCAUAUACACCCAUGAAUCCUAGAAGGUUCACACAAAGAUUCUUUGUUAGGUGCAUGACGUCGAUCGCAUUACGGACCUCUAGAACUUGCCAAUAGGGUAGCUCCCAAAAUAUUGACUUCUUCUUCCACAUGGGUGCAUGACCCGCUGCAUCUUUUGGAACUGGUUGGCUGCCUUGUCCCUUACCAAAAACUACUUUCACAUCCUUAACCAUCUCAAAUACAUCUUCUCUAGUUCUGUUGCGAGGCUUGCAUCGGUGGUCUGCCUUACCUUUAAAAUGCUUUCCUUUCUUUCUAACUGGGUGAUUCAUAGAAAGAAAUCGACGAUACCCAAGGUACACGACCUUUCUGCAUUUUUUUCAAAUAUAUACUAUCAAGGUCAUCAAAACAAUGUGUGCAUGCAUUAUAUCCCUUGUUUGUCUGCCCUGAAAGAUUACUUAGAGCAGGCCAAUCAUUGAUUGUCACAAACAACAGUGCUCGUAGGUCGAAGUGUUCCUAUUUGUACUCAUCCCACACACAAACACCUGUUUCACUCCAUAAAAGGAGUUCUUCAAUUAAUGGCCUUAGAUAGACAUCAAUGUCAUUGCCCGGUUGCUUCGGGCCUUGGAUGAGCACCGACAUCAUAAUGAACUUUUGCUUCAUGCAUAACCAUGGAGGAAGGUUGUAGAUACAUAGUGUAACAGGCCAAGUGCUAUGACUACUGCUUUGCUCACCAAAAGGAUUCAUACCGUCCGUACUUAAAGGGAACCUUAAGUUUCUUGCGUCUUUUGCAAACUCUGGAAAUUCUCUGUCUAUUGCUCUCCACUUGGACCCAUCAGCAGGGUGUCUCAACAUGUUGUCUACUUUACGGUCUUCUUUGUGCCACCGCAACAAUUUUGCAUGGUCCUUAUUUCUAAAAAGACGUUUCAAACGUGGUAUUAUAGGAGCAUACCACAUAACCUUUGCAGGGAUUUUUUUUCCUGGGACGUUCUUCCCCCUCAACAUCGCCAGGGUCAUCUCGCCUGAUCUUAUACCGUGAUGCUUUACAUACGGGGCAUUCAUCUAAAUUCUCGUAGUUCUUGCCACGGUAUAGGAUGCAGUCGUUAGGACAUGCAUGUAUCUUCUUGAUUUCUAAUCCCAAAGGACAGACGAUCUGUUUUGCUUCGUACGUAGUAGUGGGCAGUUCAUUAGGCUUCGGCAACAUUUUUUUUGGAUCUUCAGUAAUUGCCCAAUUGCCUUAUCGGAUACACCAUUCUGUGCCUUCCAUUUUAACAAUUCUAGUGUUGUACCCAGUUUUUUUUGCCCAUCCUGGGCAGAUGGGUAUAGUAAUUUCUUGUGAUCUUCUAACAUGUGGUCCAACUUUGUCUUCUCUUUUUCACUUUCGCAAUCCUUUUGUGCAUCACGAAUGACAUCACCAAGAGCAUCAUCUUCAACAGGUGCGCCUUCUGCACCUGCCUCAUCUUCAGCUUCUCCCAUUGCUGUAUCACCGAAGUCACCGUUUUGAGCAAUAAUGUCGUCAGGCUCCAACUGUUCUUCUUCACCUUCUUCCAUCAUUAUCCCAUUUUCUCCAUGCUUGGUCCAACAAAUAUAGUUUGGCAUAAAACCCGACUUCAACAAAUGUGAGCGAAUAUUUCUAGAGCUAGAAUAUUCCUUCAAAUUCUGACACAAGGCACAUGGGCAACAUAUGAAUCCAUCCCGCUUGUUUUCCUCGGCCACUCUUAAGAAAUAAUGCACACCAUCAAUGAAUUCUUUGGAGCGGCGAUCGGCAUUGUACAUCCAAUGACGUGUCAUUGUCUGCAUUGCAACGUAAAGUAUUAUAAGUUUCUAAUUUUUUAUAAAGAAAUCAAAGUAACCUAAAAUUCUCUAUUUCUGAUUUUUCUAAACCAACAAAAUUAAAAAGACAUAAAAGUUCUCUAUUUUCUAACUAAUCAUGAAAUGUGGCAUGCAUACUAGUUAUAAUUAACUAAUUAACCAUGUCAUAAAGUGCAAAUUAAAGAAAUAUAAGUUUCUAAUUUUUAAUAGAGAAAUUAAAGUAACAAAAAACCUAAAAUUCUCUAUUUCUAAUUUAUCUAAAAAACUAAAAUUAAAAAAGCACAAAAGUUAUCUAUAUUUCUAACUAAUCAUGAAAUGUGGUAUGCAUACUAGUUAUAAUUAACUAAUUAACCUUGUCAUAAAUUGCAAAUUAAAGUAUUAUAAGUUUCUAAUUUUUAAUAGAGAAAUUAAAGUAACAAAAAACCUAAAAUUCUCUAUUUCUAAUUUUUCUAAACAAGCAAAAUUAAAAAAGCACAAAAAUUCUUUAUUUUCCUAAAUAAUCAUGAAAUGUGGUAUGCAUACUAGUUAUAAUUAACUAACUAAAUCGGUCAAAAAUUGCAAAUUAAAGUAUUAUAUGUUUUUAAAUUUUCUAAACUAAUUAAAAUAAAAAAACAUAUUACCACUAUUUCUCUAAAAAAACGCGUCGCUUUUGAAAUGGCGAUGAAGCUAAUAACCUCUUAAAAAACCAUAAAAUAAAAAACAAUAUACAUAACACUAGGAAAUGACAUAUGCCGCUUCUAAAUGUUGAGAAGAUGAAGCUAGUGACCUCUUAACAAGUCGAUGACGGUGUAGAAACGAUGAAAUGAAUCAAUAGCCGGAGAUGAGAGCAAGAACAAGCAACUCCAAAUGAAGAACACAGCAAAAGAGUGAAUAUCGAUGGGCUCGGCCACAGGAAGCCCUGAAGAAGAGUUCAAAUAUGGGGAGGGACAUUUAGUUCCGGUUUCUUUUAAAAACCGAGUCUAAAUUCCAACACUAGUCCCGGUGGGACGGACCGGGACAACAGCUUUUAAUCCCGGUUGGUGGUACCAACCGGGACUAAAGGCUAGGCUUUUGUCCCGGUUGGUGAGACCAACCAUGACUAAAGGUCCCCACUGCCGAUGUCUGACACAAUAGCCGUUGGGCAGGGGACUUUUAGUCCCGGUUGGUCUCACCAACCGGGACUAAAUAUGUUUUUGUCUCACCAACCGGGACUAAAUAUGUUUUUGUCCCGGACGCUGUUUUGGCCGAGAUUAUUGUUCAUUUUGGGCAAGUGACCAAAGGCCUGACUGUAGUAGUGUACGGAUGACAUCUCUGAUGCCAUUGCGACAGCCGCUUUGGUUCAGGCCUCGCACAUUCCAAAUCAAAAUAGAUGCAGGAUUCAUUUUAAUGAAAAAUUAAAAUUGUAGAGUUAUAAGUGUUGUAUAGAUCAGCUGGUAUGGAUGCUUCAGACAACGUUAACGUUAAUGUUUUCAGUCCAAAUUAUGUAAACAAAUAUUUUAUUUUUUAUCAUUUAUAACUGUUGUAUCUUUUAUUUUGUCUCACUUAUUAUAGUUGACAGAACGGCUGGCCUCGUGCAGUGGAGAGAGCUGUCUCACUGAGUCACCAGGUCGUGGCUUUGAAGCAGCCUCCAUAUAGAUUUUGCAGGGGAAGGCUUGCCUCGUUUUUUUUUCUUCCCCACACACCACUCAUGUGGGAGCCUCUAGCAGUGGGUCUACCUUUUUUUCACUUAUUACAGUUGAUGGAUCUGAAUCCAGCAGUGAUACUGUUUUUUUAUUUUUUUGUCACAUGUCGCUGCUUUAUUUUUUUAUUUUGCCACUUGUCACUCCUGCUAGAUCUGAAUCUUACAAUAAUACCAGAUUUGGAUCAAACAGUAACUGUUUUUUUUCCAUGUAACCCUUGUAGAAACAAUUGUAAUUCUUAUUAUUGCUGGCAGUUUAUUUUGUUUGGCAUAAACGGUCAUUAUACCAUCCACGAGUUUUGGUCCUUAUACCUUUCCUAGUUACGAUUUGUAAUAGCAUAAUUGUAGACAAUUAAUUAGAUUAUGGUUACAAAUCCAGAUAAUAUUUGCGAUCUAAUUACUUAAAUUCUAUAAAACAAUUUUCAAAAAAAUACCUUGACAAUAAUAUCAUUAUUAUUGUACUACAGUAUAAAUAGGUUUGUAUAUCAUGUGCAUCUAGGAAGAUGCAAGAAAAAGAACCAACUUUUAUUGAGUCCGCAUCAAACAAAUGCCCAUUACAGUGCUUAAUCUGGGCAACUUCAUGUAUGCAACAAGAAGUAGCUUAAUAUGGGCAGCUUCAAACAAUCUAUUGUUGUAGCAGUGUAGCAUGUCACAGACUUUAUCUUUAUCUGCCUUUGGUUUGGUGAUAACGUCUCAGACACUGUGUGGUGGUGACGAUGGCACUUGCGGUGGUGGAGAUGACUUGUGUUGAUGAUGGUGGGAUGUCUUAAACAAAUGAUGUGGUGGUGAUGCUGGCAGUGGUGGUGGCGGUGGAGACGGGUGGUGAUAGUGGCGCGACGUCUCGGACAAAUGGCGUGGUGGUGACAAUGGACCAGAUGGCGGUGGUGGUGGCGACCUGUGGUGAUGACGAUGGUGUGAUGUCUCGGACAAAUGGCCUGGUGCCAACAAUAGCACUGGUGGUGGUGGUGUUGACUUGUGGUGAUGCCAGUGUGCCAUCUCAAACAAACUUCUCGAUGGCAAUGACGUUACUGGUGGUGGCGGAGGUGACUUGUGGUGUUGAUGGUGCAAUGUCUCAAACAAGUGGCGUGGUGGUGACGACGGCACUGAGGGUUGCGGGGGCGACCUAUGGUGGUGAUGGUGUAAUGUCUCUAUCAAACUGCGAGGUGGUGAUGGCGGCAUUGGUGGUGGCGACCCAUGAUGGUGAUGAUGGUGCGACAUUUCAGACAAACUACGCGGUAGUGUUGAUUCCGUUGGCGGCGGCGGUGGUGAGCUGUGGUGAUAAUGCCAAUCCUCGAGUUGGUCUUGGCCUAGACAUGAAUGCAACAUAAUACAAAAUAAUCAAUUUACUUUAUAAAAAUGUCAAUAAAUUUGACGAAGUUUAUGGAAAAAUACUGUAACAUUUAAAAUCUUCAAAUUACUUUUGUUAAAUUCUUUAGGGCAUAUGUUAUUAGAGUCAUUUAACUUAUAAAAAAACCCAAAAACAAGCUAUUCUUUGAACAAAGUGAGUAAUAUGUAACAAUGCAAUGUAUAAAUAGUUAUCUCUCUAUGUCUAUAUAUACCUUGGCAUGAUGGGGUGGUUGAAUAAAUGAUCAUAAUUAUCAGGAAAAUAGCACUUGUCAGGUAUACAUUCCUCAUUGUAUAGACUUGGUGACUGAUGCUAGAGGACAGUACCACUCUUUUCUUUUCUCCACCUUAUUUCCCGGUUUCACCUUGUUUAGGUAUCAGGAGUGGUGUGCAUUGUAUCUGUAUUUCCUUUCAGCCUUAGUGUGUAGGUGUUUAUAUAGGAGUACCCCGAAACCUUGAGUAAGAUUAAUUGUCAUAAUUUAUUUGUUUCUACUUGUAUCUAUAUCUAUAUCUAUAUCUAUAUCUAUAUCUAUAUCUAUAUCUAUAUCUAUAUCUAUAUCUAUAUCUAUAUCUAUAUCUAUAUCUAUAUCUAUAUCUAUAUCUAUAUCUAUAUCUAAUUUGUUAUAUCUAAAUCCAUAUCUCUAACUCUAUCUUUAUCCCUGUCUCUAUCUCUCUAUCUAUCAUGUACCAGCCUAAAUACUUAUCUAUUUGUCCAAAAUCUAUAAAAGUAAAAAAUCUUUUUAUGUCUAUAUCGCUACUCUAUCUCUUUCUAUCAGUACCUAGAUAUCUAUUUUUUUGUUUGUGUAUAUAAUUUAUUUAUUUACUUAUGAUCAAUCUGGAUGACACUAGACCUCAAAGCGCCUCAAGAGUAUAUAUAUAUAUAUAUUUAUUUAUCAUAUAUAUUUAUUUAUCUCAUGGCAUUAACCUUCAUCUAUCUAUGAUUUUAUUUAUUUCUUUAUUUAUUUAUUGAUCUUAUGUGAUUACUUAUAGUAAGACCGUCAAGAGUAAUUUUGUUGCAAUAACAAAUAACGCAAGCAUAAGACCACAAACUUACUGCAUUGUUCAUCCAUAGCCAUAAAUGUACUACUUUAUUCACCUACCACAGUAGGACCUAAUGUGGAUGUCUAGAACAUAUAAAUUUAGGCUCUCGUACUAGUAAAACCAAAUAUACUUUUCUAGGGAACCAUAAAACAUGUCAUGAUCGUUGUGGCAAAGUAGAAAAUCAACUAUUUUGUUCUGCAACCAUAUAACCAAAUUAUGCUAAAUAGCAAGGGGCUUGGGAGCUACACCCAAUAGGUGGACUUUGCAAGAAAGCACACACAAUUUGAAAAUCUGAAGAGCACUUCAUGGCUUCUCUCAAUAAGGUUACUCAGAUGCUGCUUGAUUCUACUCGGCAAUGACUUGGAGACUCAAGAAGACUUCAAAGUUCCACAAUGAAGAGCUCGGAGGCUUGAUGGACCAAGAUCCUAAAGGUUUCCCAUAGGCCCGACUACCUAGUAGGAGAUGGGCGGCCCACGACCUUGCCUGGAAGUCGCAGAACAAGGCGGCAUGCUCUCUAUGGCAAUAAGGACCGACCUACUCGAAUUAUUGGAAAGACUAUCUCACGGAUUAAGACAUAAAUAUGCACCUACCCUCUCGAGUAUAUAAAGAGAGACAAGGGCCGCCCUUGUAACAUCAUCAUGCAAAGCAAUCCAAUACAGGUCAACACACCAUAGUGGACAUAGGGUGUUACACUAUUUAGUUGUUUCAACUACUAUAAAUCAUUCUUUCUCAUUUAACGAUUAAGUUAAGUUUACGUCGAAGCCCACCAAUCUUUGUUGUGGGUGGCCCCAUAGCAACGUUGCCGGUCAUUAGACACUGACAAUGGGGAGCUAGUGGCGCCAUUCACUAUGUGAAAAAGUGUUAAAUUCACACAUCCUAUAUAAACGUCUGUAGUUAGUGGCCGGCCCAGCAAGAUCAACAGUUUCUAUAAUACGAUGUUAUUACAGAUGUCUGUGUCAUUUCCCGAAUUUGGGAUAGCAGGAUCAAAAGCUAUGGACGCGUAUAUGGUAUACGCGUCGGUAGUAACAUCUCUUAUUGUAGAAGUGUGCUGACACAACUCAUCUGAGAUAUAGCUUCAAACAUGCAUUCAUGAUACGCGUGUGUAUAUGCAAUAGCUAGUACAAUCACAUGUGAUGAUUCCUGAGGCCAUGGAUAGCGGUAGCAAAGUCUAUGGUUACGCAUACGACAUGCGCGUCUAUAGUAUCCUUGGUGCUUUAGCUGGCCUCAUGCAUGGGUAGAACAAGGUUAUUGGCGCCAGCUGAAUGUACGUCUCUACAGGCUCUUGCGGUUAGAGAAAAAGCAGGUGGGGGCGUGCUCUAUAUAUCGGUGGGUUGUUUGGUCGAAAACCGAGCGAAGACAUAAAUAAAAAUAAUAGUGCAAGGGAGACACAUGCACACAUAUUCGAGAACCAUAUAUUUUAUUAAUUCUUUCUUGAAUAUACAAAAUAUAUGAUCAACAAAAAAAUGUCUUUCUUCUGCAUCAUGCUUAAGGAGAGGUAUGACUUGUAGAAAAUUGUAUAGUUCGGUAAUUCUCGGGGCCUGUUUAGGCGUGACUGGUUAAUUACAUCCACAAGACGAGCUUGCGAAAAACCUCUGAUUAAACUGCGCUUUCAUAGUCGUCAAAUAUUCUCUAGAUCAUUGUCAACCAUAUGCGAUAUAUGACAAAAUAAUUAUGGGUGGCUUUAUGUUGCCAAACGCCAUCGCCAUGUUGGAGUAAUAAACGAAAUAUGUUGAUGAAGAGGAUGACUUUCGCCUCAUCGGUACCCAGUCAUGUACGUCGACCUUCAUUAACACGGACAUAUGUGAGUUGCCUUUGCCUCGUCGGUAUAAGCAACAAGAUGUCUGAUCCGUUAAUCGAGACAUAUAGAUGGAAUUGAGACCUCGCCUUAUUGGCGCUUUGCAGAGCUCCAUCUAGCCUUGUUGGCACUAGACGUUAAUAAUUGUGUAAUAGAAAUUUGCUUAAAUCAAUUAGCGGUAAGUAUUGCUUGGACGAUGCUUGCUGGAUGCUAGCCUUUCCAUGUUGUGCGACAACUGUGAACUCCAUAAUCAUGAAGUUUGCUAUUAAAAUUAAUACGUAGCCUUAAUGUUAUGGCCAUACGUGAGAAUCCUAAAAGUAUAUAGAGCACACGCAUGUACUCAAUUUUGUUUAUAAAUUCUGACGAGCUUCCUCAUAAUAAUGUCGCAAAGCAUAAAUCACCAUGUAACCACACGGCACCAAUUAAAUCAUAGUAACAGCCUAGCGUAUAAUUCCUGAAUUGUAUGGCUUGAUCAUCGUCAUCACAUUGAGCAGGACUUAAUUUUCAUCAUCGCGACGAGUAGGGUUCUCCUAACUCGUGCGUUCUUACCGUGACAAAACUAGAUUUUUUUUGUCUUGCACGUCGAUUUUUUUUUGUGAUCACAACGAGCAGGGAUUUCUAGUAUCUUACUCUUUGCGCAGCUCAAAUCGAUCAUCAACAACUCAACAACGGCCUUGCACGCUACGGGUUCUGAUGUUGCUUGAGUUGUUGGCCUUCUCGUGGUAGUAGAUCAAAAGGACCGAUAAUUUUUUCCAUAAUUCACACGUGAAUUUGUUACCACGCAUCCAGAUGGAUUGCUCACCAUGGAACACGACAGUGGACAUGGUGGAGCUGCAGAUGUUGUUCUUGGCGAAGGCGUUGAAAGAAGGCAAAGAGUCAGCGAUCCAGACAGCAAGACGACGGCAGCCGCAAGCGAUGGCGUGCAGCGGUGAGCGGCAAAAUCUUGGCGUGUAUUUUGGCAGAGGUACGCCUGGGUACUGGAACGGAGAGCAGAGGCUCGGCGGCGUCGAACGGAGAGGAUGGGCGUGGAUAUCUGGAACCGAUUUAUCACGGGCUGAUUUAUAUAUAGGGGAGAGCAGGACGUCGAUUGGCGCCCACGCCAAGAAGAAUACCUUUAGGGCCCGUUCAUUUUGUGUGGAACGUAGACACCGGUAUUCAAAACUGGAGUACCGUAGCCAGCAAGAAACCUGGUGCAGCCACUGCCGAACGAGCCCUUAAUUGAUCUGGACGACAUGAAAACAAGCAUGAACUUCCUUAGACCUUGUUUGCAUGUAGUCGGAUUCACAUCAAUCCAUAUGUGUUGAGAUGGAUUGGAGUUGAACAUGAACUAAAUUCCACCUCAAUCCAUACCAACACACGUGGAUUGAAAUGAAUCCGAUAACAUCCAAACAAGGCCUUAAUUGUUUCCCCUUCCAUGCAUGUAUAUAUAUUCGGCAGCCAUAUAUAUACACACACAUAAACUCACGUGAAUCAACUAUAUGCAUAUGAGUUGAUGCCCAAGUUCAUCACGUCGAAAUUAACUUCCUUAUUUAAUUAUUCCUUUUUUCCACAUAUAUGUGUAUUUUUAUACAUACACAAACUCACGUGAAGUAUGCAUCAGUGGAUGCCUUCCUUAUUUGAUCAUUUCUUUUUCCAUGUAUGUAUAUAUGUACGUUUGGCCGCCAUAUAUACACACACACAUAUAUGUACCCAUAAAUUCACGUGAUUAUAUUAAAAAAUAUUCAUCAAACAUUACUGUGGCGGGCCACAAGCUGGAGGAGCUAGCUAUACUAUAGCAUAGGAAAGAGGGGCGUGAUGGUGUGGGCGGUCGGAUGUGGUGGAUGCACGGGCGGCGGUGGUCAGAUGUGUUGGAUGCAGCGUGGCAAGCGAGAUGAACCCUGCAAGAAGGCAGUCGGAUGCAGGCAAAGUGAAACAGCGAAUGCUAGCUAAAUGAAUGGCGGACAAGAUGAAAGACGACUUCGAAACAGAUGGUGAGCAGAAUGAAACUUAUUACGACAAACGCACGUAAGUAACAAGAGUCUGUAGCAAUUAAGAAAACACACAAAAAAAUUGUGUAGAUGUUAUCACGGAAGUUGUAGAACUCAUGAAGACCUACAACUUUUAUUAUGGAAAACUUUUCAUGUGACUGUUUGAACCAUUCAAAGUUUAUCAAAUAGAUUCAAAUUCAAACAAUAUUUUGAAACACCAAAUGAUUCCAGAUGAAAAAGUCAUGACCACGACUUUUGUAUAACUCAUGAAGAUGUACAACAUUUAUUUUGGUCAUUUCUUUGUUUGGAAAACUGAGAAUAACAUUAAUUUGUAAACAAAGUUACUAUCACUUUCUCAAAUGAGAAAACGACCAAAAUAAAAGUUGUACAUGACCUAUACAACUUUCAUGUUAAUGACUUCUUCAUUUGGUGUUUCAAAAUGUUGUUUCAAAAUUUCAAUGGUUUAAACAAAGUCACAUAAAAGGAUUCUCGAAGUAAUUCGUCGUGUAUCUUGUUGAGAUCUACAACAUUUAUAUUCAUGCGUUUUGCAUCUGAAAGCAUUUGGUGAGUCAAAAUCUUGUUCAAAGUAACAAUUUUGCCAAAUUCAAUUUUUGAAUUGUCGAAACAGUCACACAAAAAGUUUUACAAAAUAAAAAAGUUGUAGAUCUUCAUUAUUUCCACAACUUUUGUGUUAACAAUAUUUUCAACUUCGAUCAUCCACUGCACUAAAUUUGUAUUCAAAGAUUUGAAAUUCUUAAUUUCCAAUUUAAUUACUUUAGACCUUUGUUGGGAACAUGCGUCUAUAGUCAACCCGUGUUGGGAACAUGCGCGUCCCAUGAGUUGCAGAUCCAAACUAUUGUGCUGCACCGCCCCUCCAUUAUUAACUGCUACCAUUGUAUCCAUGCAUCGCCUCCCUUGCUGCCCAGAAAACCCUCCACUCCAUGCCGCACGGUUCGCCUCCCUAGCUGCCUAGAAAACCUUCCACUCCCGUCGCUUCCUUUUCCACCGCCGAAGACCCUCCGGCCUUCGAAAUGCCGCAGACGAAGCAGAAUAUAGCCUCUGUCCUUGUGGACUUGCCACAAGCCAAGGACGUCCCCAUGAUGGAUGUGAAGGAGGAGCAGCCGACAGACGAUGGCAUGUUCAUUGCUACUGCUAGUGCUUCAUCGGGGUCCAAGAAGCACAAGACCAUGCCCGCAUCAGUGGUUGUGGUGGCGAUCAAGCAGAAGGUUGGGCACAGCUCUGCCUCAGCGGUCGAGCCGUCUUCCUCAUCAGUGGUGACCUCAGUGGUGACGAAGAGGCCCAAAAAAUGCGCACUGGCGGCAGUGGUACCCUCUUCUUCCUUGCCAGCGGUGACUCUGGUAGUGACAAAGAGGCUGAGGGGCAGGCCCAGAAAACCCUAGGCGGUGGCCGUGCGACCACUGAAAAGAGGCCAAGGGGAGGAUGUGCCAUCAUUGGAUGCAUAGCGGCCACAUGUGUAGCUCGAUCCCUAGCCAGGUAAUAAGCCCACCGUCCCCAUUCUGGCUAGAUGCAUGCAUGUGUUUUCUGAUAUGUUUUCUGACUGUAAUGAACAUACAUGUCACUACCUCUAAUGGAUAUAUAUGAGGCUGCUAUAUAUGCUUUGUUGUGUGAUGAUAUUUGAUGUGUGUGAUGAAUGACCAUUUGGAUAGGUCAUGGGAAAUAAAGUCUUAGAAAUCUUAUAAGUAUCUUUAGCCAAAGUGAGUUGUUGCUCUAUUUUUUAGAUAGAUUGAUGAGCAGAUGUUUGGGCUGCUGUCUUUUAGUCUAAUGAAUAAAUGUUUUAGUCAACUAAAUGUUAGUUCAUGAUUAGAAAAUAGCAUUGUCAGUUGCAGACCUUCAAUUUCGUUCCAGACCUUCACUGUCAUUUCAGUCUAUUAAAUGUUUCUAUGCAUAUAUGUAGGCUCCAGAUUUUAGGGUCCCUCUAGGCACCGUGCAUGAGGCCCUGACUGUGAAACCACUCUUGAAGAAGGUUGAUGCUGGUGACACGACGCUUCAAGAGUUCAAGAAGUUGCUGCACAGGGUUGGACAUAGAAUAGUUGAAGAAGAUGAUGAGGGACCUAAGAAGGAGAUGGUGGACACCACAGGAGGCCAGCUGGCGGCUGUGACUGUGAAGGUGGAUGCCAUAAAAGAUGCGGUGGAUGCUAUAAAAGAUGCCUUCGAGAUGCACAUAUAAGUCUUUAUCAUGGGUUAUGUGUAUAUAUUGGAACUUAACUUUGCUUCUAAUGGUGUGAUUUGGUUAAUUAAGUUUCAUAACUUACACUAGCACAAUAAAUCUCUAUACAAGCGGUUCCGAACCUAUUUCUACAGGCAUUUUUCAGACCUGCCAACGUUGGAGGCCAGUGGAAAUGAAACUAUCCACAUGUGGUUAAUUGAGAACCACCUAUGGAAAUUGAUUUCCACUGGCAGUGAACUACCAGUGGAAAUCGAUUUCCACAGGCGGUUGUGGAAAUCGAUUUCCACAGGCGGCUGUGUUAUGUCAACCGCCUGUGGAAAGGCUCGUCCAGAAAAUAUAAUUGGGUUUUAAAAAUAGAGAAAAAAUUUUAAUUGUGGGGAUGAUCUACUAUCAAGUCAUGAGUUUUUCCACGUAAAAUCACACACUCCACAGCCAGUAGGAUUCAAACCCGCAACCUCUCCCUUGCGCGUAGCCUCCUGUACCACUCCACCCAUUACUCACUUGUGUCUAUACUAGAGUUUGGUUCUCCACAUAUUAUCCUAAACCGAGCAAACAUUAAUUGUUUGAGGCCCUAAACGGAUUUAAAUUGUAACACCCUAAAAUUUACUCCUUUUUGAAAUAGGUGAAAAUGAUAUAAUUUUGUAUUUUUGUUCAUGAAAUAUAGAGAAAUAAUAUUCUUCAUUAAGUUAAACUUAUUAUAGGCUUAGCAACAUGGUUGUGCAUUCAUAUUGGAGCAUAUAUUUUAUUCAAUGUGUGGUUUUGAUCAAAGUCAAAAUGUUUUCAGAUUUAUUUUCAACUGUUCUGAAAAGACUUUGAAAUAAAAAGAAACAAAAUAAAAGAAAAACGAAAACACUCCCUCUCCCCUCUGUUCUGGCCCGAAGGCCACCCCGUUCUCCCCACUCGCGGCCCACUCUUCCUCUCUCCCGCAACCGGCCCAAGCUGCGGGCCUUGGCCCAACAAGUAGCGGCCCAGUUCCUUCUCCCCGUGGGCACGCUCACGCGCCCUCCCUCUUCCCUUUUCCCCCUCCGUGCCACGCGGGCCCUGUCACCCCUCUCACUGCCGCCCGGGCCCGCUCGUCGGUGGCUUUUUCUCUUCUUCUACCUUGAGGCGUGACCGAGAUGGACUUAGGGCAACGCAGCUCAAUACGAUUUCCCGAGAUUUCUUUCUCAUCACGACAAUCCAGUUACUAUAAAGCUCGUGGCUCCUCCCUGCAACUCUCCUUUGCGUCCGCAAGCAUCGAGGAACCCUAGUCGCCUUUACAGCUGAAGAUUGGAUCUCGCCGAGAAGCAUCACUCGCCCGACGCCCUGGCCCUCACCCUCUGUUGCACCAGGGUCGCCAACAACCGUAUGCCGAGCAUCGCAUCGAUCCUACGAUGCCACUGAGCCCUUUGUUUCUUUCUCUCUCGCGUGCUGUGUCACGCUGACUGUUGCCGAACCUUGCAGGUAGACAUCGCCCGCCGAACCGCGACGUGCGCCAUCCACGAGCUAUCCCCGGCCUCGUGAAGCUCCUAGAUGAGAUCGUCUUGAGUUUCCCUCCCUUCUCGUGCAAUUCCCGAGUCAAACCGCGGCCGAAAACGUCAUCCAGUGAAGCUCCGGUAAGUCUCAACAAUGGCGCCGCCGGCCAGAGUACUGUUCCGGUGGCCGCCCCCCCCCCCCCACUUUUCCCUCUCUUAAAAUCCGAGCCAUCCGAUCUUAAAUCAACGGCCGCGAUUAAAACAUACCCUUUCAUUCGCAUUUUUGCUAAAGAGCCCCUGCUGUUUUUAGGAAUAAACCCGAGGUCCUAAAGCGCCCUUUUAAUAAUACGCUUUCUCAGUUUUAAAAACGUAUUCACGACAUGUUAGAAAUAUUGUUCACACAGUUUGAAACUUUUUACUUUCGUGAUAUUAUUUAAUUAAUUUCUUUUCUAUAUAAAAUCUUAGAAAAUUCAUAACUUCUACGUUUUAAUCCCGAUUUUCGUGAACUUUACGUUUGUGUGAUCGUAGCGCUGCAUAGAACAUUUUGAUAAACUUUUAUCUUUGUUUUACCACUGUUUGGUGUAUUGCUGCAUAGAACAUUUUGAUAAACUUUUAUCUUUGUUUUACCACUGUUUGGUGUAUUGUUCUAAUUAUAGCUUGUUUGCUUCGUGUAUGAUUGUCUACAUUGGAUUGCGUGUUGUUGGUUGAUGAUCAGGUAUAGAUGGUGAGCGAUACGUUGGUGAUCAAGAUCAAGCUUUUGACGACCAGUAGCAGGCUCAGGAGAGCUUUGAUCAAGGCAAGUAUAGCAUUUGGAUUUUAUUUCUGUGACCAUGAUCGUGUGGCUAGAUUAAUGUUAAGUAAUAAACGAUAAAAAUGACUUUUUAGCAACUUGAUGAUUUGUCUGUACGUGAUCACCCGGGACAACAGUGCAACCAUGAGGGCUAUAAUGGUUCUGGCUUUAGUUAAGUAUGAGUAACUUUUCUAGCUCGUUAGCGGUUACCCGUUGUGGCGCAAUUGGGGAAUAGCAGACCGUGGAUUCCUGCGGGUGAAUCACACGGACUGACUAAUGAAACCAAGCGGCCCUAACUUGUUAGACAAACCUAUGAAAGACUUUAUAGUGAUCCCUACCGACCUCCCUUGGAAGGGGGUUAAGAGACUAGCUGCCUCGGGCGAAAGGGUAAAUCAUGACUCAUGGGUAAAGAUGUGCAACCUCUGUAGAGUGUUAAAAACUAGUAUAUUAGCCGAGCUCACGGUCAGGAGCGGCCUUGGGGACAUCUACAUUAAGGGUGAUGAUUCUUGUGUGUUAAAUAUGCUCAUUGUUUAUUAUUUAAUGCUCUACAUUAUUUAUGUCACAUUGAUCAUGAGAUUGUGGGAGUUAUACAAUCUAGUUGCUAUACUUGUUGAGUUCGACAUUGACUCACUCUUGCUAUUUUCCCCAAACCUCAGGACAAGUUUAGGCUUGUGAUCAACCAGUCCUUUUCUAGCUCGUUAGCGGUUACCCAUUAUGGCGCAUUUGGGGAAUAGCAGACCGUGGAUUCCUGCGGGUGAAUCAAACGGACUGACUAAUGAAACCAAGCGGCCCUAACUUGUUAGACGAACCUUUGAAAUACUUCAUAGUGAUCCCUGCCGACCUCCCUUGGAAGGGGGUUACGAGACUAGCUACCUCGGGCAAAAGGGUAAAUCAUGACUCAUGGGUAAAGAUGUGCAACCUCUGUAGAGUGUUAAAAACUAGUAUAUUAGCUGAGCUCACGGUUAGGAGCGGCCCUGGGGACAUCUACAUUAAGGGUGAUGAUUCUUGUGUGUUAAAUAUGCUCAUUGUUUAUUGUUUAAUGCUCUACAUUAUUUAUGUCACAUUGAUCAUGAGAUUGUGGGAGUUAUAUAAUCUAGUUGCUAUACUUGUUGAGUUCGACAUGGACUCACUCUUGCUAUUUUCCCCAAACCUCAGGACAAGUUUAGGCUUGUGAUCAACCAGUCAGUUGGAUCCUGUAGAGUGAAGUUAAUACCCGAAGUUGGAGUUAUUUAUCCGUUGUUUGCUAAAAAGGUUAUCUCUUUUAUACUAAGUACGUUAUAUAUUUAUGCAUUGUCUUUUGAUAUUACACCUUAUUUGUAGCUAUAUGUGAGAUUUGACUUUUAAAACUCGCAUAUGGUGUAUAUCUAGUUUUGUCCUUAAAAUCGGGUAUUACAAAGUGGUAUCGGAGCAAUGCUGAUUGUAGGACGCAAGCCUACUUAGAACUGGACGUUUUAGCAUGCUUUUAUCUUUGCUUACUUCUUGCUUUCACCUUGACCUUGAUAGUUGCCAAAAGAUAUGCUUACUUCUUGCCCAGUUCUUUUAUAAAAUCUUGUCUCUAUUCUAAAUCCUCCCUCUUUGUCUCUUUAGAUGGACCAUAACGAGGAGACAUUUGGCAAGAAGGAACAAAAGCACGCAGAUAUGCCAACCGUAAAAGCAUUCGACAAGGAGAAGCUUCUAGCCAUGCAAACACAAGUAGUGGAAGGAAUAACUCAGAAUAAGAACUCUCAGCAACGCAUCUCAAGACCAGUGAGGAGACAAGUAGCAGAAGCUUGGAAAAAUAUGAGAAAUCAUGGAAGCGUUGGGAGUAAUACAUCAGGAUAUCAGGAUCAAUGCCACUGUUGUGAGCAUUAUGGUCUUCCUUGUCUUCGGAAUAUGUCAUCUAAAAAGGAAGUUAAGACAAAACCAACUUGUGUGACUAAUGGGGAUAAGAAGAGGAAGGAAAAAGCACUAGAGCCGGCAUUGGGAAAUGAUCAACACCCAAAUCCUAAGAUGUCACAUGUAGCUUCGAAUUCUCGUCAGGAAAACCCAAACCUUGGAGAUGAACAACUUCCCCAAGCUAAUCCCAUUGCUCAUGAGGUAUGCAUAGAUGGAUGGACAAUCACUAAUAAAGAGUUUCAACCUCAAAGGAUCAAGCAAUAUAGGAAGAAAUCUAAUCAUACAAAGAUAAACCAUCAGAGUCAGCGAGUUGAUGACACACUGAACAACACUUCAGUGGAAAAUAACAUCACAAAGGAUCCAGCUAAGAGAAGGUGUUAUCACUGCCAACAAGAAGGACAUUAUAUAAGCUCUUGUCCACAAAAGAAGCAACAGAUGUAUCAUGAGAAUAACCAUACUAAGUCUAAGAUAUAGGUGUUUGUGUCCCCUAGUGUAAUAAAAACGCUAGUAGCGAAAGUUGAGUUUGUGUGCCUUGUGAACCUUUAAUGUUUAAUUGCUUGUUAUUAUGUUUAUGUUUGAUUUGGAUCUUUGUAAUGAGUGUAAUAAUUUUGUGAGUUCUUCACAAUUUCAUUUAGUUUAUAGAACUAAGGCAUAAGGAGUAAUGACAUAAGUAGUUGGGUUUGGUUAUAUCCUGUUUCUGUCCCUUGCUGACUUCUGGAGCAGUUAGCAAUAAUAUUGGUAUAUCUCAAGUUUCUGAUCGUGCAAAAUUUAUCAACUUUUUCUGGGAACAACUAGACUCCAAGAUAUUUCUUUGACCUCAAGAAUGACCCCCAUAUCUAUUUUGGAAUUGGAGUUAUGAAAAUCACAAGUUGAUGCAGCUGCGCUGUCAAGAAUCUGUACCAGUUUCGGUUGCUUACCGUUUUAGACAUAUAUAACUAUAGAAUUUGGAAACAUAUUCUAUAGAAAACUUGUAGACAAUUUUCUAUUAUUUCCAACGGUAUAAGCUGGAACUUAUUUGGAUAAGUAGAACCUGAGAUAUGAUAUUUACAAUUGGAUGUUUCUGUUCUGUAUCAAAGUCUGGACAGUUUUGGUAUUCCCUAUUUUCAGCCAAGUUGAAGUCAGAAUCUGGGAAAGAGUUGUAUACGAAAGUUGUAGAGGAUUUCAUAAGAUUUUAAACAAUAUAAGGAUCAUCUCCAGAUGAGUUAAGUAUCUCGAGAUAUAACUUCUGGAAGUUACUGCACCUUUGCUGAGAUAUUGUCAGGAUGGAUAUUAUGUUUUGUUGUUUUACCUAAGCUUAAAGACAGAACCUAAGGAGGUCUUCUACAUGAAAGUGGUAGAGAAUUUCAUAAGUUUUCUAACUGUAUAAGCUACAACUCUAUUGGAUUAACAGAAUAAGAGUUAUAUGUGUUGUACUACGUUGAUGUUUUUCAUAUCUCGAGGAAAUUUCAGGAUACCUGUUUGCUCCAUUGCACAUAAGUUCUUUGGAAUGUCAGAAGUUCUCAAUGUUAGUUAACUUGUUUGGAAAAUAUGCAAGCUAACUUUCUUGUGUCCCCUAGUUGACCCUUUUAAGGGGGGUAGCCUAAUUAAAGAAGUUACAUAGAUAAAAAUUGGAUAAUGUUGGAUCAUAAGUGAAGAUCAUAAGUGCUUGGUAAAUUGGUUUUGAUUCAGGAUAUCAUCCAAUUUAGAGAAUAUUAAUGGAGAUAUAUGUCAUUGCUGAUACUCAUGGAUUGAGAGUUAUGGUUAUGAGGAUCAGAUGACACCAAAGGUUACGAAGUUAUAUGUACAGUAUGAGAGUGAAACAACUUAACCGUGAUAAAGGUACCGAUAAUUAGAACUUAGUGAUGAAACUAACCUUGGAUCAAGAGACUCGGUACAACGAAUGUAAAAGACUAUGAUGUGUAGUGUCCAAAAAGGAUAGGAGAACUAGUCCUUAGUGUCCCCCAAUCAAUCUCAUUUUAAGGGGGGUAGCACCUUGAUAUCACGGGAUGAAGCAUUUUAAAACUAUCUCGAAGUGAUCAUUGUCUUAUGAGAUAUCUUAUGGUUAUGAUCAUCUAUCCUUGUCGUGUUACUGACGUUUGUCACUUGAUGACAGGGAGUGUAGUGUCCCAUGGAUCAGGAGCCCUAUAUGAUGCAUCUCAUGAAUAGGUGGGAAGAAUAUGAUCAUCUUGCCUUUGAAGAAAGAUGCUAUGAAUAUGACAAAGCUGAGUGUUAUCAAAAUAAUAAUAAUACGGAAGAGCAAGUUGACAUUGAAUCAAAUCAGAAUCCACAAUGACAGAAGCGUAAAAGGAAAGCCCGUAAGAAGCCUGCUUACGGAAAUAAAGUACAGCAAAAUUAUAUCAAUGGAAGACUGAACAAUGUGGAUAUGAAUGACAUUCAAGGAGUCACCAAAGUGGUGGGUGGAUAUAUUCAUGUGGACUCAGUGUUAGUUUUUGCUCUGUUUGACCGAAGUGCUUCACAUUCUUUCAUUUCUACCAACCUGGUAAAGACAAUUGAGCGGGUGAAGUGUCCAACAAGGAAGCCUUUGUUAGUCCAAACACCAAAGGGAGAAAUACAGGCAGACCAGGUUUGCUUGAAUAUUAAUCUGGUCAUAAGCAAGGAGAACUGCACAGUAAACCUCAUUGUGCUAGAGUCACUCAACAUUCCUUUGGUUCUUGGCAAUGGAUAGUUAUGUGCACACAAAGGAGUGAUCUAUGCUACCUAGUGGAAAAUUUUCUUAACCGCACCAUCAGGGAAAAGAAUUGAGUAUCAGGGUGGUCCACUCCUACCUGAGGAGGCAUAUCCAUGCUAAGUUAUCGUGUCUUUGAGUUGUGUGAGUCAAAAGCUGGUAGUCAAGAUGGAUUUUGAUCAGUUAUGAGUAAUAGAUAUUCUGUGGAAACUUUGUUCACAAGUUAUGAUCCCGAGACAUAAGUGUCUAUCUUGGAGUGCAAGUUGUGAAGUUGAGAUAGUUAUCAAUAUCUUUUUCUGUUCCUCUUUUGAAAUUCGUGCCUUUUCCGAAUCUGGAGGACGAGAUUCAUUUUAAGGAGGGUAGAUUUGUAACAACCUAAAAUUUACUCCUUUUUGAAAUAGGUGAAAAUGAUUUAAUUUUAUAUUUUUGUUCAUGAAAUAUAGAGAAAUAAUAUUCUUCAUUAAGUUAAAAUUUAUUAUAGGCUUAGCAACAUGGUUGUGCAUUCAUAUUGGAGCAUAUAUUUUAUUCAAUGUGUGGUUUUGAUCAAAGUCAAAAUGUUUUCAGAUUUAUUUUCAACUGUUCUGAAAAGACUUUGAAAUAAAAAGAAACAAAAAGAAACAAAAUAAAAGAAAAACGAAAACACUCCCUCUCCCCUCUGUUCUGGCCCGAAGGCCACCCCGUUCUCCCCACUCGCGGCCCACUCUUCCUCUCUCCCGCAACCGGCCCAAGUUGCGCGCCUUGGCCCAGCAAGUAGCAGCACAGUUCCUUCUCCCCGUGGGCACGCGCACGCGCCCUCCCUCUUCCCUUUUCCCCCUCACUAGCACGCGGGCCCUGUCAGCCCUCUCACUGCCGCCCGGGCCCGCUCGUCGGUGGCUUUUUCUCUUCUUCUACCUUGAGGCGUGACCGGGAUGGACUCAGGGCGACGCAGCUCAAUACGAUUUCCCGAGAUUUCCUUCUCAUCACGACAAUCCAGUUCCUAUAAAGCCCGUGGCUCCUCCCUGCAGCCCUCCUUUGCGUCCGCAAGCAUCGAGGAACCCUAGUCGCCUUUACAGCUGAAGAUUGGAUCUCGCCGAGGAGCAUCACUCGCCCGCCGCCAUGGCCCUCACCCUCUGUUGCACCAGGGUCGCCAACAACCGUGUGCCGAGCAUCGCAUCGAUCCUACGAUGCCACUGAGCCCUUUCUUUCUUUCUCUCUCGCGUGCUGUGUCACGCUGACUGUUGCCGAACCUUGCAGGCAGACAUCGCCCGCCGAACCGCGACGUGCACCAUCCACGAAAUAUCCCUGGCCUCGUGAAGCUCCUAGAUGAGAUCGUCUUGAGUUUCCCUCCCUUCUCGUGCAAUUCCCGAGUCAAACCGCAGCCGAAAACGUCAUCUAGUGAAGCUCCGGUAAGUCUCAACAAUGGCGCCGCCGGCUGGAGUACUAUUCCGGUGCCCCCCACCCUCUUUUCCCUCUCUUAAAAUCUGAGCCAUUCGAUCUUAAAUCAACGGCCGCGAUUAAAGCAUACCCGUUCAUUCGCAUUUUUGCUAAAGAGCCCUGCUAUUUUUAGGAAUAAACCCGAGGUCCUAAAGCGCCCUUUUAAUAAUACGCUUUCUCAGUUUUAAAAACGUAUUCUGCGCCGGUUUGAACUAAAAUACGUUUUCUAUAAUUACAAGUUUGCCACUGAGUUUGUUUUGACUAUAUAAUAUUCAUUUUAAUUCCGUUUUGACCCGUUCAAAUUGUGUUAGGUUCGUAAUCACGAGCACGACAUGUUAGAAAUAUUGUUCACUCAGUUUGAAACUUUUUACUUUUGUGAUAUUAUUUAAUUAAUUUCUUUUCUAUAUAAAAUCUUAGAAAAUUUAUAACUUCUAGGUUUUAAUCCCGAUUUUCGUGAACUUUACGUUUGUGUUAUCGUAGCACUGCGUAGAACAUUUUGAUAAACUUUUAUAUUUGUUUUACCACUAUUUGGUGUAUUGUUCUAAUUAUAACUUGUUUGCUUCGUGUAUGAUUGUCUACAUUGGAUUGCGUGUUGUUGGUUGAUGAUCGGGUAUAGACGGUGAGCGAUACGUCGGUGAUCAAGAUCAAGCUUUUGACGACCAGUAGCAGGCUCAGGAGAGCUUUGAUCAAGGCAAGUAUAGCAUUUGGAUUUUAUUUCUGUCAACAUGAUCGUGUGGCUAGAUUAAUGUUAAGUAAUAAAUGAUAAAAAUGACUUUUUAGCAACUUGAUGAUUUGUCUGUACGUGAUCACCCGGGACAACAGUGCAACCAUGAGGACUAUAAUGGCUCUGGCUUUAGUUAAGUAUAAGUAACUUUUCUAGUUUGCUAGCGGUUACCCGUUGUGGCACAAUUGGGGAAUAGCACACCAUGGAUUCCUGCGGGUGAAUCACACGGACUGACUAAUGAAACCAAGCGGCCCUAACUUGUUAGACGAACCUUUGAAAGACUUCAUAGUGAUCCCUGCCGACCUCCCUUGGAAGGGGGUUAAGAGACUAGCUACCUCGGGCGAAAGGGUAAAUCAUGACUCAUGGGUAAAGAUGUGCAACCUCUGUAGAGUGUUAAAAACUAGUAUAUUAGCCGAGCUCACGAUCAGGAGCAGCCUUGGGGACAUCUACAUUAAGGGUGAUGAUUCUUGUGUAUUAAAUAUGCUCAUUGUUUAUUGUUUAAUGCUCUACAUUAUUUAUGUCACAUUGAUCAUGAGAUUGUGGGAGUUAUACAAUCUAGUUGCUAUACUUGUUGAGUUCGACAUGGACUCACUCUUGCUAUUUUCCCCAAACCUCAGGAGAAGUUUAGGCUUGUGAUCAACUAGUUAGUUGGAUCCUGUAGAGUGAAGUUAAUACCCGAAGUUGGAGUUAUUUAUCCGUUGUUUGCUAAAAAGAUUAUCUCUUUUAUACUAAGUACGUUUUAUAUUUUUGCAUUGUCUUUUGAUAUUACACCUUAUUUGUAGCUAUAUGUGAGAUUUGGCUUUUAAAACUCGCAUAUGGUGUAUAUCUGGUUUUGUCCUUAAAAUCAGGUAUUACAUAAAUGAAAAGUUGUAAACUUUAAAGUUAUAUAACUUUUCAAGAUCUACAACUUUUAUAUUGGUAGUUUCUCCAUCCGAGGUAAUUUACAAAAUUUAAAUUUCAAAUUUGACAAACUUGAACGUAGUUUUUGGUGACAAGAUGAUUUCAAAUGAAAAAAUUAUCAACUACAAAAUUUCAUAACGUUUCGAGAUCUACAACUUUUAUUUGGGCAGUUUUUUCAUACUAGGUCAUUUGGAAAACUCAAAAAAAUUAAUGUCAAAUUAUUUCUAGAGGCGGUUUUCUAAAUAAACCGCCACUAGAAAUCCUAUUUUUAGUGGUGGUUCCUUAAGAAAACCGCCUAUACGAAUAUUGUAUUUCUAUAGGCGGUUCUAUUAGGACAACCGCCAGUGAAAAUGUAUUUUCACUAGCGGUUUUCUUAAGAGAACCGCCUAUGAAAAUGCACCAUUUCCACUGGCGGUUUUCUUGAGUCAGGUCCGCUGCUUUCUUUUCACAGGCGUUUUUUAAUUGAAAUCGUCUGUAAAUAAAAUCCACUACCAGCAUAGAGCUUUUUUGUACUAGUGUUACUUUUUGGUUGUAUAUAUGAUGUGGACAAGUUAGAAAUUAACUAAGCAAUAAUAUUGAUGUUGCAUAUAUAUGUGAUGCGUAUGUGUGCUGUGUGAGGACUAUAUAGUAGCUACUGGAUGCUGCUGCCAUGACAAUAUAGCAUAGCCACUAGCUGCUGCUAGUUUCAUGUCUAUGAUAACCAUAUUGCACUCUACUAGAUGGUCAUGAGUUUAACAAGAUGCUUUCAGAGUAGGAGGAGAAGAGAGCAUUCUAAAUGUCUACUGCUCAUAUAUGUCAAAACAAAUUCUAGUAGCAUAUAUAUAGAUGUCAUGAGAGAAAUGAUCUAAACUGGUAUUGAUAAACAUACAUCCAUAAUGCAAAGUAGGAUACACAUUACAAGGAGUUGCACAUUGUUCCCAAACUCACACGAGCACCUAUAUAUUUUUGCAGGAUUGUUUCAUGUGCCUUUUGGCCAUCGACCCAACCUCUUUAUAGCCAUCUCUUAGGUAUGGAGUUAGCUCACUCACUAAAAGUUGAGAGAGAACUAAAGCAUCCAAAGGAGGCACUUUAUUGGAUGCAUUGAAAUCUUCCUCGCCCACUGGAUUUUGAAGACCAACAACCCAUUUUUUUCCUAGGGAGCACCACUUAUAUCAUUUCGUGUUUCUAUUGUUGUGCACAUGGAAAACUUGACUUGCAACCAUAGAUGGCUCCUCCCAGUACCCAACUUUGUUGAGGUCAACCAUAGUGUGGACACUUGUCUUUCAUGACACCCUGACUUCCACCUACCCAUCGACACCAAAAAAUAGCCACCUAGAAGCCUAGAUACAAGAGUUCCCAUAUCACUUCAAUCUACCAUAGUACAUUGUCUUCUUCAUAUUGUUGUCAAAUGCAUCUACACAAAUAGCAUUAUCCUUAUACAUGCUCUUCUUGUCUUGAUCAAUGAUGUAAAACGUGUUGCCAUUCAUGUCAAAGCCUUGAUAGGUUCUGAUUGUGAAGAAAGGGCUCUUUCCUAGCUUUCGAAACCUUUCAUCUAGGCAAGAUGUUUUACUAGCAAGUCAAUGUUUGAUCCAUUCAAUGAACCAACUCAUAUGUGCCAUCACUAACCAAGCUUUGCUCUUGUGUGGGUUUUGUUGCCUCAACACUUCCAUAUUCUCUCAAUGUAAUGUCUCACCUCUAUUGUGUGCUGCAACACACAAUAUUUGGCUCGUUUGAAGGCAUCUACAUCUAUAUAUAGUAAACUACUUCUCCCCAACAUACCCUCUACACCAUAGCCUUCCCUCAUAACGAGGCUUAGAGAUACCGAUUGGAUUAGUGGGGUCAAUGUAACCAAGGCACCAGUCGCUCAACUCCUCAGUAGAAUAGCACUACACAAUGCUACCCUCGAGAUGAACAUGACUCUUGACAUACCUAUACAGAGUACUCAUGAAUCUCUCAUACAGGUACAUGUGGUGGAGGAACAUCAUUCCAAGAUACCUAAGCUCCUUAACCAAAUGUACAAGAGAUGGAUAGAUAUAUCAAAGAAAGUCAGCAAGAAGUAGGCCUCAAAAAGACAUAUCACCUCAGUCAUCUUCUUCUCAAGAACUUCCAGUGAUCAUCCAUCUAUGACCUUCUAAGAGAAUGCAUUAAAGAAGGAGUACAGGCUCAUGAUUGCCAUUAGGGUUUUUUCUAGCAAAACAUUCUGGAUUCCAACUACAACCAUCAUUGUGGGCAUGACAUCAUAGUCAUGAGCCUUCAUUGGAAGCAUCAUGUUUUCUUUUAGAGGCACAAGCUUUUGUAUGUUGGUAGCGUAUCAAAAGGGAACUUUGACACUACAAAAGAAGUUGCACAAUUCCUUCUUCUCAUGUUGGGUCAGGUUUAUGGCAGAUAGUGGUGGGUGGGCAAUGAUACCGUUAAGUAUGAGCUCAGGCCUGAUGUCCAAAUCUUCUAGGUCAGCUCUUGCUUUUGCAUGGUCCUUGGUUUUCCAUUGGCCAUUCAUGAGUGUCCCAAGCAAACUCCUAUGGACACUCUUUUUCACAUGCAUGAGAUCAAUGUUGUGGCGAACCGCAAUAUGCUUCUAGUAAGGUAGUUCCCACAAGAUCAACAUUUUCUUCCACCUCUUCUUGUUGUCACUCUUCUACUUUCCAUCUCUUCUUAUUUUCACCUCUUCCCACAGGAUAGUGCUCUCUAGGUCAAUAACUUUAGGCAUGGUAUCCUGUACCUGCUAGUUGUAUGCCUCUUGCCUGCUAAAAUCCCUUGGUGCAGAUCCUUUCUCCCGUGUGCCAUCAAACUAACAUUUCAUCUCCUAGUAUGGAUGAACCUUAGAAACAAAAUGUUGGUGCCUUACAUAUUCUUUGAGUUAUUCAGCCAAACAUUCUCCAUAUCAUCUAAGCAAGCAGUUUUUCUCCUUUGCUAUACCUAGACCCGCUAUGAUGUCCUAGGAUGUUAGUUAUAGUGGUGCGAGCAUGGCACGUUGGUUGAAACAUCCUUUCCUAUACCCAUCGUACACCUUGAUACCCUUCCCUACAUAGAGUUUCUUCAAAUCAUCAACAAGUGGCCUUAGUUACAUGUUGAUGUUAAUGUUUGGUUGGUGUAGGCAAUAUAUGAGAACUAACAUCAUCAUGUACCUCCUAUUUUUACACAGCCAUGGGGGAUAGAUAGUUAACAACACAGGCCAGACACCAUGUGAGCUACUCAUGUUACCAAAUGGGUUCAUGCCAUUUGUGCUAAGUCCAAAUUGAAGAUUCGUUGCCUCAUCAAAAAAAGUUUUAUACAUGUCAGCAAUGAAACACCACUGAAUACCAUAUAUUGGGUGUCAUAUGUAAUCAUCCACCAUACACCAUCCUGAGUGCUAGGUCAUGAGUCGUGCAACCUUGGAGGUUGUAAACAAACAUUUCAGCGUGGAAUUAUAGGGAAGUACGAGCAAACCUUCCUAGGAACUUUACGGCAUGUCUCCUCGCCAUCAUCACCCUCAACUAUUCUUUGCCUGUAACAAGAGGUCCCACACUUGAGGCAAUAUUCCUCUACAUUUUCACCACAUAACAGGAUGGAGUCAUUCUUGCAAGCAUGAAUUUUCACGAACUUCAAUCCCAUCGAAUAAAGAAUCUUCUUGGCCUCAUAUGUAGUCCUAGGAAUUUGAUUCCCCUUGGGAAACAUACCAAUGAGCACUUCUAGCAAUUCUAUAAAGCCCUUCUUCGUCAAGUGAUUUCACACCUUGGAGAAGCUUCAAUGUGCCUGAUAACCUCAUAUACCUCUUACUACAACUUGAAUGGAAUGGUGUCUUUAUAUCUACCAAGAGUUGUUUUAGCUUCUUCAAUUCUCUACCACUCAACUCAUCAUAGUCAAUGGCAUCAUGCACCAUCAACUCCACUAGACUCCCAACCACAGGGAUAGGGCUAGUAGCAAUCUUUGCUACAUCAUCAUCAUAUAGUUUCUCGUUGCCAAAGGUUUCAUUGAUAAAGGGUGGUGCUUCCUCAUUACUACCAGCAUGAAGUUCUUCCUCACCAUCUCCAUUAUUUACACGUUGUUCUUCUCCAUGCCUGUUCCAACAUAUGUAGUCACACAUGAAUCCUCAAAGAAUUAGGUGCCAUGGACCGUCCACUUAUUCGUGAACUGAUUUCCAUUCUUACAGCACAUGGUCAAAACAUAGAUGUCUUAUCUCUAUUCCUCAUGUCCUCCUCUACAAUAGCUAUGAAAUUAUCGAGUCCUUCUAAGUACACAUAAGAAGUACGGUUCUUAACAUACAUCUAGUAGCAUUGAUCCUCCAUCAUCUAUAAAAAGAUUGAAAAUGAAAGAAUAUAAGCAACAAACAUCUUUGUACACUAUUAGUUUCACAUUUCCAUCAUUCAUCACAAUUUCACACAUGGUCACCAUACUAAUUAAAGAGAGAAGAGCACAUGCCAGAGAAUUGGAGGCUGAAGACGAGAGCUAUGAGGAGGGCUAAGCACACCACCAGCAAUCCCCUACAGCUACUCGAGAGAUAGCAAAGUAAGGUCGAAGGACAAGAUCAAGCAUAAUGCAGAGAGGAACAAGUUAGUUAGCUAGACUCAAUUAUGAGCUUACUUAGCUAUAUACAGCAGCACCGGCAGAGAAGAGGGAAAUAGAGGAUUGCCGGUAGCUCAAGAGCUUACCUAUGUGGCCGAAGAGCAUGGCCUGCUGGCCACCGGCAUUCUGGAUGACAACAAAGCACGUCUGCCCACACCAACACGCCUCUCUUUCCUACGUUGUGCUAUAACUAGGCCUUGCCUAUGAUAGCAGGACGCCCCCCCCCCCACCGACAGUAGUAGCGUGCGCCCCCACUUGCCAACUCUCUUCCCGCGAGGCUCAGUGCUGGAGGCCUGCACCAUGCGUCAAGGUGGCAACUAUCCCUGAUGGAUUUGGCGAGAACAUUUUGGUCCCCACUAGCAGGAAAAUCCCCCACUCACUGUCCCACUCGUAGGGAUAGAUUAUCCCAUGUCCCUAUCCCUGCACGGGUAUCACAACCCCGAUGGGGUCCCUGUCCCAGCACGGGUAUCACAGCCCCGAUGGGGUCUCUGUCCCCGGUAAACACAUGACAUCUAACAUCAAUACAUUAUGAAAAUAAAGAAGAAUUGGGCAUAACAACACUGUAGGAAAUCCCACUAUAGCAACAACUCUGCCCUUAGAUCCCUUUCUUAGAUCCGGCGAUAACUUGAUUUCUGUACUAGGUGUUGCACUCAUGGAGGAACCGAGGAAGAGGUGCUUCACGAUUCACGACCUCAUGGCCACCACCCAUAGAGAUCAAAAGUUCCAUAGGCGCCAGGGGUCGCGACAAUGGUAGAGGAGGCGAGGAGCACAGGGGUCGUGGAUGGAGAAGGAAGAGGGCUGCGAGCACGGAGCGGAGAGGGAGGAGGGCCGCCGCCCUCCGAUCAUGGCGUCAUGCCUUGCUCCUUCUGGGAUCUGGGUGGAGAGCUGGAGAGGGAGAAGGGGUUGCGACUCAUGACUCGAGCUCGAGCGGUGGUAACCAACGGCGGCUGAGGACGGACUGAAUGGAGAAGUACAGUGUGUGGUAGGGUUAGGAUCCUUUUUAUAUGGUUGUUUUGAGUUGGGCCAAUUUAUUCUUAUGGGCUUCUUUAGGCCUAGUUCCAGCAAGCACAAUACAGUUGGGGAGCCUCGACGGGUGAGGCGACAGGGACCCAGAGAACACUCCCUUCCCCGACUCACCUGACGGGGGAUGGAUUUCGCGCGUUAAGCUCCCCACGGGGAUGAAAAAUAUCCCAUUUUCAUCCCCUAAUGGAUGAAAUCCCCAUCGAGUAUCGGGUAUCGGGGCCCCGUUGCCAUCCUGAGCCAUGCACGACGGCGGUAGGUGCCACCACCAUAAGAGCCAGGCAAGAGCCCCCUGAGACAUCUAGUUGGUGCCAAUACCCUCGCUCUCCCCGCGCAUGAGGCCAGCUAAAGUGCCUAGGAUACAAUAGACGUGACUGAGGAACUCAUGUUUGCAACUACCAAGGCGUCUUCAAUAAGACACACUACUACAGAAGCUUAUGCCGCAUGUGCGUCCGUAGACUUUGCUACCACUAUCCACAGCCUCAGAAAUCAUAACACGGGUCUGUACGCAUGUCUAAAGCUAUAUCUCAGAAGAGUUGUGUCAACACGCAUCUGCUAUAAGAGAUGUCCAUAGCUUUUGACCCUGUUAUCCCACACUCGAGAAACAACACAUGUGUCUAUACAUCUUAUUACACACGCAUGUUGAUCUCGCCGAGUCGGUGACCCCCGCCGGCCAGUUACUACAAACAUCUGUUAGUACAACACAUCAACACAUCUGUAGUUGUACUACUGCAGAUGUGUGUAUGUGGUGGCGUCUGUAUAGGUGGUGUAAUUUUAACGCUUUUUCACAUAUGGUUCAUACUACGGACCCAUAUGUGGUACAUGCGUGUGACUGUUGACGUUCACACAGACGCGUAUUCUAUUUUAAUCAUAGACGCAUGUAUAAGUGUAUUAUUAAUACUGACGCUUUUUUGGUGCAUCUGUAAUAAGCCUAUAGACGCCGUAUAGCCGAUGCGCGCUGGUACGGUGCAUCUGUGAUGCGGCUGAAUGCUUGUCAGUGAAAUACAUUUUUUACAUAAUGAUCGGGAGGGGGCGCUUGGGGAGGGAUCUAUUCGAGGGAGCAAAGGAUCUGCCACAUGAUAUUUGAACCAGUAUACAAAUAAGAUUCAAAAUUGUAGAGUUAUAAGUGUUGCAUAGCUCAGCUGGUAUGGAUGCUUCAGAGAAUAUUAACGUUGAUGUUUUCAGAUAAACUAUGUAAACAUAUUUUUUAUUUUUUUAUCAUUUAUAACUGCUGUAUCUUUUUUCUCAGUUAUGUUGACGGAUCUGAAUCCACCAGUGAUACUUUUUUAUAAAAUAUAUAUUAGCACAUGUUGCUACAUUUUUUUUUUUUGAUUUUGUCACUUGUCACUGCUGCAAGAUCCACAUCUUACAUUAAUACCAGAUUCGGAUCGGUCAGUAACUGUUUUUUUUGCAUGUAAACCUUAUAAAAGCUACUGUAAUUCUUAUUAUUGCUAACAGUUUUUUCUCUUUUGUUUGGCAUAAAUGGUCGUUAUAUGCACGAUCCAUGAGUUUUGGUCCUUGUACGUUUCCUAAUUAUGAUUUGUAUAAUGUAGUCAAAUUAAUUAGGUUAUGGUUACAAAUCCAGACAAUAUUUGCGAUCUAGUUACUCACGAAGAAUGUUACUUAUAUAAUAUCUUAUUGUACUAUAAUAUAAAAAAGUUAGUAUGUCAUGUGCAUCUAGGACGAAAUAUAUAGCAGCGUGUAUCCAAGAAAAAGAACCAUCUUUUAUUGAGUCCGCAUCAACCAAAUGCUCACUACACAGUGCUUAAUGUGGGCAACUUCAUGUAUGCAACAAGUAGGUUUAUUUGAGUUCAAUGCCGUUUUCCUCGCACACAUGUUCUUGCAAUGAUGAGUCAAACAGAAUCUGUUGUUGUAGCAGUAGCAUGUCCCAGACUAUAGCUUUAUUUGGCUUUGAUUUGGUGAUAACGUCUCACACACUGUGUGGUGGUGACGAUAUCACUAGCGGUGGUGGCGGCGACUUGUGAUGAUGAUGGUGGGAUGUCUCAAACAAACGACGUGGUGAUGAUGAUGGCACUGGUGGUCGUGGUGGUGCUGGAGACGAGUGGUGAUGAUGGUGCGACGUCUCAAACAAAUUGUGUGAUGGUGACAAUGGCAUAGGUGGUAGUGGUGGUGGCGAACUGUGGUGAUGAUGAUGGUGUGACGUCUCAAACAAACGGCGUGGUGGUGACAAUAGCACUGGCGGUGGUGGUGGUGACUUGUGGUGAUGCCAGUGCGACGUCUCAAACAAACUUCUCGAUGGCAGUGACAUUACUGGUGGUGGUGGAGGUGGCUUGUGGUGUUGAUGGUGCGACAUCUCGAACAAGUAGCGUGGUGGUGAUGACAGCACUGAUGGCAGUGGUGGUGACCAGUGGUGAUUAUGGUGUAA